CAAUUAAUCCGACUACACACGAGCUUCUCUCCCUGGCCAAGACACAAUCAUAGUAUGAUGAAGAACAUGGCACUAGCCGGCAAUGGUAUGAAGAAGUUAAUCCUCGCUGUUCUCUUACUCUGUCUAGUUAUAGGGCAGAUACAAGUGGAAGCUAAGAGCUGCUGCCCAUCCACCACUGCAAGAAAUAUCUACAAUACCUGCCGUUUCGGGGGUGCAUCCCGUUCAAUGUGUGCAAAACUGUCAGGCUGCAAAAUUAUCAGUGGGAACAAAUGCAAGCCCCCUAACGACCACCUCACCCUUGACCCGGACACUGGUAAAUAAUAAAUUUAUCUCACUUGAUUUCUUCGUGAUUUGAGUCGUUAAUGUAUUUUCCAUCUGAUGAAACGUAUUGGUUUUGCAUUGAAGAGGAAGUUAAUGUGCUUAACUUCUGCAAGUUGGGGUGUGCGUCGUCUGUGUGCAACAACAUCAACGCUGGUAAGCACCUUUUGCUCAGACGGAGAAAACAAUAAUCAUUAAUUAGCGGCAGCUAGAAUCCUAUAAUCUAAUAUAUUUAUAUAUAUAUAUAAUUUUAUCAGCUCUGGGAAAUGAAGAGGCGAACGAUGCCGUUGAGAGUUGCGACCAAGCCUGCUCUAGCUUCUGCAGCGUGCAUGUUGGCAGCGCCACCGUGGUUGCUUAAGCAAAUGCAUGCAACUAGAUCGUCCUUGUGCUGAAUAAUUGGAUAUCGUAUCCACUUAAAGCUGCCUUGUGUAGUACGUCUUUGUUUGUGUCUCUCUUUAUAUUCCACUAAGGUCGGUGAUCUUGAUGCCACACACACUCAGAUGUGUGUUCAUCUCCAGAUACUACUCCAUGCUACCUGCCCUUUUUGUUUUGUUCAAUAACUGGGUAUCAUAUCCCGGCCAGUGUGCCAUCUAUUUUGUGUUUGUUUCCUUCUAGUUCCAAAGGGGUCAUCAUGAUGUUACCUUCUUUCGAUAUGGUGCUUUGCAUGACAACUGUUGUAUGGUACCAUCUUGUUGGCCAAUAAAUACAUCUUAUCCUAUGACCCUUUGCUAUGACCCUUUGCAAAUAAGUACAAGAUUGUUAUAAGCGUCAAUACUCAGUAUAAUUGAUCGCUGCUGUGAGUUCCCUUUCAGCUUAUCGUAGGCACACAUUAUUGCUAGCACGGUAAAGACAACCAACACGAAUGAUGAAGUAAACGUAGCGGUACUUUUGUAUACCAACACCCUUACUUAAAUGUACUGGUGUCAUUCCCUACUGGCACAUAUAUUCUUAUAUGCUAGCCAGAUUGGAAAAUUAACCAAUUAAAAUAAUUAUUUCAAGAUAGAAAUAACUUAUCGGCUUCUCGAAGCAUGUGUAAUUUUAAUUCAAGGACUCAAUGGAAGUUGAAUCACUUCAUCUAGAUUGCCUUCUGGAUUUUGGUUAACUAAAUUUAACAUUUGUGUCGGGGGGAAAUAUUAACGAUUUUCUUACGCUCUCUAAUUAACGGAUACAAGGGCUAGGGCCCACCCCUAAUACCCAUAAUCUCCGCUAACAACACAUCCCAGAGGCACUCCGCUCCGCCUCGCCCGACUUCAGGGUCGCAGGGUCGGACGUGCCCGACCCCCCAAGGCCUCGCCUCGUCUCAGCCGAUGGAGUUCCGCCUCGCCCGACCCUGAGCCCAACGGAUCGGACGCGCCCGACCCCUCGAAGCAGGACUCCGCCUCGCCCGACCCUGAGCGCAAGCGGUCGGACGUGUCCGGUCCCACCUGACAGAGCUCCGCCUACCCGAAGGUACGAGCAGGUCAUCAGACGGAAGCGCGGGCUCUGUGAGUCCCCCUGGGCUCACCCAACCGAUGGGACCGCGCAAGCUUCCAGAUACAGUUCUGACACAUGGAGAGGCGCCCGCGUUCCUCGACAUGACCUGUCAAAAUGUUGGUCUGCGCACUGCUGCCACGACUGCACAGGGCUACACCUGCACCGUCCUACCCCACUGUGACAUCUGUCAUAGGGCACUCAUCGCUCAUACCAUCUAAUGGAGGAGGGAAAACCGCCUAGUUUUCCACGUGGGCUAGCAAGAAGAGCACGUCAGCCACGCCGCCCCGUCAGGGUGCAUGGCUACAGUGGUUGACCAUCACCCGCGACGUGCACAGUCACAGUGGCCAGUCGUCACCACCAACUUGCACAGCUACAGUGGUCGGCCGCCAUGCACGACUCGCGUGUCCGGCUACAGUGACCGACCGCCGAGUCACCGAUGGGACCCAACGGCAACCCCUAUCCCUUAGUAGCAGUACCGACAAGACGCAGAGACAAGAAGGGAAGACGACGUCUCUAGUAGCCCCACUUGCUUCCCUUUUUACCUUUCUACCUGUUUACCUUCCUUACUCCCGGCUCAUUUGUAACCUCUGUAUCCUCCUUGCACUAUAAAAGGAGACCAGGGGGUCUGAGGGCAAGGGACCCUCGGAGACCGAACCCCGAAUUCACCCAAGUACAAACCAACCGAACCACCAGACGAGAAAGACUCACAGAGAUCUGGGAACCAGCUUCCCUCUCUCACCUAUUUGUAGCCUCUACUCCAGACUUGGUACGAGUAACACGAGCAGCCACCCGCACUGGACUCCUCCGCCAGAAACUGGUCCAACCAGUCGGGUCCCUCCCCCUGCUCUUCGUCCUCAUCAUCCUCAUCAUCGUCGUCCUCAUCCGUUGCCGUGUCUGGCCCCUCCGCAGCCUUCAGAACUCCGCUGCAGCUUUCUUUUUCUUCCUCACCGUCUCCUUGUCCUUCCUCUUCUUCUGUGCUUCGUCGAGGAGGCGGUUCCGCUGCCUCUGCACCACGUCCUCUGGCACCGGUGGACGGGAGGCUGUGACAUGGUUUAAGUUACCCUGCAGAUUCGAAGACUCCGCGUCAGAAUAGCAAACCAGGAAAUGCAGGAAAGAAGAACGAGAGUGCAAAUUUCUAACCAGCAGGACAUAGGCCUCGUCCGGGCGCAUCGGAGGGUGCCCCGGCACCGGGAACACGACAUCCCUGUCACCCAAUGCAUCCCGGACACGCUGCUCGAUCUCGGCGUCGGCAAUUGCACCCGUCGCAAGGACGGUGCUGUGGUACGCCCCAACAACUCCGGCCCCGGUCAGGCCCUCCUCCUUCAGAAGGUUGAUGGCUUCGAGGAGACCCCGGAUAUUCUUCUUCUCCUUCUCAACAGGGCCAUAUGUCCACGUUCCCGGUGCCUCCACGAUGACGCGGCCAGUGAACUCCGUCAAGAGGACAUCGGGGCGGUUCUUCACAUAGAGCCACUGCUGAUGCCACCCUUUGUGGGAUGACGGGGUCUUCAUCGAUGUAUACUCCUUGGGCCGAUGGCCACAGAGGUGGAUGCCGGCACACCCCAUCAGCAUCGGAAUCGUCCGCGUCUGGUUUCCUCUCUUCUCGGUCCUCUGAUGAAGAGUGACAGCGAAGAAGUACUUCCACAGGGCGAAGUUGGGCUCGAUCCCCAGGUAUCCCUCCCAAAGCACGACGAACGCCGCGAUGUGCUGGAUUCCGUUGGGGUUGAGGUGCUCCAGCUCAAUGCUAUAGUAGUGCAGCAGCCCCCGGAAGAAGCGACUUGGGGGAACCGCGAACCCCCUCUCGUGGAAGUGCGCGAAGGAGACGAUGUACCCGUCCUCCGGCUGUAGCACGGCCUUGUUCCCGGGAUACCGCCACUCGUUCUCGGCGAUCCUAUCGCGAAGAAGGCCCUUCUUCACGAGACCGAUCACGCGCGCGGUGUUGAAGAUUGACCAAGACCUUGAAUCCAUCGCCGAGGAAGGGGAAGGCUCGACGGCGGUGGUGGAAAGGUGAAUGCUCUGGCUCGAAAGAGGAUGAAAAGUGAACAAGGAGGCGAGAAAGGCUGAAGACGAGUGCGGAGCGGAGCAAGCAAGGUAAGCUCUCUCGUUUUACAGGGGGCGUGCGAGAAACGAAAGGCGAACCGAACGCAUUUAUUGCGACGUCAGGUAUGCCCCAUCGCCUCCGCCUUUCUUCGGAAACCGUACGCAUGAUUUCUUUUUAACCGCAGGGAACGCUACGCCCCCUCGCCCCACGAGCCCGGUGUUUUUUGCCGCUUCGUCUCCUGGAGGUCAUGCGCACAACUUCCUCCACAAGCGGCCCAGGGCCCGCUUCAGGUAAAAAAGGGAUACAGAGCUGAAAACACUCUAACGGCCCAUUACGGUCCAGGGGUUCGAAGGCUGGCCCUCUAGAGGGUUCGACAUCCACCCCAGGACAUUUCUUGAGCAAGGGGUGAGAAGGGACGGGUCCGCUAGCGACCACUACCCUGGUGAACAAAAGCCAAGGGCGUCCCGACCUCACAUUUGAGUCUCGAUUGGCGUUUAAGUUCAUGGUUUUUCCCCGAAGAAAGGCAAAGUGCCCCCGGAUCCGGUUGAACAGACCUGGGAACUAUAUGAACUGGCCGUCCGAAAUCUGGAGUACGCCACCAGCUUGGCCCAAGCCGGACCCGCCCGAACAGGGACCGGGACUCCACUCGAACUGACCCGUUAGCAGCUCACCGAGCACCAUGGUUCGUCCGAUGAGGAUAACAUGGCACGGCUCACCCCCUCCGUCCCAACGAACGGACGCUGAGGGGUAACGACUAAAAGACGAUCCGACCUCUCGAUCGGUCCCCUGCAAUGCGCGGGGGCUCGAGGGCUGGAAUCACAACGAAACGACCAUGCGCAUGGUUACGACUCGGAAUUUUGAGGCAGGAAUGGUCAUUGAAACAAUAGGGAAUCUUCCCAAACCGUACCAUCCUCAGAACACUCUGGCUACCCAAAACUCCCCGGCCAGGCCAAACAAGCAAAACUUUUCUCCUGAUCAAAUCAAGGUACAUGUUAAACAAGACCCCUGACAAACACUCUGCCGAGAGCCAAUCACAGCCUCUGGAGGAGCACCUUGCUCCACCAAAGGCUCGGGGCCUACUGUCAGGGGGAAAUAUUAACAAUUUUCUUACGCUCCCUAAUUAAUGGACACAAGGGCCAAGGCCCACCCCUGACACCCGUAAUCUCCACCAACAACACAUCCCAGAGGCACUCCGCUCCGCCUCGCCCGACUACAGGGUCACAGGGUCGGACACGCCCGACCCCCCGAGGUCUCGCCUCAUCUCAGCUGAUGGAGUUCCGCCUCACCCGACCCCAGGCGUAAGGGGUUGGACGCGCCCAACCCCUCAAAGCAGGACUCCGCCUCGCCCGACCCCGAGCGCAAGGGGUUGGACACAUCGGAUCCCACUAGACAGAGCUCCGCCUCGCCCGAAGGUAUGAGUAGGUCAUCAGACGGAAGCGCGGGCUUUAUGAGUCCCCCCAGGCUCACCUAACCGAUGGGACGCGCACAAUUCUAGAUACAGUUCUGACACGUGGAGAGGUGCCCGCGUUCCUCGACAUGACCUGUCGGAAUGUUGGUCUGCACACUACUGCCACGACUGCACAGGGCUACAACUGCACCGUCCUACCCCACUGUGACAUCUAUCAUAGGGCACUUAUCGCCCAUGCCGUCUAACGGAGGAGGGCAAACCGCUUGGUUUUCCGCGCAGCCUAGCAACUACAGCACGUCAGCCACGCUGCCCCGUCAGGAUGCAUGGCUACAGUGGUUGACCGUCGUCCGCGACGUGCACAGCUACAAUGGCCAGUCGUCACCACCAACUUGCACAGCUACAGUGGUCGGCCGCCAUGCACGACCCGCGUGUCCGGCUACAGUGGCCGACUGCCGAGUCACCAAUGGGAUCCAACGGCAACCCCCAUCCCUCAGUAGCAGUACCGACAAGACGCAAAGACAAUAAGGGAAGACGGUGUCUCCAGUAGCCCUACUUGCUUCGCUUUUUACCUUUCUACCUUUUUACCUUCCUUACUCCUGGCUCAUUUGUAACCCCUGUGUCCUCCUUGCACUAUAAAAGGAGACCAGGGGGCCCGAGGGCAGGGGACCCCCGGAGACCGAACCCCGAAUUCACCCAAGUACGAACCAACCGGACCACCAGACGAGAAACACUCACAAAGAUCUGGGAACCAGCUUCCCUCUCUUGCCUGUUUGUAGCCCCUACUAUAGACUUGGUACGAGUAACACGAGCAGCCACCCGCACUGGACGUAGGGCUAUUCCUGCCCGAACCAGUAUAAACCUCGCGCCCUCUCGUACAACCAUCCAAGCCUUACGCGUAGAGAAACAAAUUUACUAAGCCGGUAGUCUUGACCCGUGAUUCGUGAGACCGACAAUUUGCACAUACAAAUGUUAAAGUACAAAUGUUAAAUCUAGUUACCAAGCAGAAUACGAAAUAGCGGGCUAUAGUGAGGCUAUAGCGGCGCUAACUGCUGCAACAACAGUGUUGUACUAAUUAGCAGGCUAUAGCGGAGCUAUAGCGGUUGAGCACAGCUCUACGCUAAAUAUCAUAGCCCUCAAUUUUGUACAUUGUAUAUACUAUAUAAAUCUAGUUAACAUUUAGUCUAAAUGUUAAAUCGAGUUACCUAAAAUCCUGAAAGCAAAAUGUAUAAAUAUAUAUCUUUUAGGGUAGUAUAAGCUUCGAUUCCUUUUGCUGCUCUGUUAAAUCUCAUCUUUCGUUGUAGCCCAACACUCUAGUAUUGAUUUUGCACCAAGCUUCUUUGAGCCGCUCUGCCCUCUGAUUUUGCUGCGUAGGGGAAUCUUUAUCAGGUUGGGCUACUUCCAGUCGUGCGAUGUAUACCUUUGUAUCUUCUAGAAGGUAGACAGAAAACCCGCGUUCUCUUAAGGCAACAACCAGAAGAUUCUGCAGCGCACGGGGCAUAUCAUUGUUGUAGAAACGACCUUUAGUAUCGAUCUCCAACCCCUUAUAGUACUGGUUUUGCAACCAGUACCGUUAUGUCGGACCUUUAGUACCAGAUCAAAUAACCGGUUCUAAAGGGACUCCUUUAGUACCGGUUGGUAACCAGUAUCAACUUGUUUUGCGGCCAAAAAAAUAAAGAAAAAAAUAGCCAGAAGGCUAGCACACACACACAUCCCACGAAAUAUGCGCGUGCGCGGUCCAUGGGAUUCGAACCCAUGAAAUCAAGCUGCGCGCAACCCUUCGUUACCAUCUCACCUUCAGUACCGGGUCAUAACACCACCCGGUACUAGUAUCGGAUGCUGUAAUGACUCGAUACUAAAAGGCCUCUAGGGACCCUCAAAUUUGGACCCGAUACUAAUGCUAACAUUAGUACCGGGUCAAAGUGCAGCCAGUACUAAAGCAUGGGACGAAAGGUCAUAUUUCUAGUAGUGUAUAGUUGUUGUGUAGGACUGACUUGGCUGUCCUCUCUCUUCUCCAUCCCAUUGGUCUUACGCCGCCGCUCGCACGCGAGCCGGCACCCAACCAGAGGAGUGAGAGCUAGGGGCGGGUUGGGAGGUGGGGGUAGCGACUGGUGGCUAGGGUGAUGGUUGAUGUUGGCGGGGUUAGGGUUUCAUGGUUUUCAAGCUACCUACGGCCGGCGAACCUAGAGGAGGAGGUCGACAUCAGCUGCAACCCGCGGUGGUGGUGGUUUGGCCGGCGCCCCAGGCGAGGCAGCGUGGGAGUGCUGCUGGCGGGUUGGUGUUGGCGCUCAUUAUUGACACAUUUUUAGUACUAUUUUGUUCAUGGAAUAACACUCAAACGUGCUGGUGCUGCUGCCGCCAUCGCCGCCCUAGCCAUAAUAUAAAGGCAAAAUUUGCUAGAGGACAUGCAAAAUGAUGCUAGUUUGCUGGAGGGCACCGUUGACCAUGUAAUAUGCUACAAGACACUCUAGUUGUUCUAGAGUGUAUCAAUUUGCUGAAAGACAUUGCUACGACUAAAAUAAUGUUUCUGGACUGAGUUGGAGAGAGAGAUGGAGUGAAAUGUCUGUUUUGCCCAUGACCCCACUGAUCAGAUCCUUCUUCUUCCACCCUCCUUUCUUCUUUCUUCAACCAUUACCCAGCUCUAGUGUGUUGCAGAUCUACGAGGGUGGCGGCCCGGGGCGAGGGGCAUCGCUUGCCCUCAGACGAGCGCCGCGAGCGACGGCGCGGGGGCAGCAACGGCGCGUCGGAACCUGACCGUUCGUUAGCUCCUCUCGCUGCUGGGGAAGGAGGGGGAGGGGCCAUGGACGGGGUUCCCUCGAAAACCUUAGCCUCGAGCUCAGGCGGCUACGCGCAGGCAGCACUAGGCUCUUCGCGGGGAGGGGGCGCGGCCAAUCAUUGGCACCCCACUGGUCCAAUGCUGAUGAAGAUGGUGCCAGCGUCGUGAAGAUGGUGCCAGCGUCGUGUGAGGACCUCUCAUCUCCUCGAGUUCCAUGGCCAGCACAGGUGAGCGUCCGCUACCACAAAACAGAGGUGUCGUGAGAGUCAAAAAAACUCAUGAAAAUAGCUAAAACCAUCAUGAAAAUAAUCCAUGACACGACACUCUAACGAAAAUCCUCUCACAAAUAUGGUGCCAUCAAAAUACCAUUUUCAUGAGAGUGAACUGUCAUGAUUUUAUUUCGUGAGAGUAUUUCCUAUCAAUGACCUCCACGAAAUACUUUGUGCCACCAGGUCUUCAAGAUCAUUUUCAUGAGAGCCGAACGUCACGAAAGGUCCGCCACAAAUGUUUUUCCUGGGAGCCUCUAACUCUCAUCAAAAGCAUGUGGGCCGCCGCGAAAAACAGCCUGACCAAAUGACAAUUUUCAUUUUCAUGUGCUCUUACCGCCAUGAAAAUGGUCAUUUUCAUGAGAGUUGAUGAAACAAAAAAAUAGUGCCAUUUUCAUGAGAGUUCAAGCAACCAGGAAAAGGCACUAAUAAACAUCCAGAUCCCAUCCAGCACACAUCCAUGCACAUAUAUAACCCACAUAUUGCUCCAGCAACAUCCAUGCAUAUACAAGAUCCAAAUGUCUUGGUAUGAACCUACAUGCAUGUGAUGAACCAGUAACCUGCAAAAAGAGCUCAUAGGAUCUUGUCCUCAUAUUGUAGCUGUGAAAUUCUUGCAAGUAGUGUUGCAAUCAGUUCACUUUGAACCAAAAGAGCUCAAAGGAUCAUGUCCUCAAAGUUCCUCUUAAAGCUUAUGGGUUUGCUGGUGGAACUGGAAGGGCUUGAUGCAGCAUGCCAUUCUGCAAUAGAGAAAAAUUUAGAAAGCUGUACUAGUUAAAAUUGGAUGCAGCAGAGACACAUGAAACUAGUAUUUAUACAAUUCUAUAUAUAUAAUAAUUUGUCCCCUAAAUUUUUAGGAUCCUCUCGACGGUGGUGAGUCUUCCAGUAAGGCAAUUGAAUGUCCAUCGUGAUAAAAUUCUCCUUUGGAUUUAUCAUCUUCUCAACCAGAAAUCCUAGGAGUUCAUCCUUAAGCCUUACCAGUUGUAAUUUGGAAAUAUGUGAAAGUUAAACGAACAAUUAAAAUCUAAGGAUCCUUAUCAUCAUUUCCAUACGUUUGCGAAUUAAAAUAAUGAAGGAUACAAUGUUAGGUGAAAAUUCAAGAAACAAAAUUUUGUAUAGAGAUAAUGGUCCGACAUUAUUACAAGUUAAAGUUGUUUUAAAUAUCCUUGUAAUCUUCCUUUGGUUUCCUCGACGAUUCCAAGACAGUAACCUUGCUUCUAUCAAUGAUAAUUAUAAGGAGAACCCAAUGAAAACUGUGUAUUCAUAUUAGAACUAACUAAGGUUAAUUCGGAUAGGAAAGGAAAUCAAAAAUAGAUGGUACCCACACUUACUUAAAGUUGUAGGGUAGUAGUAUGUAAUGCUUGUAAUUCUGUUGCUCCAAGAAUUUGUAUAUGUGGUUCAAUGUAGACUUUGGUUGAUCCUGUAUCUGCUGUUGGUUGAAUAAGUGUUUCUAACCAUUUCUAGCCGUUAGAACUGGGACUAAAGGGAGCUCUUAGUGCUGGUUGAUAUUACUAGUCGGGACUAAAGAGCCCCCGUUAGAGUUGGUUUUCGGACGUGGAACUAACCACUCCUUUAGUCUCAAGUCCAAAAAUGAUUGAGACAUUUGUUGCUGGAUGGAACACUAGUAGAGAAUUGGCUUUCGAUGCGCCCCCUUUUGUCCCGGUUUAAAGUUGGACUGGGACAAAAGAGGGUGCGCCACGGUAGGUAAAAAUGGAGGGGGGAGUUAGUCCCGGUUGGUAAUUGCAACCGGGACUAGAGGCCCCCCUUUAGUCCCGGUUGCAAUGGCUAGCUGGGGGGCGUCGGUGGCGGCACCUUUUUGUCCCGGUUGGAGUCUCCAACCGGGAUAAAAGGUCCACCCUUUUAUCCCGGUUGGAGGCUCCAACCGGGACAAAAAGUUUAGUCCCGGUUGGAGCUUCCAACCGGGAUAAAAGGGUGUCCCUUUUGUCCUAGUUGGAGCCUCCAACCGGGACUAAACUUUCAACCGGGACAAAAGGUGUGGUUGGAGUUUUUAACUGGGAUAAAAACUCAUCCCCCAUUAUAUACCAAGACAGAGGACUUUCUUCCUCCUCCAGCCCGAGCCAGUCCAGCACAUUCACAGAGAGUUGACCUUCACCUACUCUCCGGUGGUGCCGAAGCAAGGAGGUGCUGCCCGAAGUUUUUUCCCUCAUUUUCGUGGGAAUUUCACUCAGCUAACACAAGUGUUGUGAAGGUUUGCUACUUCAUCCUCGUUUAUGCUUUGAUUUAUGCUUUGGAGAUGGAAAGAUUAUUUGUUAGAAUGUGAUGAAGUAGAAAAUGGAGAGAAUAUUUUGAGCUAGAAUGUGAGGGAGAUUGAUGUGUCAUAUAUAGUAUGCAUUCUUGCAGUGGUUUAAGAAUGAUGCUACCUUGUCCAGACAAUUUAUCUUAUCAAAUUCAAUAUAGUUUUUCAAAUCCAUACUUGUUGAACUUGCAUACCGUGUUCAUCUCUACGAGGAUAUUCUCUGCCGAGCAGCAACGUAUGUCAAGAAGGAGGUUCGAUUCUACGAGGAAGAGUGGAUACGGACAUCGUGACCGUGUCCCCUUUUCCGUAGCAUCUAACCUCUUUCAUGAUGAAGUGCGGUGCCGCCCAGUUGAGAACAUGCUCGCGAGAUGAACACAGUAUGCAAGUUCAACAACUUCUGCAGUAGUAAGGAAAGAAUUUUUGUACAUAGAUGACUUCUGCUACUUGUUGAACUUAUCAAAUUCAAGAAGGUUUUUCAAAUCCAUACUUGUUGAACUUGCAUACCGUGGUCAUCUCGCAGAGGAUGUUCUCCGCCGAGCAGCAACGUAUGUCAAGAAGGAGGUUCGAUUCUACGAGGAAGAGUGGAUACAGACAUCGUGACCGUGUCCCCUUUUCCGUAGAAUCGAACCUCUUUCAUGACGAAGUGCGGUGCCGCCCAGUUGAGGACAUGCUCGCGAGAUGAUCACGGUCUUUAAGUUUAACAACUUAUGCAGUGUUAAGGUAAUAAUUUUUGUACAUAGAUGGCUUCUGCUACUGGAGAAAGUGGCGAUGGUGGGGGUGAUCGUGGUUCCUCUUUCGGCAAGGGGAAAAUCAUAGUUGGCCCUCAGCAUAAGCCAAAGAAAAAGAGCGCACUGGAAAAAGCAAUGCUUCGUUAUUUGCAGCAACGUCAUGAAGAAGUUGUUGCCGCGGGUCAGGAACCUCCUUUUGGUCGUCGUUAUGCUCCACCCUUAGUCCCGGGUGUUUCACAUCCACUUAGUACUACCGUUUCAGGCGGCACAAAUAAACCUAAGGAUGAGGCUAGGUCAGCGGAACUUUCGUCUUCACUGUCCAAGGAUGCUUAAAGUCCUCCUAGAUAAUAACCAGUGGAUGGCUUGUUGUAUUGUAUCAUGUUGUUUGGAUCUUUAAUUUAAAUAUGUGUAUUUGGAUCUUCAUGUUGUUGUAUUGUACCAUGUUGUUUGGAUCUUUAAUCAAUUUUCACACGUAAUCCAUUGUCAAGUGUAAUCCAUUUUCAUGCAUAAUAAGAUGCAGAUGGACCGGCAAUGGAUGUAUAAUGCAGACAGGCAGAGCAAGGUGUUUAUUGAUGGCUUGCAUUAUUGUCUCGAAGUGGCCAAAGCGAACAAGCCAGAGAAUGGGUUCGUAUGUUGUCCAUGCUUCCAAUGCAAUAACAAGAAGGAGUAUUCAUAGGAUUCCUGGGGGACUAUUCACAGCCACUUGUUUAAAUACGGUUUCAUACUUAACUAUUUGGUUUGGACCAAGCACGGUGAACGAGGGGUCGUAAUGGAAGAUGGCGAGAAGGAGGAGGAAGAUGACACCAUUCCAGACUGGGUUGUAGGCCAAGCUUUUGCAGGUACUACAAUGGGCGAGGCUCAUGAAGAUGAGUUUGCAGAAAAUGGCCCUAUUGAUGACUUUGGUCAGGUGAUACGAGAUGCAUACAGAGAUUGCGAAAUUGAGAAGGAAGCAGCAAAGUUGCAGCGCAUGAUAGAUGAUCACCAAAAAUUAUUGUACCCAGGUUGCCAGCUGGGCCAUAAAAAACUAGGUACGACACUAGAAUUUGUGCAAUGGAAGGCAAAAAAUGGUGUGUCCGAUAAGGCAUUUCAGGGGAUGUUGACCAUUGUCAAGAAGAUUCUUCCCGAGAAUAAUGAAUUACCGUCCACAACAUAUGAAGCUAAACAGAUUAUUUGCCCUCUCGGAUUGGAUGUUCAGAAGAUACACGCAUGCCCUAAUGACUGUAUCCUCUAUCGUGGUGAUGACUACGAGAAAUUGGAUGCUUGUCCCGUGUGCGAAGCCCUGCGGUAUAAGAUUAGGUGAGAUGAUCCUUGUGAUGUCGAGGGGCAGUCUCCCAAUAAGAGAGUUCCCGUGAAGGUGAUGUGGUAUUUCCCUAUAAUACCACGCUUGAAGCGCUUGUUCAGGAAAAAGGCGAAUGCUAAGUUGAUGUGAUGGCACAAAGAAGACCGUAAGGAAGAUGAGAUGCUGAGACACCCCGCAGAUGGGGCACAGUGGAGAUCAAUUGAUAGAGCAUUCUCGGACUUUGAAAGUGAAGCAAGGACAUAAGGUUUGGUUUAAGUACUGAUGGAUUCAAUCCAUUCGGUGAGUUGAGUAGUGGCCAUAGUACUUGGCCUAUGACCCUAUUUAUGUUGAACCUUCCUCCUUGGCUAUGCAUGAAGUGGAAGUUCAUUAUGAUGCCGGCGCUUAUCCAAAGUUCAAAACAACCCGACAACGACAUUGACGUGUACCUAAGACUGUUGGUUGAUGACCUUUUACAGCUCUGGAAGGAAGAAGGUGUACGUGUGUGGGAUGAGGAUAGACAAGAGAUCUUUAAUCUACGAGUAUUGUUGUUUGUAACCAUCAAUGAUUGGCCUGCACUGAGUAACCUUUCGGGACAGACAAAUAAGGGAUAUCGGGCAUGCACCCACUGUUUAGACGACACAGACAGCAUGUAUUUGAAGCAUUGUAAGAAGGUCGUCUACAUGGGUCAUCGUCGAUUUCUCCCUGCUCACCACCAGCUGAGAAAGAGCAGGAUGCAUUUCAAAGGGGCGCCAGACCAUCGUAAAAAACCUGCACACCAUAAUGGAAAGUGUGUCUUCAAGAUGAUGAAGGAUGUAAAUGUAGUCUUUGGAAAGGGUCUUGGUAGCCAACCUAUUCCAAACGACAAUAACGGACAUGCACCCAUGUGGAAGAAAAAGUCAAUAUUUUGGGAGCUACCUUAUUGGGAAAUCCUAGAGGUUCGCAAUGCAAUAGACGUGAUGCACCUGACGAAGAAUAUUUGCAUGAACGUGCUAGGCUUCAUGGGUUUUUAUGGGACCUCAAAAGACACAUUGGAAGCACGACAGGACCUGAAAGCCAUGGGGCAACGAGAUGACCUACAUCCGAAAAAGAGAGAUAAUGGAUAGCACUACUUACGUCCUGCCAGUUACACUCUGAGCAAGGAAGAGAAGGAUAGCAUGUUUGAAUGCUUGAAUAGUAUGAAGGUCCCGUCUAGGUACUCCUCGAAUAUAAAGGGAAUAAUAAAUAUGAAAAAAAAGAAGUUUAUAAAUCUCAAGGCCCAUGACUGUCACAUGUUGAUGACCCAGUUGCUUCCGGUUGCACUGAGGGGUGUUCUACUAGAAAAUAUCCAGUUGCCGCUCGUAAAGCUAUGUGCGUUUCUAAAUGCGAUUUCACAGAAGGCAAUCGAUCCAUCCAAGCUAUCAAAGCUACAGAACGAUGUGGUGCAAUGUCUUGUCAGUUUUGAGUUGUUAUUUCCACCAUCCUUCUUCAAUAUUAUGACGCACUUACUGGUUGACCUAGUAAAAGAGAUUGGUAUUCUCGGACUUGUAUACCUGCACAAUAUGUGGCCUUUCAAGUGUUCAUGGCAGUCCUAAAAAACUAUGCUCUUAAUCGUGCCCAUCCAGAAGGAAGCAUCGCCAAGGGAUAUGGAACAGAGGAGGUGAUCGAGUUUUGUGUUGAUUUUAUUGAUUCAAUUGACUCGAUUGGGGUUCCAACUUCACGCCAUGAGGGGAGGCUCCGAGGAAUGGGCACCCUUGGAAGGAAAUCAAGUUUGAGCAAUGAUACUGAUUUGUUCGACAAGGCACACUACACGGUUCUACAACAGUCAUCCUUUGUGUCUCCAUAUAUUGAGCAGCACAGGCAGAUGGUAGUUUCCAAAAACCCGACCAAAUCCGAUGCUUGGCUUACCCGUCUUCACAUGGAAACUUUUCCCUCCUGGUUGCGCCAACAACUUAUGGGUAACUCUGAGAUUCACCCACAGCUUGCCUGGUUAGCCAGGGGACCUGCUAGCACAAUUGUGAAAUUUCAAGGCUAUGAGAUAAAUGGUUAUACAUUUUACACGAGAGCCCAGGACCAGAAAAGCACGAAACCAGAAUAGUGGUGUCCGCAUACAUGCCAUGGACAGAAAUAAUAGCAAGGAGUCGUAUUAUGGUUUCAUAUAGGAGAUAUGGGAACUUGAAUACGGACCGUUGUACAUCCCUCUAUUUCUUUGUAAUUGGGUGAAGCAAACUGCCGUAACCAAAGAUCAGUACGGAAUGACAAUAGUAGAUCUGAGCAAGACUGGAUACAGUGAUGACCCAUUCGUACUUGCCAACAAUGUGCAACAGGUGUUCUAUGUGAAGGACAUGUGUAGCAAACCCAAGAGAAAUCCAGAAGAGACAUGGGAGCCAAAGUGCCACAUAGUUUUUCCAGGUAGAAGAAAAAUCGUGGGAGUCGAGGAUAAAACAAACCAAUCAGAUGAUUAUGAUUAGUUUGAUGGCAUGCCUCCAUUCGCCGUUGAAGUUGAUCCAAGCAUCCUGCUAUCCAAAGAAGAGGCUCCGUACUUACGCCGCGAUCAUGAUCAAGGAACUUUCGUGAAGAAGAAAUUCUACAACGUUGUAUUGUAAUGCGCUAAAUUUACAUGACCUUUGUGUAGUAAUUGAUACAAUUUUUAAUUUACCCUAUGUAUGAUUUGAUGUGUUCUUAAAUUUGUUAGGUGAAGAUUUAUUAGAUAAACAUGAACAAUGUUAACCACAUACAUACAUGGAUUUUUCUGCGCAUUGAAAUUAUUUAAUGGAAUAAUUUCUUGAUCACAGCGAUGUAGUAAAAUAAAUAUUUUAGAGCCUAAAUGAACUGGUAUAGAAUUAAUGACUAACUCACACUUAUUGUCAAUUUACUCGCUAAUUAAAUAUAUUUUUGCAUGUACAAAAUAUGUGAAGGUUUUUGUUUUUCAUCCUGAAUUGCAGUGAAAAGAUAAAUAAAAUCCAUUUCCAAAAAACAGGCGGGAGAAGAAAACUGGGAAAAGGACCUUUUGUCCCGGGUGCCAACAGAAACCGGGACAAAAAGCCCCCCCCCUUUUAUCCCGGUUGGUGGUGGCACCCGAGAUAAAAGGGUAGGCUCCAAGCCCCACUUGGCGGACGCACCCUUUUGUCCCGGGUCCCGUCACCAACCGGGAUAAAAGGGGGGGCCUUUUAUCCCGGUUGGUGAGGGGACCCAGGACAAAAGGCCCUUUAGUCCCGGGUGUCAUUACGAACCGGGAUAAAAGGGGGGUUAAAAGGCACUAUAGCCCCUUCUACCCCCCACGCCAGUUACAGUUAGCAAAAUUUUCACCAAGAUCCCGCGCGCACUCUGCUCCGUCGCUGCCCGUCCGCCUUCCUCGCCAGCCGUCAUCGUCGUCGUCCCCCAUUGCCCCGGCCGUCGUCGUCCCGCCGGCUGACCGUGCCCAGAUAGCCUCCUCCUCCAUCGCCCCGGCCCGCCUCGAUCCUCCUGCGUCGUGCCCGGCCCCUACCUCAUCGACGCCGGCCACCUCCAUCGCGGGGCCUCAUCGCCGCCUCCAUCCUCGUCGCCACCUCGACGCCCUGGGUCGCCGCCUCGUCGCCCCUCGUCGCUGCCUCGUCGCCGUCCUGCCUCCGCCGUCUCGCCGUCCCGCGCGCCUUCGCUCCGUCGUCGCCUCCGCCGUCCCACCGCCCCAGCCACCGCCAUCCCGCCACCCCGGCCACCUCGUCGCCCCGACCACCGUCGACCGCGCGUGAGGUCCGCCGCACCGGCACUGGCGCCGGGAGUACCGCCUUGCUGACGCAAGCCCACCGGCUUGCGUCAACAAGGGCCUUUUUUAAGUUAGAAAAUAAAUAGAAAGGAGUAGUAAUUAGGUAGAAAUUCAAUAGAUUUUUGUAUAUGUGUUACAAAAUCAAAUUAGUGUAAAUUAGUUGUAAUUAGGUUCGUCGCUCUGCCUAGGUUAGAAAUGAAUCGUGUUUCGUCGUGGUUCCGUCCCCGCCUCCGCCGUCCCGCCACCCUGACCGUCGCCGUCCCAACCUAGGCACCGUCUGUGGUUCCGUCCCCGCCUCCGCCGUUCCGCCUCCAUCGCAAAUUCAUGUUAUUGCUAGAAAUUCCAAUAAAUAUGAACAAAUUAGUAGAAAUUUGGUAGAAAUUAAUCAUUGCUGCGGCCACCUCGCUCCACAAAUUCAUGUUAUUGCUAGAAAUUCAUAAAAAUUCAUGUUAUCACUAGAAAUUCGUACAAAAUUCAUGUUAUUGCUAGAAAUUCGUAAAAAUUCAUGUUAUUGCUAGAAAUUCGUACAAAAUUCAUGUUAUUGCUAGAAAUUCGUACAAAUUCAUGUUAUUGCUAGAAAUUCGUCACAAAGUACUACUAAUUUGCAAAAAUUUGUAUAAAUAUUCCGGACUUUGUGGGAUUCAUGUUAUUUUCUGAUUUCAUGUAUAUACCCUUAUGUACAUAUAACUAAGGAGAUUUCUAUGACUUUCAUGUAUGUUUCAAUCAAUAGUUGAAAUGGCAGACGAUGAGACCGCAAGGUAUCUCAUGGAGCAGAUAAUCGCUGGUGAUGGUAGUGGCGACAACCUUCCACUAUCGUACACCGAUGAAGAGGGCACCCAGGCGGACAUGUUCCUCAACAUGUCCGCCGAUGGGAAUGAAGAGCAAAAGCCCCAGCAACACCUUGCCGGGGCGGAAGGUUCCGGCGAGGUAUAUAUAACGAUUCUUGUAUUGUUUCACACCACCGUUACUACUACGUACUAAUUAACGAAUCAUGAACCGUUAGCCCUCUGGAUCGACGCAAGGGCAGAAGACACGAGGUCGUACAAAGGUGAUGGAAGGGAGGCUUGUCAUCACGGAAGUGAUAGAAGAGGGCAGGCCGGUUGCUCCCGAGAAAGUAGCAAAGAAGUACGUGAGUCAGAUCGGGGCAAUCGUCCGGGACAACGUGCCUAUCAGCAUCAGAGAAUGGAAGGGCAGAAGCACUAAUCCGUACGCCCUCCUGGAGACAGAAAGAAUAUGCUGUGGGAAGAUGUCAAGAGACAUUUCACAUUCACCGAAGGAUAUAUUGAGAAGGAUGUGAAAGCGUGGACGCUUAAGAAGAUGGCUACACAAUUUCCAGACAUUUAAGAAGAUGCUAGAUACCCACUACAUUAAGAAGGGCCGAACUCCAGACUUCAACGCGUGGUCAAAGUUGAGGGACCACUAGGAUGCAUUUGUUGAAUAUAAGAGGAGUGAAUACGAUGUGAAAAAGAUCACGACCAACACAACAAAUGCUAGUCAGAAGGGCUACCAUCAUCAUCUGGGGCGAGAUGGUUAUGGCUCAGCAAUUCCCAAGUCGAGGAAGAUGGAACAAGAUCUGAUUGAACGGGGAAUCGUACCGGCAACUAUUGAAUGGCCCGAACGAUCAAAAAAUUGGUACUACGCUCAUGGAGGCUCCCUGUGCCAAGAGGAUGGGACGUUGAUUUUCAAUAACACAAUACGUUAGAAGGCCAAACAUCUUGUGAAGAACAUUGAAGAUUCUAAGGCUGGGAGGUUGAAGGUGGACCGAGAAAAUGAUGAGCUCACAUUGGCCCUUGGUAAUCCAGAGCACCCAGGAUGUUGCCGAGGGUUCGGGGUCGUUCCGUGGAAGUUUGUUUUCCGAGGCGACAGCGCCUCGUACAGAAGCCGGAAGCGAAGAAAGGAACAGAUCGAGGAGAGCUGGUGGCAGAUGCUAGAAUCCAAAGUGCAGGCACAAGAACAAAGAAUGAUGGAGGAAAUCAAUCGUCGAGUGGCCCACGCAGUUGUGGAGUUGGCCCAAUCUGGAGCAUUGCCGAAUCCUAACAACGCCAGCCCUUCUCAAUGCCUCUUGAGCAGUUAUGCUUCUACAGGGGUCCCCGAUGCGCACACGCCCAGGUUACCCGUGGAGGAGCAACGGUUCCCCGUGGAUGCCAUCACGCAACACACCACAUGUGAGCUGCAUGCACCGGUCGGCAACCUCACUAUUAAGGUAUACUUAUACAUAAUAUUUAUGCAAUCUUGUCAAUUGAUCCACGCCUCGAUAUCGGAGUUUAACUUGUUUACUUCUACUAUAUGUACAGGUAGCGUACGGGAGUGCGUUAGCAACCCUGGCGGGGCAGAGCAGUCAUGGCAUGAAGAUUCCACCUGGCUACGCUAGCGUCCGCGUAGAGCAAAUAGUUGAUAGCCAAUAUGAAGGUCUAGAGCUCGACCUCCCGGGAGGUGACAGGGAAAGAACACUGGCAGAUGCGCUUCAUGGGAUCAUUCUAUGGCGAAAACGCUACAUCAUUAUUCCCGGCACGGAGCCAUCUCCUCAGAGCUCAAGACCACUCCCCGUAGAUCCCCAGCAGCGACCUUCUCCUCAUAGCUCGAGACCGUCAUCUCCUGCACAACCUGCUCCAGGACCGUCCCUUCCAUCUAUAUCAAGGUCUCCAUCUCCACCACAUCCUGGUGGUGGGAGCGACGACGACAAUAACAACACCCCUUCCUGAUCACCAUCGCCGGCACCAAGAGCGGCCCCCAUGAAGGAACCUGCACCACCACUAAAAAAGUCACGAGCACCGCCUCCCAAGCAAAGACAGAGAAAGAAGAAAACAAAGGAGCCUGAAGUGACUCGUAAGGAACGCUGGGAGACAAUGUCUCAUGCGGAACAGUGGGCAGAAAUCCAACAAGAGGCCAGUGAGUGGUUCAAGAAACAAGCCGAAGAAAAAAAAGCAACGGAGAUGCAGCCACCGCCAGUAAAUCGAAGAGAUUUAAACUUUUUUAUCAGGAUGGAAGAAGGAGCCAAGAAAAGGAUACCACUCUUAUCAAACUAUGAACGGGCUUUAGUAAAGGCUGAUGAAAAGGAUAAAAGGAAAGGAAAGUCAUCUUCCAGCGGUGCUGUCCCCGACCUCAGCCAUUUAUCAAAAAAAGAUGCUCAACGGGUAAAAGCAAUGCCCUUGGAUCAACAAGCAGAAGUAUUGAAGUUCAUGCAAGAAACAGGUCUGGGACUUGAUGAAUGCCUAGGGCAAGUUGAGACGCCAACUGCACCGCCCCCUGAGCCGAGAUGGCCUUAUGAGCUAGGCAAACCUCUAGUAAAGCCUUCAUUGGUACGAAAGCUAUCAACAAAGAUGUACGCAUUCCAUCAAUGGUACAUGAUGGCAUCCGCUGACUCAAGGGAGAUGCUCGGCCUGAAGGUAAAACCGAUGGAUUUUCACGACAGAGGCGAGAAAGUGCUGUGGCUAGACUUCAAGGAUAUAUACGAAGUGUACCAUCAUGAUGCCAUAGACGUCUCUCUGAUCCGCGCUUGGGUUCUGUAAGUGUCCGUUUAUCUCUACAUGUAAAUUUUGGCGUGCGUCACCGUACUAACUUCGUCUUCCAUUUCAUGUAGGAUGCUAAUUCAGACAUGCCGCCGAGAGGCGUACCUACAUAUAGGCUUCAUGGAUCCAUCUGUAGUUAACCAACAGCAGAUACAAUUAGCAUCGGAGAAAACCUUGGUGGAAGUAUACAAUUUCCUAGACAAACAAACAUUCAAGGAUUUCAUACUAUUUCCAUACAACUUCAAGUAAGUGUGUGUAUACCGUCUACUUUCGAUGUCUUUUUCCUUAUCUCUACAUGUUAGUUAGCUCUAAUAUGCAUGAACAUUUUACGCACGCAGCUUCCACUGGAUCCUUAUUAUAAUUGAGCCUCAAAGAAGCCACGUCACUGUCUUCAAUUCGUUGAGGAAAGAUCCAGUGGAGCACCAAGAAAUGCAACACAUGCUAGGCUUGUAAUAAUUCUGGACCUUUAUCUCUAUGCAAAAGUUUGUUUCCUAAAUUCUAUCCCUGUUACACUAUAUCAUUCAUUAUUCUAAUCCACAGCGUAUGGAAACAAUUCAUAAGGACACAAAAAGGUCCAUUCAAAGAAAAACUUACAUGGAACACAGACUUCCCGGUACAUAUGAAGUCUGCACAUUUAUUACAUUGUAUAACACGAAUAUUUCAUAACUUAUUUUUUUCCGUAUUGAAGUGCUUAAGACAGGAACUCGGAAAUAAUCUAUGUGGCUACUACAUCUGUGAGCACAUGCACAGUUUUAUGGGACCCAAGGGACUAAAGAUGACGCCGCACAACUUUAAAGUACGUAAAAUAAAACUAUUACUAGUUAAUUAUUUUCUAGCUCCUUAUAUGUAUUUGUUCACGUAACAUUCACAAAUUUCCAAAUUAUAGAUGUUAAAUAUUCAACAAGGACUCUUGAAGGAAGAAAGAGUAGCGGCAAUAUGUGAAGGUCUCAUUGGAUUCCUAAUGGACAAGGUGGUAGAUCCAAAAGGAGAAUUUUAUUUUGAUGGACGACAAUUAGACACUCUGAUCAGCAACACCUCGAUGGGAAGAUUGUAGAUAGAUACUUUGAUUUAUUUGUAUAUAUAAUACGCGCUAAUUAUGAUCGAUUUGUACUAGUUGAAUUCUGUAUAUGAAUUGUGUAUAAGAAUUGUGUAUAUAUAUAGUAACUGUAUAAUUACAAAUCCCAUUCGUUUAAAUACUAGUUAAUUUCAUUCUAAAAAAAUCUCAACUACUUAAGGUUAACAAAAGGGCUGCGGUACUACGUACGUGAUGCAUGCAUGAAAAAUUCAGGCGCCAGGCAGGUGCCAUGCAGGGCAUCAUUUAGUCCCGUUUGGAAUCCAGCCGGGACUAAAGGGUAACCCUUUACUCCCGGUUGGGAAACCCAACCGGGACUAAAGGGGGACCGUUACUCCCGGUUAAAAGACCCGGGACUAAAACCCCCCCUUUUGUCCCGGUUGGCUUAUCCCGGAUAAAUUUUCGGGAGAUAUGCACCCUACCAACCGGGACUAAAGGCCAAUUCUCCACUAGUGGAAGGUCCUUUCUCUACCAUGAAUAUUGCCAGAAAGAAUUGAAAGAGACCGCUUGCUAAAAACAUGUCAUAGAUGCGGACCAAGCUACCAAGGAGGUAGACCAAACAUGAUACACACCAUGCGUACCUUGCUGUGCAGACUAUGCAUGGACAAGAUACCCGACCACAUGUUGGCUUUGGUCACAUCAAAAGAAUCAUGUAGGCCAUUAAUAAACUACUUGAAGCGUCAUUCCGUAUCUUAUAUCCAUCAUCUGCAUUACAUUACAUUAAAUAUUAUUAACUAUUUGAAUAAAAUGAACCAAUUUAAAAAUAAUGAAUUGUACAUUACUACAAAAAGCCCUAGCACUGCCAGUUCCAAAAACAUCAUUGUUGACGGCCGUUAAGUACCAAAUAUGACGGUCAAUAUCCUAAAGAAUAAAGGACAAUUGGCAUUUCUUACACACAUAUUUGGUUUCGAAUAAUGUAGUUCUACAUGUCCUUGGAGAUUAUUUGGGUGUGGGUGAAAUAAUACAAAAAGAAGGAGAAAACACACUCCCAUGGCAAAGAAACAUAACUCCGACCAAUGAGAGAUAGCCACAGGGGCAGCACAUGGAUCCAUGGGCCCACAAACUGCAUCAAACCAUCUUACAAGGCGGGUAGCACCCACAACUGUCAUUAGGACCCACCUGGAAGUCUAGCAAAGAAGAAGGUUGUGAGUGGGGCCACGAGGGGUUCGGUUGAAUCAUCUCUAGCUCCCUUCAUCCCCAGCUGGCGCGUGGCGGUGGUUCAUGGUGUCCCGACAUCGGUUAGAGGACAUUCCCCCAAAUAUUCCUCCUGUAAACCAGCUCUAUGAACCUAUAAAUAGAGGGGUGUGCUCUCCAUUCCAACACACACCACAAGUUGAAGCACUCUCUCCCUCUUUAGUUUCCAAGUUUACGGAGAUAGGCUGGAGUAGCUCUGCUAAAGGUUCCAAGUCCACUUGGAGUUAAGCGUAUGUCUCUUGUAUCAUUAUUUCCUAGAGAGACUUUAUGCUAUUCAAGUUAUUUAUCUUCUUCAUAUAGUGUUAUGCUUAGUUCUUAUAUGCAUGAGUUAGUCUAAUACCCUUGCUCUAUUGAUAUGCUCAGCUUAUGUGCUCGUAUGCUAGUCAUGUACCCUUGCUGUCAUAGUAUAGGGUUAUAUGCUGUCAUGUGUGCCUAUAGACCUUGCUACAGUAUAUACUUGUUGUGUAUACAUACCAUUUGUAUAUACAUUAUUACAAGUUAAGGUAGUUUUAAAUAUCCUUGUGUUGACAACCAAAGCUUGAUCUUUUGUUUCCAUUGCCAGCGGAUUCAUCGGCUCAGAGUAGGAUCAAGACAUCAAGUUGAUGGAGUUCUUUAUAUUUCAAGAGGAGUCAUGGAGUUCUUUAUAUUUCAAGAGGAGUUGAUGGUGCUUUCAAUAUUGCAACCAGACAUCAUUGGCUCUGAAGACACCGAAUCAUCGGAGUUCUAUGAUCAGUUUCGGAACAUGAAGCCUUCAUACUCCGAAACUGGGGGGCCUGUGUUGACACCGAAUUAUCGGACUUCUAUAAUUAGUUUCGGAACAUGAAGCCUUCAUACUUCGAAACUGGGGGGUAUGUGUUUACACCAAAAUUUAGAAAUGUGCUCUGAAAGGAAGGACCUGGGAGAUCUAUUGGCUGAAAUACAAAUCCAUCGAAACUAGCCUUAUGCUAAGAGAUCAGAAUAUUGUACAAAGUCUAGAAAGUUCUAUUUACAUCUAAGUAACUCGAUAACUAGCCUUACGCUAAGAGAUCAGAAUAUUGGACAAAGCCUACAAAGUUCUAAUAUAGGUAACGUAAUGACCAGGUGAGGAUAGUUACAAGCUCGCUUGAGAUCGAAGCCGAUGUAGCCCUGCGCGCAAGAAGAAACUCACCUAUUUCUACUCUACUCUUACUCCUAGGGUUUGAUGGCGUGGCGUCAAAAGAUUGUAUUGAUUGAUUGAUUAUUUGAUACAAAGCUCAUGGGCCUAUAUUUAUACCCUUGAGAAAGCUAAAAUCCUAAUCAGUUAUGACAUGAAUCGUGACAGAAAAUCUAACUAAAGAUAGAUCUCCAUGCUUUCCCUUAUUUGGUGGAGUCGAUUUCACUUCAUAUCGGAUCCCUCCCGAUCUUCUAUCGGCUUCUAGCAUCCGGUCAUCUGCGACUGGCCUUGGUCAACAUCAGGUGUCAACAGACUUAUUUCUUCUACAAGUUCAUCGGCUGUCAGAGCCUUGUCUUAGUCAGUUGACUCUAGUAAAAAAUCGAUGUCAAUACAUGCCCCCCAAUUUUUGAAUAAAAUAUUAUAUUUCAAAAUUCUCUUCUCUUGUCAACAGCUUUUGAAAGAAAAAGAGUCACUGCUGCAAUCAUAAUCUUUUUCCCCGGGUUUUGUGAUAGCACCCUCCUCAUUUUAAGGGAUUCACCAUGUGGAAAUUAUAAUAUAACUGCUUCACCCAUUUCGUUUUCUUCACCAAACCAACUAUUGUCAGCCGCUACAACCAAAAAUCAAUUAUUCCCUUCACAUGCCUAGCGACUGCAUCCAUCACUCAUCGUCACCAUUAGUCUCCAUGUGUCAAGGCUUCUUCAACCAGCAAUGGCGACAUUAUCUUCCAUUCCACAGGUACCAUGUAUCCUAGCCAUUCCUUUCCCCUUUCAACCUGAAAUCCAAUCUAGUCACUAUAUAUCAAACCUGUGUUCUUAAUCAAUACUUGCCCCCUUGUACUUAGAAACACCCUUUUGAUCCCCAUAUCCGAUACGCAAGCAGAAUACUUUCUAGGCCCCAUGGGUAGUGAAGACCCAAUAGAAUCUAUUAAUGCUGAAAUACUUGGACAAAGUCUAGAAAGUUCUAUUUACAUCUAAGUAACUCGAUAACUAGCCUUACGCUAAGAGAUUUAAAUAUUGGAUAAAGCCUAGAAAGUUCUUAUAUAGGUAACUGAAAAGUGUGUUGACGCAAAAAUUGGAUGGUUGACUCCUGCGUACUAACACACGGAACCAGGGAGAAUCUGCUUAGCUACUGUUCGGGUUAUAGCCCUCUCGAUCCGUAGCGUGCCAGUUAAUCUGACCUGCUGAUUGACAAGUAAAAAUGUCAAAUUAAGAGCAAAUCAGCUGGUGUUCCGAAUCGCUCCACGGGACGUAUCAGUAGACAGCCGAUACGGGCAAACGACAAUCAGCUAGAUCAGCCGAUUUGCUCUUGUAUUUGACGUUUUACUUGUCCUUCUCAAUCAGCAGGUCAGAUUGACUCGCACGACGCAGAUCGAGAGGGCUAUAACCUAAACAAGAGCUAAGCAGAUUCUCCCGGGUUUCAUGUCUUAGUACACAGAAGUCAACCGUCUGAUUUUAUCAUCAACACGCUUUUUGGCACGCUCAGUGGGACCCGAUUCAUAUCUUAAUGGUAAUUGGUGAUCAAGUUUCAAACAACGUAUCCACUGGUAGAAAACUGAGCAUUAGUCCCGGUUGGUAAGGGUCAUAUCUCUCGGAUAUCCAUCCGGGAUAAACCAACCGGGACAAAAGGGGGGGGUCUUUAGUCCCGGGUAUUUUAACCGGGAGUAAAGGACCCCCUUUAGUCCCGGUUGGUGUCACCAACCGGGACUAAAGGGCCUGCCACGCCAGGCGCGGGACAGGCCCUUUAGUCCCGGUUGGUGACACCAACCGGGACUAAAGGGGGUCCCUUUAGUCCCGGUUGGAUUUCCCAACCGGGACUAAAGGGGUCCCCUUUAGUCCCGGCUCAAUUCCAACCGGGACUAAAUUGCGCUUGCAUGGCACUGGUGACGCCUGAAUUUUUCAUGCAUGCAUCACGUAUACGUAUAGUAGUACCGCGGCCCUUUUAAUUUGUUAACCUUGUAGUUGAGAUUUUUUUAGAAUGAAUUAAAUCAACUAGUAUUUAAACGAAUGGGAUUUGUAAUUACACAACUACUAUAUAUAUACACAAUCCUUAUACACAAUUCAUAUACACAAUUCAACUAGCUUAAUUAGUACAAAUCGAUCAUAUAUACAAAUAAAUCAAAGUAUCUUCCUACGAUCUUCCCGUCGUGGUGUUGCUGAGAGGAGUGUCUAAUUGUCGUCCAUCGUAAUAAAAUUCUCCUCUUGGAUUUACCACCUCGUCCAUUAUGAAUCCAAUGAGACCUUCACAUAUUGCCGCUACUCUUUCUUCCUUCAAGAGUCCUUGUUGAAUAUUUAACAUCUAUAAUUUGGAAAUUUGUGAAUGUUACAUGAACAAAUACAUAUAAGGAGCUAGAAAAUAAUUAACUAGUAAUAUAUUUAUUUUACGUACUUUAAAGUUGUGCGGCGUCAUCUUCGGUCCCUUGGGUCCCAAAAAACUGUGCAUGUGCUCACAGAUGUAGUAGCCACAUAGGUUAUUCCCGGGUUCCUGUCUUAAGCACUUCAGUGCGGAAAAAAAAUAAGUUAUGAAAUAUUCGUGUUAUACAAUGUAAUAAAUGUGCAGACUUCAUACGUACCGGGAAGUCUGUGUUCCAUGUAAGAUCUUCUUUGAAUGGACCUUUGUGUGUCCUUAUGAAUUGUUUCCAUACGCUGCGGAUUAGAAUAAUGAAUGACAUAGUGUAACAGGGAUAAAAUUUAGGAAAUAAAUUUUUGCAUAGAGAUAAAGGUCCAGAAUUAUUACAAGCCUAGCAUGUCUUGCAAUUCUUGGUAGUCCACCGGAUCUUUCCGUAACGAAUCAAAGACAGUGACGUGGCUUCUUUCAGGCUCAAUUAUAAUAAGGAUCCAGUGGAAGCUGCGUGCGUAAAAUGUUCAUGCAUAUUAGAGCUAACUAACAUGUAGAGAUAAGGAAAAAGACAUCGAAAGUAGACGGUAUACACACACUUACUUGAAGUUGUAUGGAAGUAGUAUGAAAUCCUUGAAUGUUUGUUUGUGUAGGAAAUUGUAUAUUUCGGCAAAGGUUUUUUCCGGCGCUAAUUGUAUCUGUUGUUGGUUAACUACAGAUGGAUCCAUGAAGCCUACAUGUAGGUACGCCUCUCGGCGGCAUGUCUGAAUUAGCAUCCUACAUGAAAUGGAAGAUGAAGUUAGUACGGUGACGCACGCCAAAAUUUACAUGUAGAGAUAAUAAACGGACACUUACAGAAUCCAAGCGCUGAUCAGAGAGACGUCCAGGGCAUCAUGAUGGUACACUUCGUAUAUAUCCUUGAAGUCUAGCCACAGCACUUUCUCCCCUUCACCGUGAAAAUCUAUCGGUUUUACCUUCAUGCCGAUCAUCUCCCUCGAUUUGGCGGAUGCCGUCAUGUACCAUUGAUGGAAUUCGUACAUCUUUGUUGACAGCUUCCGUACCAUUGCCGGCUUCACUAGAGGCUUGCCUAGCUCAUAAGGCCAUCUCGGCUCAGGGGGCGGUGCAGUUGGCGUCUCGACUUGCCCUAUGCAUUCUUCAAGUCCCAGACCUGUUUCUUCCAUGAACUUCAAUAUAUUUUCUUGUUGAUCCAAGGGCAUUGCUUUUACCCGUUGAGCAUCUUUCUUUGAUAAAUGGCUGAGGUCGGGGACUGAACCGCUGGAGGAUGAUUUUCCUUUUCUUUUAUCCUUUUCAUCAGCCUUUACUAGAGCCCGUUCAUAGUUUGACAAGAGUGGUAUCCUUUUCUUGGCUCCUUCCUCCAUCCUGAUAAAAAAGUUUAAAUCCCGCCGACUUACUGGCGGUGGCUCCAUCUCCCUUGCCCUUUUUAAUUCGGCUUGUUUCUUGAACCACUCACUGGCCUCUCGUUGGAUUUCUGCCCACUGUUCCGCAUGAGACAUUGCCUCAAAGCGUUCCUUGCGAGCCACUUCAGGGUCGACCUUUGUUUUCUUCUUUCGAGGCUGUCUUUGCUUGGGAGGCGGUGCUCGUGACUUCUUGAGUGGUGCUGCAGGUUCCUUCGAGGGGGCCGCUCUUGGUGCCAGCGACGGUGAUCGGGGAGGGGUGUUGUUAUUGUCGUCGUCGCUCCCAGCACCAGGAUGUGGUGGAGAUGGAGACCUUGAUAUAGAUGGAAGCGACGGUCCUGGAGCAGGAGAUGCCGGUCUCGAGGUAUGAGGAGAAGGUCGCUGCUCGGGAUCUACGGGGAGCGGUCUUGAGGUCUGAGGAGAUGGCUCCGUGCGGGAAAUAAUGAUGUAGCGUUUCUUCCAUAGAAUGAUCCCAUGAAGCGCAUCUGCCAAUGUCUUUUCCCCGUCGCCUCCCGGGAAGUCGAGCUCUAGACCUUCAUACUGGGCAUCUACUAUUUGCUCGACGCAGACGCUGGCGUAGCCUGUUGGAAUGUCCAUGCCAUGACUGCUCUGCCCUGCCAGCGUUGGUAACGCACUCCCAUACGCUACCUGUACAUAUAGCAGAAGUAAACAAGUUGAACUCCGAUCUCGAGGCCUGGAUCAAUUGACAAGAUUGCAUAAAUAUUAUGUAUAAGUAUACCUUAAUAGUGAGGUUGCCGACCGGUGCAUGCAGCUCACAUGAGGUCCGUUGCGUGAUGGCAUCCACGGGGAACCGUUGCUCCUCCACGGGUAACCUGGGCGUCUGCGCAUCGGGGACCCCUGUAGAAGCACAACUGCUCCCGAGGCGUUGAGAAGGGCUGGCGGUGUGAGGAUUCGGCAGUGCUCCAGAUUGCGCCAACUCCGCAACUGCGUCGGCCACCCGCCGAUUGAUUUCAUCCAUCAUUCGUUGUUCUAGCAUCUGCCGCCAGCUCUCCUCCAUCUGUUCCUUUCUUCGCUUCCGGCUUCUGUAAGAGGCGCUGUCGCCUCGGAAAGCGAACUUCCACGGAACCACCCCGAACCCCCGGCAACGUCCUGGGUGCUCUGGAUUACCGAGGGCCAAUGUGAGCUCAUCAUUUUCUCGGUCCACCCUCAACCUCCCAGCCUUGGAAUCUUCAAUGUUCUUCAUGAGAUGUUCGGCCUUCUCACGUAUUCUGUCAUUGAAAAUCAGCGUCCCAUCCUCUUGGCUUAGGGAGCCUCCAUGAGCGUAGUACCAGUUCUUUGAUCGUUCGGGCCAUUCAAUAGUUGCAGGUAUGAUUCCCCGUUCGAUCAGAUCUUGUUCCAUCUUUCUCCACUUGGGAAUUGCUGAGCCAUACCCACCUCGCCCCAAAUGAUGGUGGUAGCCCUUCUGACUAGCAUUUGCAACGUUGGUCGUGAUCUUUUUCACACCUUCUUCACUCCUCUUGUAUUCAACAAAUGCAUCCCAGUGGUCCCUCAACUUGGGCCACGCGUUGAAGUCUGGAGUUUUGCCCUUCUUGAUGUAGUGGGUGUCCAGCAUCUUCUUGAAUGUCUGGAAUUGAGUAGCCAUCUUCUUAAGUGUCCACGCUUUGACAUCCUUCUCGCUAUAAUCUUCGGGGAAUGUGAAAUGCCUCUUCACGUCUUCCCACAGCAUAUUCUUUUCUGUCUCUGGAAGGGCGUACGGAUUAUCGCUUCUGCCCUUCCAUUCUCUGAUGCUGAUAGGCACGUUGUCCCGGACAAUUGCCCCGAUUUGACUAACGUACUUCUUUGCGACUUUCUCGGGAGCAACCGGCCUGCCCUCAUCUGUAACUUCGGUGAUGACAAGCCUCCCUUCCAUCACCUUUGUACGACCUCGGGUCUUCUGCCCUUGUGUCGAUCCGGAGGGCUAACAGUUUAAGAUUCGUUAAUUAGUACGUACUAGUAGCGGUGGCGUGAAACAAUACAAGAAUGGUUGUAUAUACCUCGCCGGAACCUUCCGCCACGGCAAGUUGUUGCUGCGGCUGUUGCUCUUCAUUCACAUCGGCAGACAUGUUGAGGAACAUGUCCGCCUGGGUGCCCUCUUCAUCCGUGUAUGAUAGUGGAACGUUGUCGCCACUAUCAUCACCAGCGAUUAUCUGCUCCAUGAUAUACCUUGCGGUCUCAUCGUCUGCCAUUUCAACUAUUGCUGCAAACAUACAUGGAAUCAUACAUGACAGUCAUAGAAAUCGUCUUAAUACAAAUUUGUAUAUAAUCACAGUUCGGAAUCAUACAUGUAUAUAAUGAAAUCAUAAAAUAACAUGAAUCGUACAAAGUCCGGAAUCUUUAUACAAAUUUCUAUGAAUUUAUACAAAUUUCUAUGAAUUUAUACAAAUUUCUAUGAAUUUCUAUGAAUUUCUAUGAAUUUCUAUGAAUUUCUAUGAAUUUCUAUGAAUUUAUACAAAUUUCUACGAAUUUCUAUGAAUUUCUAUGAAUUUCUAUGAAUUUAUACAAAUUUCUACGAAUUUCUAUGAAUUUCUACAAAUUUCUACGAUUUUCUAUGAAUUUCUACAAAUUUCUACGAAUUCCUACGAAUUUUGACGAAUUUCUACGAAUUUUGACGAAUUUCUACGAAUUUCUACGACGGCGAUAAGGGCGGCGAAGGCGGGACGGCGGCGGUCAGGGCGGCGGAGGCGGGACGGCGGCGGUCAGGGCGGCGGAGGCGGUUCACCGGAACCACGGGCGGUGCCUAAGCUACUACGUUGUGAUGGGCGGCAGGACGGCGGCGAUCACGGCGGCUACUCGGCGGCGAUCACGACGGCUACAAGGCGACUGUCACGGUAGCUACUCGGCGGGACGGCGGCGAUCACGACGGCGGGACGGUAGUUAACAACCUAACUACAAAUCUAACUUAACAAACUAACUAGAAAUCUAAAAAUCUAACUUAACAAAAUUAGAAAUCUAAAAAUCUAACUUAACAAAAUUACAAUUCCAUCUAAAAAAACAAAAUUAAAAAUUAAAAGAAAACGGCCAGCUCUCCCGGCGCACCGGCCGGCGCGGCAGACCUCUCGCGCGCGGGGCGGCGGCCGGGGCGGCGGGACGGCGGCGGCCGGGGCGGCCUGACGGCGGCGGCUGGGGCGGCGACGAGGACGAAGACGACGACGGCGGGAUGACGGCGGCCGAGGCGAAGACGACGACGGCGGCCGGCGAGGGGCGACGAGGAUGGAGCUGGCGACGAGGGGCGAUGCAGCCGGCGAGGGAGGCGGACGGGCGGCGACGGGCGGAGAGGGAGGCGGACGGGCGGCGACGGGCGAGGGAGGCGGACGGGCGACGACGACGGCGCAAUGCGGGACUUCGACGGCGCAAUGGGGGACGACGACGGCGGCGGCCGGCGAGGGAGGCGGACGGGCGGCGACGGGCGGAGAGCGCGGGACUUGCGAAAAUUUCGCUAAGUGUGGAACUGGCGGGGGGUAGAAGGGAGUACAGUGCUUUUAACCCCCCCCCCCUUUUAUCCCGGUUCGUAAUGGCACCCGGGACAAAAAGGGCCUUUUGUCCCGGGUCCUGUCACCAACCGGGACAAAAGGCCCCCCCUUUUAUCCCGGUUGGUGACGGGACCCGGGAUAAAAGGGUGCGCUCCCAGCCCCACCUGGCGGGGGCACCCUUUUAUCUCGGGUCCCGUUACCAACCGGGACAAAAGGCCCCCCCUUUUAUCCCGGUUGGUAACGGGACCCGGGACAAAAGGGUGCCCCCGCCAGGUGGGGCUGGGAGCGCACCCUUUUAUCCCGGGUCCCGUCACCAACCGGGAUAAAAGGGGGGGGCCUUUUAUCCCUGUUGCAAAUGGCAACCGGGAUAAAAGGGUACGUUCGGGCGGGAGACGAAACGUACCCUUUUAUCCCGGUUGCCGUUUGCAACCAGGAUAAAAGGGGGGCCUUUUAUCCCGGUUGCUGUUAGCACCCGGGACAAAAGGUCCUUUUUCCUAUUUUUCUUCUCCCGCCUGUUUUUUGGAAAUGGAUUUUAUUUAACCUUUUCACUGCAUUCCAGGAUGAAAAACAAAACCUUCUCAGAUUUUGUACAUGCAAAAAUAUAUUUAAUUAACGAGUAAAUUGACAAUAAGUAUGAAGUAAUCAUUAUUUCUAUACCAACUCAUAUAGCCUGUAAAAUAUUUAUUUUACUGCAUUGCUGUGAUCAAUAAAUUAUUCAAUUAAAUUUUUUGAAUGCGCAGAAAAAUCCAUGUUAGUAUGUGGUUAACAAUGUUCAUGUAUAUCUAAAAAAUCUUCACCUAACAAAUUUAAUUACAAAUUUUAUCAAUUAAUACACAAAGGUCAUGCACAUUUAACGCAUUACAAUACAACGUUGUAAAAUUUCUUCUUCACGAAAGUUCCUUGAUCAUGAUCGCGGCGUAAGUACGGAGCCUCUUCUUUGGACAGCAGGAUGCUUGGAUCAACUUCAACGUCGAAUGGAGGCAUGCCAUCAAACUGAUCAUAAUCAUCUGAUUGGUCUGUUUUAUCCUCGACUCCCACGAUUUUUCUUUUACCUAGAAGAACUAUGUGGCACUUUGGCUCCCAUGUCUCUUCUGGAUUCCUCUUGGGUUUGCUGCACAUGUCCUUCACAUAGAACACCUGAUGCACAUCAUUGGCAAGUACGAAUGGGUCAUCACUGUAUCCAGUCUUGCUCAGAUCUACUAUUGUCAUUCCGUACUGAUCUUUGGUGACGGCAGUUAGCUUCACCCAAUUGCAAAGAAAUAGAGGGAUGUACAGCGGUCCGUAUUCGAGUUCCCAUAUCUCCUGUAUGAAACCAUAAUACGACUCCUUGCUAUUAUUUCUGUCCAUGGCAUCUAUGCGGACACCACUAUUCUGGUUCGUGCUUUUCUGGUCCUGGGCUCUCGUGUAAAAUGUGUAACCAUUUAUCUCAUAGCCUUGGAAUUUGACGAUUGUGGUAGCAGGUCCCCUGGCUAACCAAGCAAGCUGUGGGUGAAUCUCAGAGUUACCCAUAAGUUGUUGGCGCAACCAGGAGGGAAAAGUUUCCAUGUGAUGACGGGUAAGCCAAGCAUCGGAUUUGGUCGGGUUUUUGGAAGCUACCAUCUGCCUGUGCUGCUCGAUAUACGGAGACACAAAGGAUGACUGUUGUAGAACAGUGUAGUGUGCCUUGUCGAACAAAUUAGUAUCAUUGCUCAAACUUGAUUUCCUUCCAAGGGUGCCCAUUCCUCGGAGCCUCCCCUCGUGGCGUGAAGUUGGAACCCCAAUCGAGUCAAUUGAAUCAAUAAAAUCAACACAAAACUCGAUCACCUCCUCUGUUCCAUAUCCCCUGGCGAUGCUUCCUUCUGGACGAGCACGAUUACGAACAUAGUUUUUUAGGACUGCCAUGAACCUCUCGAAAGGCCACAUAUUGUGCAGGUAUACAGGUCCGAGAAUACCAAUCUCUUUUACUAGGUGAACCAGUAAGUGCGUCAUAUUAUUGAAGAAGGAUGGUGGAAAUAACAACUCAAAACUGACAAGACAUUGCACCACAUCGUUCUGUAGCUUUGAUAGCUUGGAUGGAUCGAUUGCCUUCUGCGAAAUCGCAUUGAGAAACGCGCAUAGCUUUACGAGCGGCAACCGGACAUUUUCGGGUAGAACACCCCUCAGUGCAACCGGAAGCAACUGGGUCAUCAACAUGUGGCAGUCAUGAGCCUUGAGAUUUGUAAACUUCUUUUGUUUCAUAUUUAUUAUUCCCUUUAUAUUCGAGGAGUACCCAGACGGGACCUUCAUACUAUUCAAGCAUUCAAACAUACUAUCCUUCUCCUCCUUGCUGAGAGUGUAACUGGCAGGACGUAAGUAGUGCUGUCCAUUAUCUCUCUUUUCCGGAUGUAGGUCAUCUCGUUGCCCCAUGGCUUUCAGGUCCUGUCUUGCUUCCAAUGUAUCUUUUGAGGUUCCAUAAACACCCAUGAAGCCUAGCACGUUCACGCAAAGAUUCUUCGUCAGGUGCAUCACGUCUAUUGCGUUGCGAACCUCUAGGAUUUCCCAAUAAGGUAGCUCCCAAAAUAUUGACUUUUUCUUCCACAUGGGUGCAUGUCCGUUAUCAUCGUUCGGAAUAGGUUGGCUACCAAGUCCCUUUCCAAAGACUACAUGUACAUCCUUCAUCAUCUCGAACACACGCUUUCCAUUACGGUGUGCAGGUUUUUUACGAUGGUCUGGCGUCCCUUUGAAAUGCAUCCCGCUCUUUCUCAGCUGGUGGUGAGCAGGGAGAAAUCGACGAUGACCCAUAUAGACGACCUUCUUACAGUGCUUCAAGUACAUGCUAUCUGUGUCAUCUAAACAGUGGGUGCAUGCCCGAUAUCCCUUAUUUGUCUAUCCUGAAAGGUUACUCAAUGCAGGCCAAUCGUUGAUGGUUACGAACAACAGUGCUCGUAGAUUAAAGAUCUCUUGUCUAUCCUCAUCCCACACACGUACACCUUCUUCCUUCCAGAGCUGUAAAAGGUCAUCAACCAACGGCCUUAGGUACACGUCAAUGUCGUUGCCGGGUUGUUUUAGGCCUUGGAUAAGCGCCGGCAUCAUAAUGAACUUCCGCUUCAUGCACAGCCAAGGAGGAAGGUUGAACAUACAAAGGGUCACAGGCCAAGUACUAUGACCACUACUCAACUCACCGAAUGGAUUGAAUCCAUCAGUGCUUAAACCAAACCUUAUGUUCCUUGCUUCACUUUCAAAGUCUGGGAAUGUUCUAUCAAUUGAUCUCCACUGUGCCCCAUCUGCGGGGUGUCUCAGCAUCUCAUCUUCCUUACGGUCUUCUUUGUGCCAUCGCAUCAACUUAGCAUUCGCCUUGUUCCUGAACAAGCGCUUCAAGCGUGGUAUUAUAGGGAAAUACCACAUCACCUUCACGGGAACUCUCUUCUUGGGAGACUGCCCCUCGACAUCACCAGGAUCAUCUCGCCUGAUCUUAUACCGCAGGGCUUCGCAGACGGGACAAGCAUCCAAUUCCUCGUAUUCAUCACCACGAUAGAGGAUACAGUCAUUAGGGCAUGCGUGUAUCUUCUGAACAUCCAAUCCGAGAGGGCAAAUAAUCUGUUUAGCUUCAUAUGUUGUGGACGGUAAUUCAUUAUUCUCGGGGAGAAUCUUCUUGACAAUUCUCAACAUCCCCUGAAAUGCCUUAUCGGACACACCAUUUUUUGCCUUCCAUUGCACAAAUUCUAGUGUCGUACCUAGUUUUUUAUGGCCCUGCUGGCAACCUGGGUACAACAAUUUUUGGUGAUCAUCUAUCAUGCGCUGCAACUUUGCUGCUUCCUUCUCAGUUUCGCAAUCUCUGUAUGCAUCUCGUAUCACCUGACCAAGGUCAUCAGUAGGGUCAUUUUCUGCAAACUCAUCUUCAUCAGCCUCGCCCAUUGUAGUACCUGCAAAAGCUUGGCCUGCAACCCAGUCCGGAAUGGUGUCAUCUUCCUCCUCCUCCUCGCCAUCUUCCAUUACAACCCCUAGUUCACCGUGCUUGGUCCAAACCAAAUAGUUAGGCAUGAAACCGUAUUUAAACAAGUGGCUGUGAAUAGUCCCCCAGGAAUUCUUUGAAUACUCCUUCCUGUUAUUGCAUUGGAAGCAUGGACAACAUACGAACCCAUUCUCUGGCUUGUUCGCUUUUGCCACUUCGAGAAAAUAAUGCAAGCCAUCAAUAAACACCUUGCUCCGCCUGUCUGCAUUAUACAUCCAAUGCCGGUCCAUCUGCAUCGUAUUACGCACGAAAAUGGAUUACACUUGACAAUGGAUUACGCGUGAAAAUCGAUUAAAGAUCCAAACAACAUGGUACAAUACAACAACAUGAAGAUCCAAAUACACAUAUUUAAAUUAAAGUCCCAAACACUGCAUAAGUUGUUCAACUUGAAGACCGUGAUCAUCUCGUGAGGAUGUCCUCAACUGGGCGGCACCGCACUUCGUCAUUAAAGAGGUUAGAUGCUACGGAAAAGGGGACACGGUCACAAUGUCCGUAUCCACUCUUUCUCGUAGAAUCGAACCUCCUUCUUGACAUACGUUGCUGCUCGGCGGAGAACAUCCUCGGCGAGAUGAACACGGUAUGCAAGUUCAACAAGUAGCAGAAGUCAUCUAUGUACAAAAAUUCUUUCCUUACCACUACAGAAGUUGUUGAACUUGAAGACCGUGUUCAUUUCGCGAGGAUGUCCUCAGCUAGGCGGCACCGCACUUCGUCAUGAAAGAGGUUAGAUGCUACGGAAAAGGGGACACGGUCACGAUGUCCGUAUCCACUCUUUCUCGUAGAAUCGAACCUCCUUCUUGACAUACGUUGCUGCUCGGCGGAGAACAUUCUCGCCGAAAUGAACACGGUAUGCAAGUUCAACAAGUAUAUGGAUUUAAAAAACCAUAUUGAAUUUGAUAAGAUAAACCGUCUAGACAAGGUAGCAUCAUUUUUAAACCACUGAAAUAAUGCAUACUAUAUAUGACACAUCAAUCUCCCUCACAUUCUAGCUCAAAAUACCUCUCCAUUUUUCUACUUCAUCAUCACAUUGUAGCAAAUAAUCUUUCCAUCUCCAAAGCAUAAAUCAAAGCAUAACACGAGGAUGAAGUAGCAAACCUUCGCAGCACUUGUUGGCUGAGUCAAAUUCCCACGAAAAUGAGGGAAAAAAGUUCGGGCAGCACCUCCCUUGCUUGGGCACCACCGGAGAGUAGGUGAAGCUCAGCUCUCUAUCAAUGUGCUGGACUGCUCGGGCUGGAGGAAGAAGAAAGUCUCUGUCUCGGGGUAUAGUGGGGGAUGAGUUUUAAUCCCGGUUAAAAACUCCAACCGAGACAAAAGGAAACACCUUUUGUCCCGGUUGGAAAGUUAGUCCCGGUUGGAGGAUCCAACCGGGAUAAAAGGGACACCCUUUUAUCCCGGUUGGAGGCACCAACCGGGACUAACCCUUUUAUCCCGGUUGGUGCCUCCAACCGGGAUAAAAGGGUGUCCCUUUUAUCCCGGUUGGAUCCUCCAACCGGGAUAAAAGGGUCCCGCCACCGACGGCCCCCGCUAGCCGUUGCAACCGGGACUAAAGGGGGGCCUUUAGUCCCGGUUGCAAUUACCAACCGGGACUAAUGCUCCCCUCCAAAUUCCCGCACCCCGGCGCACCCCCUUUUGUCCCGGGCCACUUUUAAACCGGGAUAAAAGGGGGUUGAUCGAAAGUCAGUUCUCUACUAGUGAUCGGUGACUCCGCUCGAGGAGAAUUGUUUAUAUCAAGCAUAGAAAUGACAACGUUGGAAGUGGAGGAUAUAUUUUGCUCUGUUGAUUUAAUUGCCGCGAGAGUGGCGGACAAGUUCUAAUGAUUGAAGAUCAGAAGCGUCUCGUGGAGAAUUUUUCAGAAGCUAUAUUUGGAAUUAUUAUAUUAUCUCAGGAGCAGAUUAAAUAUAACGCCACCACUGAAAGCCGAUGAGAUGUAUCUAUCGGCUACAUGCUAUUCAGAUGAAUUUGAUGACAGAUUAAUUACGGAGGAGACCGACCGAUACAACAUUAUGGUUUCUUACUGCUGAUCUGUUAUGAAAGAGGAUGUGAGAAGCUGAUAAUCAAGCAACAAUAAAAUGAUAUACACGCAGGGCAUUAAAUAUUGAGUUAAUGAUUGGGAGUACUACCAUUAUCUUAUGAAAAGUCCAUCGGCUAACCAAACAGCGUCAGCCGAUGGAAGCAAAUAGUGUCAGCCGAUAGAAUGAUGUUAUAUAAGUAUAUAUAUCGGCCUCCGAGCCAAUGGGAAGUAGGAACUAUCAGCCGAUGCACACAUCCAUGGACAUAGCCGAUAAGACAUUGUAUCGGCUGCUUGGCAAAUAAAAAUAGCAUCGGCUGACCGCUUGUUAAAAUAUUAUCGGCCGAUUGCUUGGCAAAAUAGUAUUGGCUGACUGCUUGGCAAAUAAAAAAAUAAUAGGUUGACCAAAAAAGGAUAGCAUUGCCUGAUUGCUUGGCAAAUAAAAAAAAUUACGUCGGCUGAUUGGUUCCAGCAAAAUAGUAUCGGCUGCUUGUUGAUCAGAAAAAGCCGAUACUGUUACAGCUCCCGCAACUGUGCUUUGCUGUCAUCGGCUGGGUUGUUCGUGCUCCAUCUGCAAAUAUUUGUCCCGGCUAGAAAGUAUCGUACGUGCAUUGGGAUUCGGCAGUACAAAUCACGUACACGCGUAUGGUCUGCUCAGAAGCUGUCUGUUCGACGAAGUUCCAGGCCAAUGGUGGAGACUUGAUGACCAUGGUGACCUGCAUUAAUCAACAUGAAGUAUGUAUCGGCUGUUCGGUGAUUGGUAGCAAAUCAGCUUUCUCAUAGCCGGUGACAUAUGGGGCAAGAAAUAUCAGGCUUAAAAAAGGACAGUACGAUCAAUGUCGAAAGUUGUAGCCGACGGUUCUAUUAUUGUGCAGUCGAUGGAACAUAGAAGAUGCAUCUGAAUGAGCAAAAGGAAGGGAGCCGAUAGAAGGGAAUUUAAGUUGCAUGAGAUCCAAUUAAAUUAAGAUGACGAGAGGUGUUGACAUCGAAUCAUCGGACUUCUACGAAGUCUUCAUACUCCGAAACUAGGGAGUCUGUGUUAACACCAAAAUUUAGAAAUAUGCUGAUGCAAAAAAAUAAUGAAAUCUCCUAAAUAAGGCUCAAGAAAGAAAAAGCAAGAAAAGAAAAUCAAUCGCACGCGGCAAGAAUUGAAUAAAAUAUUCUAGAGGUAGAGUUGGUUAGGAUAAGCUUAAUUAGGGAUAGAGUUGGAUUAGUUAGAGAUAGUAUUUUGAUUAGAAAAGAUUGUGUACAUGACUUGUACGUGGUGCGUCAGAGGCCAUCCGCCCUAUAAAUAUAAGGGGUCGUGGCCAUUGUAAUUAUCAUCACACGAUCAAUAUACAACAUAUUUAUCUUUUACCUUUUCGGCUUCACGCCAUUGUAUUAGGAGUAGGAGUAAUGUAGCUUCCUGACGAGUUCCUUCUAGCAAGCUGUGCUGCAUUGACCUUGAUCUCUGGCGAGCUGCAAAGUUCCGUCACCAGGUGUUCUAGGCUUUAACCACCGGGCGCAUCGCUUGUGGUUUCGUCUAGUUUCAUCUACAAGGUAUCGAAUAUCAUGGAUCUUUAACUUACGCAUCGCUUCUGUCUUGAUCUACGGUAUUCACCAGUUAUCCUGCCUUGGUUAAGUCUGCAUCGGCUGAUAUUUAUCUGUUCUAUCAUCUUGCCGUUCAGUUUGCUUUAAUUAGCUUUAGAUCGGUUCAUUAUAGAUGAUAGAUCGCUUAAUAGCCUGUUGCAUCUUAAUCUUGGUUACCCCUUCAAGUGCUGUUGGGAUUAAGUUUCGUUAUGAUUGGAUUCAUCGGCUGGUGGGGUUGGUGGGGUUCAGAUUAACAUCGUGCUAAAUAUUUCUAGACUGCAACUACUGGACGCAUCGCUGUGGUUUCAUCUAGAGAUAUUGGUAGAGAGUUUAGUUUAGAUCUCAUCGGUUCGUGGCUCUAGCUAUGGUGGAGCGGCAGCUGAAUAGCAUCCUGUUUUCUAUCGGUCGCCUGGCCGAUAGUUAUUGCAAAAUAUAUUAAAUCGCCUGGAUGGCCGAUGGAUCACUCACGCUCGUCAAGGAUCAUAUCGGCCUGAUCGGCCAGUUGCCUCGGACUUCAAAGGAUUAUUUUCACCUUGUCAGUUGAAUGGUCAAACUGGCUGGCACGCCCGCGCACACCAUGCGCGCCGAUUUGGAUUUUGCACUGGAGUUAAGUAGAUCUUCCAGGUCCUCAUGUGGUGACGAAGGAUCCACCACCAUCAGGAUUUUGCGUCAACACAUUUUGGCACGCCCAGUGGGACACGGUUAUAAGGUUCAUAUUUUUAUUCAUAUAAAAAAGCAUCUUCGGCAUCAUCGGCCAAAUGAGUGUUCAUCGGCUUGUUAGAAUUAAUUCAAUAUAAUAUUUCAGCAAAAGCAGCCGAUGUAGCGAUUGGAGAUAAGGCCAAGUCAAGUCUGCGUGUAUACGCAUGUUCCGGUGGGAUCAUCUUCAUAAAUGCCAAUGACGAUUAGAGAUGAAGCUUCCUGCAAAAUGAUUGGCUACUCUAUCCGGGAAGAAUUGCUUUUUUAUGAGGCAUAUAUAGAGACCCAUGUUGCAAUUAGGGGGCGUAUUCGUGCAUUGGCUGAAAUAAAAAAAUGCAUCGGCAUAUUGAAAAUUGCAUCGGCCGAUUGACAGUCGUAUCAGCUGAUUGGAAAAAUAAAAAGGGAUCAGGGAUCCGCCGAUUGAAAAUUGCAUCAGCUGAUGGAAAAUGAGAGCAACAGUUACAAUAUUUUUUUUAAAAGAAAGCAAGUAUCGGCAAGCAGUAGCCGAUGGAUUUGUAUUUCAGCCAAUGGGGUUUUUGUUUCAGCUGAUAGUACUACUGGCUGAUGGCAAGUCCAAUGGAGUUAAAAUUGCAUUGACUGAUUGAAAUAAAAAUUAAGUAUCGGCUAAUUUAUGGCCAAGUAGCAUCUGCUGAUUUGUUGCAAAGUAGUUUCGGCUGAUUUAUGGCAAAAUAGAAUCGGCCGAUUUAUGGCAAAGAAGCCAAUAGACAAAAGCAUCGGCUGGUAGAGAAGCCGAUUGAGCAAGCAUCUGUUGAUGAGCUAUGUAUGGGAAAAAGUAUUGGCUGCUUAAACAAUUGACAAAAGCCAAUUGGUCAGACUGAGAAGCCAACUGGGAAAGCAUCGAUCGAUGGAUUGCGUAUGGGAGAGAGUAUCGGUUGAAGUCUUUAGUAUUGACUGCUAGAUAUUUGAGCAAGCGUCGGCCGAUUGACUGCUUGGUAAAAAAAACAUCGGGCUGAUUGCUUGGUUAAUAAAAAAAUUGCAUCGUUCAAGCAAAGAUUGCAUGGGCUGAUUGGUUCAAGCAGAAUAGUAUCGGUUGCUUAUAGAAUAUAUCGGAUAUUAAUUUCGAAGCAUGAAAAUAUUCAUACUCCGAAACUGGGGGGCCUGUGUUGACAACAAAAGCUUGCUGGUUACUGCAUCAAGUUUUGGUGUCAACAUACUUGAUCUUUUGUUUCCAUUGCCAGCGGAUUCAUCGGCUCAGAGUGGGAUCAAGACAUCAAGCUGAUGGAGUUCUUUAUAUUUCAAGAGGAGUCAUGGAGUUCUUUAUAUUUCAAGAGUAGUCGAUGGUGCUUUGAAUAUUGCAACCAGACGUCAUUGGCUCUAAAGAUACCGAAUCAUCGGACUUCUAUGAUCAGUUUCGGAACAUGAAGCCUUCAUACUACGAAACUGGGGGCCUGUGUUGACACCGAAUCAUCGGACUUCUAUAAUUAGUUUUGGAACAUGAAGCCUUCAUACUUCGAAACUGGGGGGCCUAUGUUAACACCAAAAUUUAGAAAUGUGCUCUGAAAGGAAGGUAUCGGCCGAUGAUGCAAAAAAAUAAUGAAAUCUCCUAAAUAAGGCUGAAGAAAGAAAAGCAAGAAAAGGAAAUCAACGCACACGGCAAGAAUUGAAUAAAAUAUUCUGGAGAUAGAGUUGGUUAGGAUAAGCUUGAUUAGAGAUAGAGUUGGAUUAUUUAGAGAUAGUAUUUUGAUUAGAAAAAAUUGUGUACAUGACUUGCCUUGUACGUGGUGCGUCAGAGGCCAUCCGCCCUAUAAAUAUAAGGGGUCGUGGCCAUUGUAAUUAUCAUCACACGAUCAAUAUACAACAUAUUUAUCUUUUACCUUUUCGGCUUCACGCCAUUGCAUUAGGAGUAGGAGUAAUGUAGCUUCUCGACGAGUUCCUUCUAGCAAGCUGGGCUGCAUCGACUUCGAUCUUCGGUGAGCUGCAAGUUCCGUCACCAGGUGUUCUAGGCUUUAACCACUGGGCGCAUCGCUGUGGUUUCGUCUAGUUUCUUCUACCAGUUACCGAGUAUCUUGGAUCUUUGACUUAUGGCACAUCGCUUCUGUCUCGAUCUACGGUAUUCACCAGUUAUCCCGCCUUGAUUAAGCUUGCAUCGGCUGAUAUGUAUCUGUUCUUUCAUCUUGCCGUUCAAUUUGCUUUAGUUAGCUUUAGAUCGGUUCAUCAUAGACAAUAGAUCAUUUAAUAGCAUGUUGCAUCUUGAUCUUAGCUAUCCUUCGAGUGUUGUUGGGAGUAAGUUCCGUUGUGAUUGGAUCCAUCAGCUAGCAGGGUUUAGAUUAACAUCCUGCUAAAUAUUUCUAGACUGCAACUACCGGGCACAUUGUUGUGGUUUCACCUAGAGAUAUUGGUGGUGACGUUAGUUUAGAUCUCAUCGGCUUGUGGCUCUAGCUAUGGCGGGGCAACAACUCAACAACAUCCUGUUUUCAAUCGACCGUCUAACUGAUAGCUAUUGUAAAUUAUAUUAAAUCGGCUGGAUGACGAUGAAUCACUCACAUUCAUCAAGGUACUGGAAUCGGCUUCACAGCCGAUAUAUUUGUCAUGAUUUAUUUUGUUGCACCAUUAUCGCUACUGUGCUAGGAUUAUAUCGGCCUAAUCGGCCAGUUUCCUCGGACUUCACAACGACUAUCAUCUCCUUGUCAGUUGAAUGGUCAAACUGACUGGCAUGCCCGCGCACACCACACGUGCCGAUUUGGAUUCUGCACUGGAAUUAAGCAGAUCUCCCAGGUUCUCAUGUGCUGAUGCAGGGUCCACCACCGCCAGGAUUUUGUGUCAACACCUUGUAAUCUUCCUUUGAUUUCCUCAAUGAUUCGAAGACAAUAACCUUGCUUGUAUAAAUGAUAAUUAUAAGGAGAACCUAGUGGAAACUGUGUAUUCAUAUUAGAACUACCUAUGGUUAAUUAGGUUAGGAAAGGAAAUCGAAAAUAGACCGUACCCACACUUACUUAAAGUUGUUGGGCAGUAGUAUGUAAUGCUUGUAAUUCUGUUACUCCAAGAAUUUGUAUAUGUGGUCCAAUGUAGACUUUGGUUGAUCCCAUAUCUGUUGUUGGUUAAAUAAGUGUUUCUGGCCAUUUCUAGCCGUUAGAACCGGAACUAAAGGGGGCUCUUUAGUACGGGUUGAUAUUACUAACCGGGACUGAAGAGCCCCCAUUACAGUUGGUUUUUGGACGCGGAACUAACAACUCCUUUAGUCCCGAGUCCAAAAACGACUGAGAUAGAAGAUCCUUUCUCUACCGUGAAUAUUGCCAGAAAGAAUUGAAAGAGACCGCUUGCUAAAAAUAUGUCAUAGAUGUAGACCAAGCUACCAAGGAGGUAGACCAAACAUGAUACACACCAUGCGUACCUUGCUGUGCAGACUAUGCAUAGACAAGACACCCGACCACAUGUUGGCCUCGGUCACAUCAAAAGAAUCAUGUAGGCCACCAAUAAACUACUUGAAGCGUCAUUCCGUAUCGUAUAUGCAUUGCCGGUUCAUCUGCAUUACAUUACAUAAAGUAGUAUUAACUAUUUGAAUAAAAUGAACCAAUUUAAAAGUAAUGUGUUGUACUCUACUAUAGAAAGCCCUAUCACUGUCGGAUCCAGAAACAUCAUUGUUGAUGGUCGUUAAGUACCAAGACGGUCAAUAUUCUCAAGAAUAAUGGAGAAUUGGCAUUUCUUACACACAUAUUUGGUUUUGAACAAUGUAGUCCCACAUGUCCUUGGAGAUUAUUUGGGUGUGGGUGAAAUAAUACAAAAAGAAGGAGAAAACACACUCCCAUGGUGAAGAAACAAAACUCCGACCAAUGAGAGAUAGCCACAGGGGCAGCACACGGAUCCAUGGGCCCACAAACCGCAUCAAACUGUCUUACCAAGGCGGGUAGCACCCACAACCAUGAUUAGGACCCACCUGGAUGUCUACCAAGAAGAAGGUUGUGAGUGGGGCCAGGAGGGGUUCGGCUGAAUCAUCUCUAGCUCCCCUCAUCCCCAGCUGGUGCAUGGCGGUGGUUAAUGGUGUCCCUACAUCGGUUAGAGGAGAUUCCCCCAAAUAUUCCUCCUGUAAACCACCUGUAUGGACCUAUACAUAGAGGGGUGUGCUCUCCAAUCCAACACACACCACAAGUUUAAUCACUCUCUCCCUCUUUAAUUUCCAUGUUUAUGGAGUUAGCCUAGAGUAGCUCUGCUCAAGGUUCCAAGUCCACUUGGAGUUAAGCAUAUGUCUCUUGUAUCGUUAUUUCCCAGAUUGACUUUAUGCUUAGUUCUUAUAUGCAUGAGUUAGUCUAAUAGCCUUGCUCUAUUGAUAUGCUCGGCUUAUAUGCUCGUAUGCUAGUCAUAUACCCUUGCUGCCGUAGUAUAGGCUUAUAUGCUCUCAUGUGUGCCUUUAGACCUUGCUACAAUAUAUACUUGUUGUGUAUACAUACCAUGUAUAGGCUAGUCGAUCUAUACCAUGGCAUUGGUUCAAUAGCCAUGUUUUUGGUGGCUCCAACCCUAGUCAGAAUAGCUCGGGACAGCUAGAGUGUUGUUAAAAAUGCAAGAGUGAUGGUUGGGUUGUUUAGCAUCGUUGGAUAUGGGUUUUCCCCACGGGUUUCUAAGAGUAGGCGGCAGCUAGUGACAGCCCUGUCCGUCCUUCGUAAUCCCCCCACAUUCAAGUACGCCAUAGAAGUUCAUAAAUUAGCAGUAACUACACCGGCAGACCGGUAGGGUAUUGUCUCCCUAUAGUACCUUGGUGCAUAGAACUAGGUCAUAUACACUGUGUGUCUAUGUUUACGCUGAUAUGAUCUGUGCAGUAUAUAGCAUGUAUAUAUGAACCUAGAGCUAACUCCUAGUCCAUUCUCCGUAGCUUAGUUAUCUUGAGAUGAUUCUUCUGUGUGUGUAACACUACCCAUCUUAUCAUUAUCCUUAAUCCUGUCUUGUGUAAUAUAUCUACUCAUCCUAUGAUAUACUCAUAUGCAUAGUAAACUAUUUUGACCUACCCGCCUUCCUUUGGGAAAUACGAUACCCUGGAAUAAUCCUAGGUGAAAUGCUACAACGGUAUAUCCAUGUGCUUACGGAAUUAUUCCUGACCAUUAAAUAUACCAACAAUCAUCACUAUCUAUUUUGGGCAUCGUUAGUGAAGGGUCGGCAGUGAUGGGCAUCCCCUUCACCAAUGGAGCUGGAACUGGCGGUGAUGGCCAUUAAAAAAAAUGGGACCCCACCCAGCGUACCCCGCAACCCGGCCGGCUGCGCCUCCCAUCAUCCCCGCCGGUCGCCCUUCCUCUUUGCCGGCCGAGCAUGGUUCCGGCCCUCGUCCCUACCGCCUCGCCUCCAUCGCGACCCCCUGCCGAUGCCCUCAUGCCUGGCCCCCCUCGUCUGGCCGGCCACCCUCCCGAUGCAUCCACCGGGGCCCUCGCACCACCAACCACCCUAGCCUAGAGAGAGAGAGGAGGAGGGAGGUGAGGCCACGCACCUCGUCCUACAACGCCGCUGUUGCUCCUCGGCCCACCGCGCCUCACCCCACACCACAGCCGCACCUCGCCAUCUUACCGGCCGCGACGCCCCAUCUCACCGGCCACCGUUCCUCACCCCCACAUCGGUCAUCGCUGCUCCUUGCCCUACUGCUGCUCUUUGCAGCCGCGAAUGAGGGGCGAGUGGAGGGGGAGGGGCGGGGCAGGAGGAGGGCAAGAUCCGGGAGGAAGGGAGAGAUUUUGGGAGGUGGAGAUGGAAGGAUAUGGCGGAAGGUAGAGAUCUAGAGGGAGAGAGCGGGGGGGAGAGGGGGGCAUGUGGGGAGAGAGCGCAUGUGGGGUGGGGCCGGGCUGGUGGGAUGGAAGGUAGAGGGGCCGGAGGGCGCAGUGCAUUCAACUGGAUUAAGUAAAUAUUUCGGAUUCGAGACCCCAGCUUUAUUAUCACCGCUGGUCCGUAGUACCAUUCGGUGCCGGCUCAUAAUUUAAUUUGAACCGGUGGUGAUGUUUUAUUAUCACUGCUGGUUUCAAUUUUCACCAUCGGAUCAUAUAAAAAUCCGGCGGUUAAAAAUCCGCUGGUUUCGAUGAAAACCGACAGUGAUAGGACGACUGUGAUAGUCUCUUCUCUAGUAGUAGUAUAUUAGUACCGGCUGCCGGAUGGUGUUGCCGACGAGUACUUCUCCAGGGGCGAUUCAGUACUGAUGUUAGCAAAGCUUGUUCUCUAUGAAUUUGGGGAUGGAAAGCUAGUUCUCUAGUUGUGAUUUGUUACAUAUAUCUCUAUGAUAGUCUAGAAAUUGCAUGUCCUUCGUUGACAUAGUUGAAGCUGCUUCAAGAAUUUACUUCGUGCAGUCGUGCAGCAUAUUGGAUUAUCACCUAGACAGGAUACAUAGGUGAAGCAUUGCAUGUGAUUGUGGCUGAUAAUUAUGCAGGACGCUGUUGCAAUCAACCAUCAAGAAGACUGGAGCGAUGGGGUUGCCUCAUCAACAAUUUUUAUAUAUGGCUGCAGUAUUAUUAAGCCCACGUCAAUAAUUUUUUCUCCGCAGCAUAUAUAUGGUUACUCAGUUCGCUGGAGUAUCGCUGUGGAAAAACAUACGUACUGCGCCUCGGAACUAACUGGCAUUCAGGCCAUCAACGACCAGAUAUUUGGGACAACCAACAAAUAGUAGGUGGUUCCUAAGUUGUAGUCGUAUGUACUAAUGCGCCUCGAUGGGGUUUUCUUCAGAUAUUUUAUUGCCGUUCAAUGAACAAGCAGAUACAUAACCUGUGCAGAAAAUUCCAUCUCCACGCAUGCCACUGCACCAACAAGAUCCUCAGUCGACGAUGAUGGCUCAGCCUGUUCCUUCUGCCACCAAAUCCUCAAUCUUCCCUCCAGCAACGGAGAAUGCACCUUUAGUACCUUCAGUAUCAGAUGUUGCAAUCGGUACCGUGAAACCGAGACUAAAAUCCUUACUUUGCAGGGGGCAAAACAAUCUUGCAAAUAUAUAUUUUGAAUUCCAACAAAAUUUAAGAAAUGUUAAAGAUGACUAGCUGAGAGUCAACAGACAAGAUAUGAUAUUAGGAAUGUGGGAGGAUGAAUGCAUUUGUACAGGGGUCAUACUAUUUCCAGACUCUUCUAUAUUUCCAUAUGACUACCUACUUCAAUGUCACGCGAGCCAUUCAAAAAGAUACAUGGUACACUUGUAUGUCUAAUCCAUUAUUGAUUAUUUCCUCUUGUCAUCUCUUACAAGUAUUUCUCCAUACUAUAGAAACGUGCAACACAUUUUUAGGAUAUGGACACGCAUGAUUAAUAUGCUUGGACUAGUAUACAGGUCAUCUUUGGAUGAGUACAUAUGAAUGCCAGGGAGGGACUGAUGGAUAUAAGGAAAAGGGACCAUGCAUAAAUAAUGACAUAUGUAACAUGGCAAUCUUCAUUGCCAUGCAACUCCUAUCAACAAUCAUGGAAUACAUACUACUGCUCCAGAAGGGUGGUGUGCAAAUUUAUUUUACCUCGCGGUGAAAAUCUCCAGAGCAGGCCUGAAGUUAAAAUAAGAGGCAGUCACUAUCGAUCAUGACAGUCUCGAAACUGUACAGCACUAUGCUAGUCCUAGUCCUCAUGUCGUUCGUGCUGUCGUGUAGCAUGAUGGAUUAUUAACUGGGCAGGACACGGAGAUGGCUAGCGAUGACAGAGGAUGACGUACAUGAUAUUCACCUCUGAAAUGAAGCGUAGGCUAAUGAAGCACAAUUGCAUGUGAGUGUGGCAGAUAUUUAUACAGGACAGUGAUUGCAAUAAUCGACCAUCGAGAUCGAAGACAGGGGCGAUGGGGUUGCCUCAUCAAUAAUUCGCGCAACCAGACAAGCUGCAGACUCAAUAUGGUACGAAGCUAUUUGGUCAGCCCACAUGCUCUGAUAUAACAUUGGCAUCUGCUGAUCUACAGUAUAUAUGACCAGAAAUAUUGUGCCACCUCAAUAAUUUUCCGAAGUAUCGUUGGGGAAGCACCUACAUACUAUGCCUCGGAACUAACUGACAUGUUGGCCUAGGCGGUCCAGGCCGAUUGGACAGGCUCUUCCUUAUGGCUCCUCACGUCCCCUUCGUUUCCGAGUAAUCUCAGGUGUUCUGAAGUUUUCUUUUCACUUGCAUGUGGACCUUAUAUAUCAAUAGCUUCGGGAUAAGAAUGCCUCUUGAUAACCUUCCAAAUCGUCGCUUGAUUCACUUUGAUUCCAAAAUCAUCUUGCCAUAUCUUUUGAGACUUAGGCCCUAAGGCAUCAUGGAGGAUUGCUCGCCAAGAAUGAGCACCAUUGGGCUCCUGAGGACCCUAGGCCGAUCAGCCUGGGCUCUAUAGGUUGAUUGGCCCAGGCCCUCUCUGGGCCCAUUGGCCUUCAUCUUUCUCUGAGUCGACGCUUAUUGAGGGCUUUGUCCAAUUAUAGUCCAUUAUAGUCUAAUUUCCAAAAAAAUAGAAUAUCCUCCAAAAUACAAUACAUUUGUGAAAACAGCCCAAUUAUUAGGUAUGAUCAAUAGUCUAGGUAUUAAAUUAAUGUUAUUAUUUAAGAUAAAUAGGGAUAAAGGGUGUCAUUAAUAACGAGCACCAACCAGCGUACCAGCUGUUAACACUAACCGAUGCUAAUAUGUACCCUUUAGUACCGGCUAUUUCACCCGGUACUAAACGAGACAAGAGCACCCUAACAGAGGUUAAUACCAUCCAUUUCAUGAGUAAAAUACUAUGAUUCAAAAAUAAUUCAAAUCCCUUAAGACAAUACCUAUCAAAUGAGUAGAUUGUAAAUAGAGUAAAACAAUGUCCUAAUGAAACGGAACACUUCUGGUUCGUGUAGAGCACAAUAUAGAAAACAGUAGGGUAGCUGUACGAUUGACACGUGGUCCAUUAAUUAUUGAGCCAUCACUAUGGACAUGUCUUCAUGAGUAGUGUACUAGUCAUGACACAUGGUAUGUAGUAGGUGGAGGUAUUGAGUUAGCCAUGCCAUGAGCACUUAGUUACAACAAACACUUUGCCAUUAUCGAGCAUCCCAAAUCACUACAAAAUCCAUAGUUUACCAUAUACUACAAAAUCUGAGUUAAAAUAAGAGCAUACACGGAAGAGUCCGAAUGCACCGGUUUAGGACCAGGCACAUUGAAUUACUAGAAAAAGUUAUCGGACAAGGUUUUGGGUAACCGCAUGAAAAAUGUUGGAUUUUACUGAACACUUAGUUACAAUUACCAUGCCGUGAGCACUUAGUCACCACAAACAUUUAACCACUUUAGAUCAUCCUGAAUCCCUAUAAAUUCUGUACCUUACACCGUACCAUGAAAACGACAAGAACAGAGACAGAUGCAGUGAAAAUCUCCAGAGCAGGCCUGAAAUUAAAAUAAGAGGAGGCAGUCUCUAUCGAUCAGGACACGGAGAUUGCUAGCCAUGACAGAGGAAGACAUGAUAUGAUAUUCACCUCUGAAAUGCAGCGUAGACUAAUGAAGCACAAUUGCAUGUGAGUGUGGCAGAUAAUGGACCAUCGAGACCAUCGAAUGGUAUGAAGCAUGAUUAUCACCUAGACAUGAUAUCCUAGACAGGACGGUGAAUUGUAAAAAGAGUAAUCUUGAUCAAAGAAUGUCCUAAUGAAACGGAACAUUUUUGGUACGUGUAGAGCACAAUAUAGAAAACAGUAGAGUAGUUGUACGAUUGAAACUGCAUCCAUCCACGUGGUCCAUGAAUUGUUGAGCCAACACUGUGGACAUGUCUUCAUGAACACCAUCUAGUGAGGACAGGAUGCAGAAAAAUAUAAAAACAUGUCAUAGGGAGGCAGACCAAUCUUGCAAGGAGGUAAACGAAACGUGAUACACGAUCUGCCUACCUUGUCGUGGAUACCCCAAGAGAAGAUGUCAUAGAGGUGCAGACCAAGCUAGCAAGGAGGUAGAUGAAACGUGAUACACGGCCUGCCUACCUUGCCGUGGAUAUUAGCCCUGAUAUCAUUCUAUUGUUCAAGGAAUAACACUCAAUGCUGCUGCUGCUGCUGACCUGGCUCCAUAAAGUUGUAUUCCUCUAGCCGCUUGCACUAACUUUAUCUGAAGUAUUAUUCUCUCUGCCCUGAUAUCUGAAGUAUUAUUCUCUCUGCUGACUUUGCUGAAGAACCUACAUAAUAUGUCUUGGAACUAACUGACAUUGAUUCACAGACAAACUCUACAAGGUGCUGUUGUUGCCAUAUUUUAGAGCAUCCCAAAGGACUAUAAAUAAUAUAGUUUACCAUAUACCGUAUACCAUUAUAUGUUAGCUAAAAUAAGAGCAUAACAUGUCGCAGGAGUCCAAAAGCACCGGUUGAGGACCAGGUACAUUGAAUUACUAGAAAAAGACAGGGGGCAAUGUUUAGGUAGCCACAUGAAAAACAUUUGAAUUUACUGUUCCAUGAACACUUAGUUACCAUGCCGGGAGCACCUAGUUAACACUAAAAUUUAGCCACUUUAGAUCAUCCCGAAACACCCUCAAUAGCGACAAAUUUUGAUUUAAAUGCCGUCACCAAUGAUCCUCAAUAGCGACGUGUUUAGGUUUAAAUCCCGUCACUAAUAACCCUUGGUAGUGACGUGUUUUGGUUUAAAUCUCAUCCCACUGAUCCUCAAUAGUGACGUGUUUUUAGCAACACACGCUAUGAAUGACUUGUCAUUGGUGACAUGUUAAAUGCGUUAUCUCAAUGGCAAAUCAUUGGUGACGUGUUUUAAAAAAACAUGUCACUGUGAGAGUUAUUGGUGAAGGGUAAUUAAAAUGCAUCACUAAUUUUGUAGCAUUAGUUAUGAUAUAAUUUAGUAACGCAAAAAUCUACCAUCAGUAAUGAGGUUUAGAGCCGUCGCUAAUGUGGGUUUCUUACGAGUGAUGCAAGCUCUACAAGGUGCUGUUGUUGCCAUUUUAAAGCAUCCCAAGUGACUACAAGUUAAUAGCAUAGUUUACCAUAUACCAUAAAAAUAUUAGUUACAAUAAGCACAUCCGCAUGUGGAAGAGUCCGAAUGCACCAGUUGAGGACUAAACACAUUGAAUUACUAGAACCAAAUGUAAGACAAAGAAAGGGGUCAAGGUUUGGGUAACCGCAUUAAAAACAUUGGAUUUUACUGUACCAUGAACACUUAGUUACCAUUACCAUACCUUGAGCAUCUAGUUACCACAAACAAUAAUUUAGCCACUUUAGAGGUUCCAGAAUCACUAUAAAUAAUAUACCAACACCGUACCAUGAAAACAUCAAGAAGAGAGACGGGUACAUGGACCACCAUCAAGUGAGUAGUGACAGCACGCACAAGAAUACCCGGAACCUGUUAGCUUGUCUGUAGUGAUCUGUUUUCUUCCCCAUAAAAUCCAUGAGUAUUGCCACAAAUAAUGAAAGAGGCUGACCAAGCUAACAAGGAGGUAGAGAAAACGUGAUACACGUAGGUUUCAUUCAAGACAUCCAUGUAAGAUUCAUUCAAAACAUUCAUGGAAAUUUCUUGUAAGUUUUCAUGUAAAUUUCAUUCAAGACAUUUGUUAGAGGUGUUGUAUAUAUAUACCUUAACGUACAUAUAUCUAUGAUUUCAUGGUUGUUAGUGAUGGCAGAUGAGGAGCAUGCAAGGUAUUUAAUGGAGCAGAUUAUUGCUAGUGGUAGUGGCUCCAACCUGCCCGUAACGUACACCAACGAAGAGAGCAGCCAGGCGGACAUGUUCCUCAACAUAUCCGGUGAUGGCAAUGAAGAGCCCGAGCAAAACCUUGCCGUGACGGAAGGUUCCAGUGAGGUAUAUAUCAUUUCCAUUGUUUUACCCCAUCUAUAAUUUCAUAUUCAUUAUUACUAUGUACUAAUUAAUGGAUCUUGAACCAUUAGCCCUCUAGAUCAACGAACCGAAAUAAGCCCCGAGGUCUUACAAAGAUAAUGCAGGGAAGGCAUCACAUCACGGAAGUCACAGAAGAGGGCACAUCAGUUGCUCCCGAACAUGUGGCAAGAAAGUACGUGAGUCAAACCGGGCAAUGUGCCCAUCAGCAUUAGGGAAUGAAAGGGCAAUAGAAAUGAUCUAUACACGCCCCCGGAUACACAAAAGGAUAUGCUGUGGGCAAAUAUCAAGAAACACUUCACAUUUCCCAAAGGAUAUGUUGAAAAAGAUGUGAAAGCGUGGAUGCUGAAGAAGAUGGUCACCGAAUUCCAGACAUUCAAGAAGAUGUUGGAUGUCAACUUCAUCAAGAAGGGUCGAACUCCGGGUUUCGAUGAGUGGCCAAAGUUAAGGGACCACUGGGAGUCAUUUGUCAAAUACAAGACGAGUGAAGGUGGUGCGAGUAAGGUUCGCAUCAAUGUUGCCAAUGCUAGCAAGGAGUACCAUCAUCAUCUAGGGCGACGUGGUUACAGCACUGCAAUUCCCAGAUGGCGCAAGAUGGAACAAGACCUGAUCGAUCGGGGUAUCGUACCAGCAACUCCUGACUGGCCUGAUCGAUUGAAAAAUUGGUAUUAUGCUCAUGAAGGCAAUCUGAGCCAACAGGAUGCGACAUUGGUCUUCAAUAAAACAAUACGUCAGAAGGCCGGAAGGCUUAUUAGGAACAUUGAAAAUGCUAAAUCUGGGAGGUUCAAGGUGGAUAGAGAGAAUGAUGAGCUCACAUUGGCCCUUGGGACUAUCAUCUCUAGCAUUUCCAGCUCCAGGACUGUCGUCACCACCGGGACCGUCGCUUCUUGCUCGAUCACAGUCUCCAUCUCCAGCACAUCCUGGUGGUGCGAACGAUGACGACAACAACACCCCUCCCUGCCCACCAUCGCCGGGACUAAGACCCGCAUCGAGUAAGGAACCUGCAGCACCACUGAAGAAGUCGCGACCACCGCCUUCCAAGCCAAGUCAGCAAAAGAAGAAAGCAGAGAAGCCUAAGCCCACUGAGAAGCCAACAACCGAUAUGACCGAUGCGGAAAGAUGGAAGGCACUCAAAGAAGAAUGCAGGGAGUGGUUCUGUAAAAAGAACCAAAGAAAGAAAAGGAAAGCAGAUGGAGCCACCGCCAGUAGAUCCAAGAAAAUUAUAAUUUUUUAUUAAGAUGUCAAAAGGAGCCAAGAAGAUGAUUCCACAACUAUCAAACUACGACCGGGCGUUAGUCAAGGCUGAUGAGAGUUAAAAAAGGAAAGGAAAGUCAUCUUCAAGUGGUACUGUCCCCCACCUCGAGGAUCUACCAGAAAAAGACGCUAAAAAGAUAGUAGCAAUGCUCUUGGAUCAACAAACACAUAUAUCAUGAGAUUCAUGCAAGAAACAGGUAUGUGCCUUGCUGAAUGUCUAGGGCAAGUUGAUAUGCUAGCUCUAGAGCCAUUUGUACCGAAAUGGACCUUUGAGCUAGGCAAGCCUCUAGUAAGGCCUGAGCUGGUACAGAAGCUAUCCACAUAGCUAUAUGAAUACCAUGAAUGGUACAUGAAGCAGUCUGCCAAUGAGAGGAAAAUGUUCGGUCUCAGGGAAAAACUGAUAUUUUUUUUCGGCGAAGGCGAGAAAGUCUUGUGAUGGAAUUCAAGGAUAUAUAUGAAGUGUACCAUCAGGAUGCCCUUGAUGUCUCUCUCAUCAGCGCCUAGGUUAUGUAAGUGUAUGUUUAUCUAUACGUAAUUUUUGUCUCAUAUCAUUAUUUCUUUUGCGUGCGUCACCCUACUAACUUCGUCUUCCAUUUUAUGUAGGAUGCUAAUUCAGAUGUGCCGCAUAGAAGCGCACUUCCAUGUUGGCUUCAUGGAUCCAUCCCUAGUUAACCAAAAGCAGAUACGGAAGUAGCUAGAGAAAAUGUUGGAGGUGGUAUACAACUUCCUGGACAAACAAAACUAUAGAAUAGGGGCAAUAUGUGAAGGUCUUGUAGGAUUCCUAGUGGACAAGGUGAUAAAUCCAUAAGGAGAAUAUCAUUACAACGGACGAGCAUUAGACACACUGAGCAACACCUAGACGGGAGGAUCCUAGGAAUGACCUAGACAGAUUUUGGUAUAAAUAGUAAUUGUGUAAAUACUAGUUUGAUUUGUAUAGGAAUAUACUAAGAAUUGUAUAUAUAGUAAUUGUACAAAUACUAGUUUGAUUUGUAUAAAUACUAGAUUGAUUUUAUUAUAAAAAAGUUUUAAGUCGUACGUGCAUGCGCCUACAAAGGCGCGUAUGCCCUUUAAUCCCGGUUGGAAAAACAAACCGGUACUAAAGGGGCUCGUGCCGCACCUGGCAUGACCGCCCCUUUAGUCCCGGUUGAACGACCCAGGACCAAAGAUCUGCCCCGUCUCAUAAAUUUUAUCCUGGAUGCUUUUUAGAGAGAUUUGAGGCCUAUCAACCAAGACUAAUAUCGAGUUUUCUACCAGUGGAACUAACUAACGUUCACAUGCUUCUGACAUUCACCUGCCAUUUGGUGUAGACAAGGGCACCCUAACAUAUGGUUAAUAUUAUUCAUGAAAGAAAAUCCUUUGAUUCAAAAAUACUUCAAACCUAAUAAUACAAUACUUCUCACAUCUGAAAAAUAUGAGAUGGCCCGACAGUAUUCUAACCGACGCAAUAAUAUUUUGAGGGCAGCACUACUACAGCGACCCUCAUUCGUGCCGGUGCUGGAACCCCUAUCACGACCCUGAUACAAAUGAGGGUACAUUAUUGUUGCCAGUGCUAGAAUAGCCACGAAUAACUUGCUAAACAUGCUGUUACACUCACUACUAGAAAAAUAACCUCUCGUCCUGAGGCUUAGUACCGGUCACUUUUUUGCCCAGUACUAAUGUUAGUAUUAGUACCGGAUCCAAAUUUGGGAUCCCCCAGAGACCCUUUAGUACCAGGUGGAGUCUCCACCCGAUACUAAAGGCUUUGUUACCGGGUGAAGGAUCCUCCCGGUACUAAUGGGGGAUUUUUAGUACCGGGUGGGAACCCCACCCGAAACUAAAAUCUCCCAUGCGGACCCCUCCCCCCCCCACGCGUUGCCUCUGUCCUCCCUCCUCCUCCUCUGAGUAGUUAUCCCUUCCUCAUCCCUCCUCCUCCUCCCACACGUGGGGUGAGGUGAGGUGGCAGUAGCAACGACAGGUGGUGUGGCGGGUCACGGCGGGCCGGAUGCGGAGCCGCAACGGUGGUCGGCGGGAUGGGGUGGGGCAGAGCGGCAUGGCAGGGCGGAGCGGUGGGACGGGGCCGAGGUGGAGGUGCCGGGCGGAGGUGGAGUGGCAGGACAGAGGCGGAGGCGGAGCGGCGGGUCGGCGAGCGGGUGGAGGGUGGCGACGAUGGGGCGGGCAGAGGCAGAGGGGUGGGUGGAGGGGCGGCGUGGUCCACCGGCGGGGGGGGGGGGGGGAGAGGGAGGCGUGGGGGGUGCGGUUGGUGAUUUCAAUUUUCUUUUAAUUUUUUAACACCCUUCAGUACCAGUUAUUUUAACCGGGUCUAAAGGGAUCCCCUCUUGUACCGAAUUGCUAGUACAGGAUGCACAACCGGUACUAGAGGGAGGUUCCCAACCGGUACUAGAGCCACUUUCCCCGGUAGUGACUUUUUCACCGAUUAGAAUAUGUUAUUAUUCUAAUCAGCUUUUGUUGAUCUCCUGUAUAAUUUAGUACCUAAUUCUACUAGCAAUUGUUAACGCCGACACGUAUUGGGUAUAGUCCUAACAGUGUCUAACUAGGGCACUACAUUUGUUAACCUAUAACUACUGGUAUCGAUUAGCCCUGGUUAGAAUACUGUCAAGGCAGCCAGAAAAAAUUGUUUGCCAAUUCUGCUAUCCAUCAGAACCAUGACUAGUACCGUAUUGUAAUAAACGAAUUACACAAAUAACUGAUGCACACAAAGGAAUAUGCACUCGCAUGUGCUAGACGUUCGUAGCAACAACAAAUUACUCUCAUCAUCAAUUAAACAUAAUAGAUUAAACAUUAACUGAACAUAGUUCAACACGUACAUCAACAAGACAAAGCAGUUUAAACAUCAACUGAACAGAACUGAAAACAUACAUCAACUGAUGAUAAACUUCGACAUGAACACAACACAUAAACAUCAACUUCAAUAGAACUUAAUAGAGCAUAUUAAACAACAACAUCGACAAAACAUAUAAACCCAGCUCAGUAGCUCAAGCAUCAACUAAAACUGCUGAAUUAAAAUAACAUAACAUAGUGUAGUUCAUCAUGAUGAUAACUAACAGAACCGAAAAGCCUAACUGGGUAAAAGAGCAAUUCAUUCAUAAUGCUUCAGCACUUACAUCACCGGAGUAUGCAACUGGCGGCGUCGCUUACGUCACUAUCACCGCGCUUGGCGAGUAAAGGAGGAGGAGGUGGCAUAGUAAUCGAAGAGGAGGCCGCUGUCGGCGGGUUUAGACUACGUGGAGGUGUGGGUAGGGUUAAGGUGGCUCUGUGGACGAGUAUAUAUAAGAGGUCUGGGCUUGUUAGAAUAAGAUAACAUUCUAACUGGCCAAAUUCGGAUCCGGUUAGAAUAAAUUGUUCUAACCAGCCUUAAUUCGAGGUGGUAAGGAUAAGUUAACAUUCUAAUCAGCUCUAUUUGGAGCCCGAUUGAAUGUUCUUGUUAUUCAAAAAAAGAUCAAGUUCAUCAAUUUUUUUCUAGAAAAACAUCAAGAUAAUUUAAACACGAUAUAUAACAAGAUUAAUACAUUUAAAAAUUGUUUUCUCCAAUAAUUAACGAUAUUUAACAAAUUCAAAAAAAAUCCAAAUUAACAGAACAUAAUAACCAAUUGUUCGAAAAAAUCAAAAUAGUCCACACAGUAUCAUAUUACAAAUUCAGAAAAAUAUCAAAAUAAUCCCUGAUCCACUCGAUACCGUCGUAGAACUUUGAAAUACUGAGCUUCUUGAUUCAUCUGAGGUCCACGUACUCGUCUCAGUAACACUAGUGGUGGCCAUGCAUCUUGUAGAUGUCUUCUAAUGAAUUAAGCUUGACAUACAAGGUCGUGCCUUCCACUCCUUGAGGAUUGCUUAUGACGUUUCUGCAAAUAACGAAGCAUUGCUUUCUCCAACAUGAUUAUUUUCUUCGGCUUAUCCCAAGGGACAACUAUGGUUUUCCCCUUGCCGGAAGAGGAACGAUGAUCGCCCCCACCAUCGCCACUUCCUCCAGUAGCAGAAGCCAUCUAUGUACAAAAAUUCAUACCUUAGCACUACAGAACUUGUUGAACUUGAAGACUGUGAUCAUUAGGCGAGCAUGUUCUCAACUAGGUGGCACCGCACUUCGUCAUGGAAGAGCUUCGAUUUUACAAAAAAGGGGACAUGAUCUUCCAUGAUGUCCGUAUCCGCUCUUUCUCGUAGAAUCAGAGCUCCUCCUUGAUAUACGAUGCUGCUCGGCGGAGAACAUGCUCACCGAGAUGAACACGGUAUGCAAGUUCAACAAGUAUGGAUUUGAAAAACCAUAUUGAAUUUGACAAGACAAACUAUCUAGAUAAGCGUAGCAUCAUUCUUAAACCACUGCAAGGAUACGUACUAUAUAUGACACAUCAAUCUCCCUCACAUUCUAGCUCAAAAUACCUCUCCAUUUUCUACUUCACAUUCUAGCAAAUAAACUAUCUAUCUCCAUUCUACACAUCAAGUUGUUUUAACUAAUACAAAUCGUAUAUAACAAGCAAAAUAUCCAUCACAUUCUAGCUCAAAAACAUGUAUAAAUACAAAUCCUCUUCAUUCUCCCUUUUUCUAACAAACAAACUCAUUUUUCUCCCUCUCCAAAGCAUAAAUUAAAGCGUAACAUGAGGAUGAGGUAGCAAACCUUCACAACACAUUGGAUGAGUGAAAUUCCCACGAAAAUGAGGGAAAAAAAUUCGGGCAGCACCUCCCUUGCUUCGGCACCUCUAGAGAGUAGGUGAAGCUCAGUUCUCUAUUUUUGUGGUGGACUAGCUUGGGCUGGAGGAGGAAGAAAGGCCUCUGUCUUGGUAUAUAAUGGGGGAUGAGUUUUUAUCCCAGUUAAAAGCUCCAACUGAGACAAAACGGCCAAUCUUUUGUCCCGGUUGGAGCCUCCAACCGGGACAAAAGGGGCACGCCAUCGACGCACGGGAGCUAGCCGUUACAACCGGGACUAAAGGGGGGCCUUUAGUCCCGGUUGCAAAUACCAACUGGGAUUAAAUCUCCCCUCCAUUUUUGCCUACCGUGGUGCGCCCCCUUUUAUCCCGGGUCAACUUUAAACCGGGACAAAAGGGGGCGUCGAAGAUCAGUUCUCUACUAGUGACCCCUCCCCACCUAUCUCUCUCCCUCCAUGCUCCUCGAUCUGUGCCUCCCCUCCCCUCCCCUUCCACUCGCCCCUCACCGACGGUAAGGAGCAGCGGCGGGGCGAGGUGAGGUGGCAGCAGCAAUGGCAGGUGGUGGGUCGCAGCGGAGCGGCUACGGUAGGCAGCCGGACGGGGCAGAGCGGCGGGGCGGGGUGGAGGCGGAGGUGGCGGGUAGAGGCGGAGCGGCGAGGCGGAGGCGGAGGUGGAGGCGGAGUGGUGGGACGGCAGGGCCGGGCGACUAGUAUAGGUGGGCGGGCGGAGGGCGGCGACGGCGGAGCGGGCGGAGGCAGAGGGGCAGCGGGGGCCGCCGGCGGGGGGUGUGAUCGGGGAUUUCAAUUUUUUUUAAAUUUUUUAACACCUUUUAGUCCAACUGGUUCUAAAGGGACCCCUCUAGUAUCAAAAUUGCUAGUACCGGUUGCACAACCGGUACCAGAAGUGGUUCCUAACUGGUACUAGAGCCACUUUCCCUGGUAGAGACUUUUUUACCAGUUAGAAUAUGUUAUUAUUUUAAUCAGCUUUCGCUGAUCGCCAGUAUGAUUUAGUACCUAAUUUUACUGGCGAUUGUUACCGCUGACACGGAUUGGGUAUAGUCCUAACAGUGUAUAACUACGGCACUACAUUUGUUAACCUAUAACUACUUGUAUCGAUUAGCCCUGGUUAGAAUACUGUCAAGGCAGCCAGAAUUUUUUUUUUUUGCCAAUUCUGCUAUCCAUGAGAUCCAUGACUAGUACCGCAAUGUAAUGAAUGAACUGCACAAAUAACUGAUGCACACAAAAGAAUAUGCACUUGCACGCUAGACGUUCGUAACAACAAAUUACUCUCAUCACCAAUUGAACAUAAUAGAUUAAACAUUAACUGAACAGAAUUCAACACGUACAUCAACACGACAAAGCAGUUUAAACAUCAACUGAACUGAACUGAACACAUACAUCAACUGAUGAUAAUUAUCGACAUCAACAGAACACAUGAACAUCAACAUCAAUAGAACUUAAUAGAGCAUAUUAAACAACAACAUCGACAAAACAUAUAAACCCAGCUUAGUAGCUCAGGCAUCAACUAAAAUUGCUGAAUUAAAACAACACAACGUAGUGUAGUUCAUAAUGCUUCGGCGCUUACACCACUGGCGGGUCGCUUACGUCGGCAUCACCGCGCUGGCUGAACCUCCGACACCCCCACCACGGCAAACGGAGGUGAUGGCGGAAGGUGAGGCAACGACAGUAGCUGGUGAGCUCCCGCUCCAAUGUCUCGCGAGUAAAGGAGGAGGAGGUGGCAUGGGAAUCGAAGAGGACACUAGUAGAGAAACGACUUUCCAUCCACCCCCUUUUGUCCCGGUUUAAAGUUGGCCCGGGACAAAAGGUUCACCAACCGGGAUUAAAACUCGGUCACUGGUGGGGGGCUCACCAACCGGGACCUUUUAUCCCGGUUGCAAAGGCUAGUGGGAAAAAAUUACUCUGAGAGGCCUUUUAUCCCGGUUUGAAACACCAACCGGGAUAAAAGACCCCCCCUUUUAUCCCGGUUGGUAACACCAACCGAGAUAAAAGGGUCAAGAGCCUUUUAUCCCGGUUGGAAACACCAACCGGGAUAAAAGGGGGUCUUUUAUCCCGGUUGGUGUUUCCAACCGGGAUAAAAGGGUCCCCCACGAGUUAAUACAAAAGGAUAGUAUCCCCUACAUAGUCAGAUGUGGUGUGUAGGUGGGAUGGUAAGGAAGCUACGCGCGAGGCUGGAGGUUGUGGGUUCGAAUCCCACGAACCGCGCACGCGCAUAUUUCGCGUGAAAAAUCGCGUGACUUGCGACUUGCGCGUGUGGGGGGGCCUCCUGGGAGCUCGGGAAUUUUUUUUUUUUGCAGCGCCGGCCGUGGGUGAACCCUUUUAUCCCGGUUGGUAUUACCAACCGGGAUAAAAGGGGGUCUUUUGUCCCGGUUGAGUGACCCGGGAUAAAAGACCCCCCCUUUUGUCCCGGUUGGUUUAUCCCGGAUGCAUUUUCGAGAUCUUUGCACCCUACCAACCGGGAUAAUAGGUGAGUUCUCCACCAGUGGGAGGCCGCCGCUGGCGGGUUUAGACUACGUGGAUGUGUGGGUAGGGUUAAGGUGACGGUGUGGACUAGUAUAUAUAAGAUGUCUGGGCUUGUUAGAAUAAGAUAACAUUCUAACCGGCCAAAUUCGGACCCGGUUAGAUUAAAUUGAUAUUCUAACCGGUCCUAUUUCUAGGUGGUAAGAAUAAGUUAACAUUGUAAUUGGCUUUAUUUGGAACCCGAUUGAAUCUUCUUGUUAUUCAAAAAAACAUCAAGUUCAUCAAUUUUAAUCCAGGAAAACAUCAAGAUAAUUUAAGCACGAUAUAUAACAAGAUUAAUACAUUUAAAAAUUGUUUGAUUCACAAAUUAACGAUAUUUAACAAAUUCAAAAAAUCCAAAUUAACAGAACACAAUAACCAAUUGUUCGAAAAAAUCAAAAUAAUCCACACACAUUAAUAUAUUACAAAUUCAGAAAUAUAUCAAAAUAAUCCCCGAUCCACUCGAUACCGUCAUAGGACUUUUAAAUACUGAGCUUCUUGAUUCGUCUGAGGUCCACCUACUCGUCUCAGUAACACUAGUGAUGGCCAUGCAUCUUGUAGAUGUCUUCUAACGAAUCAAGCUUGACGUACAAGGUCAUGCCUUCCGCUCCUUGAGGAUAACCAUCUUUGGUGAUCUUGAAAUGGCAGACGGUGGAUGUGCCAAAGGUACGUGACGAUCCUUCUAAAUGUAUGCCACCACAACUUCCGUCUGAUCGCCAUGGGUGACACCAAGAAGAGCUACCAUGCGGCAAGGGACGAACAAUUUAUCAAUUAGUGCCGCUGUCCAUCGCCAUCAUCUAAUCCAGCCAUAUCUUGUUGUAUAUUUAAGUAUAGAAAUUAAGAUUUAAAAAUAAACAGAAUAAAUUGAGAUCGAUUAUGUAUGUAUAUCAGAACAUUAGCUUUUGGAAAAAGGGCUUCGAUGGAAGAGAGGCACGGGGCAUAGAGACAACAACGAGUGACAAUAUGUCAGAAGAAUACCCGAUCACAAUUAUUGGCACACACAGCCGAUAUUUACAGUAGUCAAUACCCCUGGUAAAUAACCACACCAUCAAGAGUAAAUAGUGACAAUAUGCAGUAUAUACACGACAUAGCCUUGGCUGCCGUGGAAGCACCAGAAGGGAGACAAAUAACAGGGACCACUACAUCAAGUAGAUAGUGACAAUAUGCAAAAGAAUACCCGCGCCUGUUAGCAUGUGUGAACUGACCACACCACGAAACGUGAUACACGGCAAGCGUACCAAGGCCUUGCUGUGCAGACUAUGCAUGGACAACACAUGGUACCUGACCGCUUUUGGCCUCAGACACAUCAAAAACUGCAUCGUUCCACGUUGUACAUCCAUUGCUAGUUUAUCUAUAUUACAUAAUAUAUUAUUAGCUAUUUGAAUAGAAUGAACCAAUUAAAAAAUUACGUUGUAUUUUAGUACCGGCUGCAGGAUGGUGUUACCAACCAGUACUAAUUGGCCUGUAGGAGUGAUGGUUAUUAGACUUGGUACUGUUGUUAGCAUCAUUAACCUAAUUGUGCGCCGUAUGAAUUUGGGGAUGCAAAGCUAGCUCUCUAUGAAUGUGAGGGAUGGAAAGCUAGUUCUCUAGUAGUAAUUAUAUAUAUGACAGUCAGGAAAUCGAACACUAUGCUGCUACGAGUCACCAUCAUUUCCUUCAUUGACAAUCUGACAUAGGUGAAGCUGCUUCAAUAAUUUCCUUCGCGCAGUCGUGGAGCUUAUUGGAUUAUCACCAGGACGGGACACGGAAAUGGCCAGCAAUGAAGCUGAUUGCCGUCUGAGGAAGACUACAUACUUACCUAUGAAAUGAAGCGAUUGCAUAGACUAAUGAAGCAUUGCAUAUUUGCAUGUGAGUGUGGCAGAUAAUUCUGCAGGACAUGAUUGCAAUCCACGCACCAUCGAGAAGACUGGGGCGAUGGGGUUGCCUCAUCAAUAAUCACGUGGAUGCAUGCAUGCAUGUUCCCUCAACCGGACAAGGGUCUGAUAUAUGGCUAUAGUAUUACUGAGCCCACAUCAAUAAUUUCCGCUGGUGUAUCGUGUGGGAAGAAUCAACAUACUACACCUCUGAGUUCUUGGAACUAACUGACGUUCACAUGCAACCUCCACAAGGUGCUGUAUGCUUUUGACAUUCACCUGCCAGUUCGUGUAGAGGACACCCUAACGUAUGGUUAAUAUUAUCCAUUUCAUGAGUAAAAUACUGUGAUUCAAAAAUACUUCAAAUCCCUUGAGACAAUACUUCUCACUUGACUAACCACUAACCAACCCCGAAACCCUAACUCAACUCCGAACCCUAACCCCUAACGGCAUAACCACUCCGUUUUGCCGGCGAGAUGGAGGAACUGGCUGGAAGGUAGAGAGGGCAGCGGUCCAGGGUUGAAAACGACGGGCGAGCGCAGUAACAUGUGGAGGAGGAAGUGCCACGUAUUCGUUCACCGCUAUUGGGCAGCGACACACGACACGCCCAAUAAGAUCUUCGCACGGUAGAAGGACGUCAUGUAUUCAAUAAUGUUAUUGGUCCCCCAUGUGCAGAAGGGCGCGCGCGUAUGGAAUAACAAGUAGGGACACUGCAACUAAUCUACUCUGCUCGUCCAGUCCCUAGCCUAUAAAUAGAUGCCAUGCUAGCUCUUGUUGUGCUCACAAUUAAUCCGAUUACACACGAGCUUCUCUCCCUGGCCAAGACACAACCAUAGUAUGAUGAAGAACAUGGCACUAGCCGGCAAUGGUAUGAAGAAGUUAAUCCUCGCUGUUCUCUUACUGUGUCUAGUUAUAGGGCAGAUACAAGUGGAAGCUAAGAGCUGCUGCCCAUCCACCACUGCAAGAAAUGUCUACAAUACCUGCCGUUUCACGGGUACAUCCCGUCCAACGUGUGCAAAACUGUCAGGCUGCAAAAUUAUCAGCGGGAACAAAUGCAAGCCCCCUAACGACCACCUCACCCUUGACCCGGACACUGGUAAAUAAUAAAUUUAUCUCACUUGAUUUCUUCGUGAUUUGAGUCGUUAAUGUAUUUUCCAUCUGAUGAAACGUAUUGGUUUUGCAUUGAAGAGGAAGUUAAUGUGCUUAACUUCUGCAAGUUGGGGUGUGCGUCGUCUGUGUGCAACAACAUCAACGCUGGUAAGCAACUUUUGCUCAGACAGAGAAAACAAUAAUCAUUAAUUAGCGGCAGCUAGAAUCCUAUAAUCUAAUAUAUAUAUAUAUAUAUAAUUUUAUCAGCUCUGGGAAAUGAAGAGGCGAACGAUGCCGUUGAGAGUUGCGACCAAGCCUGCUCUAGCUUCUGCAGCGUGCAUGUUGGCAGCGCCACCGUGGUUGCUUAAGCAAAUGCAUCCAACUAGAUCGUCCUUGUGCUGAAUAAUUGGAUAUCGUAUCCACUUAAAGCUGCCUUGUGUAGUACGUCUUUGUGUCUCUCUUUAUAUUCCAAUAAGGUCGGUGAUCUUGAUGCCACACACUCAGAUGUGUGUUCAUCUCCAGAUACUACUCCAUGCUACCUGCCCUUUGUGUUUUGUUCAAUAACUGGGUAUCAUAUCCCAGCCAGUAUGCCGUCUGUUUUGUGUUUGUUUCCUUCUAGUUCCAAAGGGGUCAUCAUGAUGUUACCUUCUUUCAAUAUGGUGCUUUGCAUGACUACUGUUGUAUGGUACCAUCUUGUGGCCAAUAAGUACAUCUUAUCCUAUGACCUUUGCUAUGACCCUUUGCAAAUAAGUAGAAGAUUGUUAUAAGCGUCAAUACUCCGUAUAAAUUGAUCGCUGCUGUGAGUUCCCUUUCAGCUUAUCGUAGGCAUACAUUAUUGCUAGCACGGUAAAGCCAACCAACACGAAUGAUGAAGUAAACGUAGCGGUACUUCUGUAUACCAACACCCUUACUUAAAUGUACCGGUGUCAUUCCCUACUGGCACAUAUAUUCUUAUAUGCUAGCCAGCUUGUAAAAUUAACCAAUUAAAAUAAUUAUUUCAAGAUAGAAAUAACUUAUCGGUUUCUGGAAGCAUGUGUAAUGUGAAUUCAAGGACUCGACGGAAGUUGAAUCACUUCAUCUAUAUUGCUUUCAGUAUUUUGGGUAACUAAAUUUAACAUUUGCACAUACAAAUGUUAAAGUACAAAUGUUAAAUCUAGUUACCCAAGCAGAAUAUGAAGAUAGUUUAUAGUAUAUAUAUACUAUAUAAAUCUAGUUAACAUUUAGUCUAAAUGUUAAAUCUAGUUACCUAAAAUCCUGAAAGCAAAAUGUAUAAAUAUAUAUCUUUUAAGGCAGUAUAAGCUUCGAUUCCUAUUGCUGCUCUGUUAAAUCUCAUCUUUCGUUGUGGCCCAACACUCUAGUAUGCAUGUUGCACCAAGCUUCUUUGAGCCGCUCUGCCCUCUGAUUUUGCUGCGUAGGGGAAUCUUUAUCAGGUUGGGCUACUUCCAGUUGUGCGAUGUAAAGAUUCGUAUUUUCUAGAAGGUAGACAAAAAACUCGCGUUCUCUUAAGGCAACAACCGGAAGAUUCUGCAGCGCACAGGGCAUACCAUUAUUGUAGAAACGACCUUUAGUACCGAUCUCCAACCCCCUUUAAAACUGGUUUUGCAACCGGUACCGUUAUGUCGGUCCUUUAGUACCAGAUCAAAUAAGUACCGGUUGGUAACCAGUAUCAACUUGUUUUGCGGCCAAAAAAAUAAAGAAAAAAACAGUCAGAAGGCUCGCGCACACGCGCAUCACAUGAAAUAUGCGUGUGCGGGGUCCAUGGGAUUCGAACCCAUGAAAUCAAGCUGCGCGCGACCCUUCGUUACCAUCUCACCUACAUAGCGCAUAUGCUUUCCUGAAGUAACCCGUGGAGGAGGCUUUAGUACCGGGUCAUAACACCACCCGGUACUAAAAAUGACUCUUCAGUACCGGGUCAUAACACCACCCGAUACUAGUAUCGGAUGGUGUAAUGACCCGAUACUAAAAGGCCUCUAGGGACCCUCAAAUUUGAACCCGGUACUAAUGCUAAUAUUAGUAGCGGGUCAAAGUGCAGCCAGAACUAAAGCAUGGGAUGAAAGGUCAUAUUUCUAGUAGUGUAUAGUUGUUGUGAAGGACUGACUUGGCUGUCCUCUCUCUUCUCCAUCCCCUUGGUCUUACGCCGCCGCUCGCACGCGAGCCGGUGCCCAACCAGAGGAGUGAGAGCUAGGGGCAGGUUGGGAGGUGGGGAUAGUGACUGGUGGCCAGGGUGAUGGUUGAUCCUGGUGGGGUUAGGGUUUUAGGGUUUUCGAGCUUCCUAUGGUCGGCGAACCUAGAGGAGGAGCUCAACAUCAGCUGCAACCCGCGAUGGUGGUGGUUUGGCCGGCGCCCGAGGCGAGGCAGCGCGGGAGUGCUGCCGGUGGGUUGGUGUUGGCACUCAUUAUUGACAACUAUUUUGUUCAUAAAAUAACACUCAAACUUGCUGCUGCUGCUGCUGCUGCCAUCGCCACCCUAGCCAUAAUAUAAAGGCAAAAUUUGCUAAAGGACAUGCAAAAUGAUGCUAGUUUGCUGGCGGGCAUCGUUGACCUUGUAAUAUGCUACAAGACACUCUAGUUGUGUAUCAAUUUGCUGAAAGACAUUGCUAUGACUAAAAUAAUGUUUCUGGACUGAGUUGGAGAGAGAGAUGGAGUGAAAUGUCUGUUUUGCCCAUGACCCCACUGGUCAGAUCCUUCUUCUUCCACCCUCCUUUGUUCUUUCUUCAACCAUUACCCAGCUCCAGCGUGUUGCAGAUCUACGAGGGUGGCGGCCUGGGGCGAGGGGCAUCGCUCGCCCUUGGAGGAGCGCUGCGAGCGACGGCGCGGGGGCGGCAACAGCGCGUCAGAACCUGACUGUUCGUUAGCUCCUCUCGCUGCUGGGGAAGGAGGGGGAUGGGCCAUGGACGGGGUUCCCUUGAAAACCUCAGCGUCGAGCUCGGGCGGCUACGCGCAGGCAGCACUAGGCUGCUUCACGGGGAGGGGGCGCGGCCAAUCAUUGGCACCCCACUGGUCCAAUGCUGAUGAAGAUGGUGCCAGCGUCGUGUGAGGACAUCUCAUCUCCUCGAGUUCCAUGGCCAGCACAGGUGAGCUGCCGCUACCACAAAACAGAGGUUUCGUGAGAGUCAAAAAACCUUAUGAAAAUAGCUAAAACCAUCAUGAAAAUAAUCCGUGACAUGACACUCUCACGAAAAUCCUCUCACAAAUAUGGUGCCAUGAAAAUACCAUUUUCAUGAGAGUGAACUGUCAUGAUUUUAUUUCGUGAGAGUAUUUCCUAUCAAUGACCUCCACGAAAUACUUUGUGCCACCAGGUCUUCAAGAUCAUUUUCAUGAGAGCUGAACAUCAGGAAAAGUCCGCCACAAAUGUUUUUCUUGGAGCCCCUAACUCUCAUGAAAAUCAUGCGGGCCGCCACGAAAAACAGCAUGACCAAAUGACAAAUUUCAUUUUCAUGUGUUCAUACCGCCAUGAAAAUGGUCAUUUUCAUGAGAGUUGAUGAAACAAAAAAUAGUGCCAUUUUCAUGAGAGUUCAAGCAACCAGGAAAAGACACUAAUAAACAUCCAGAUCCCAUCCAGCACACAUCCAUGCACAUAUAUAACCCACAUAUUGCUCCAGCACACAUCCAUGCAUAUACAAGAUCCAAAUGUUAAUAUAGUAGACAUCCAUGCCUGAACUAGUCUGCCACACAAGUCAUUGAUGCUACAAAUCCUACAAUCGCAGCAUGUGCAUACAAGUCACAGAAUGAGACAAUGUACCCAAAACUAAAAGGUUAGCAUCAACUGUGCUUCAACCAAAGUUGUCAUCCCAACUCUCCUCUUCAUCCAUGCCAUUCUUGUCGUGGCCGUCACUGUCAGUCCCCAUGGCAUUGCCAAUGCUGUGCAUGUCUUGGUAGGAACCUACAUGUGAUGAACUAGUAACCUGCAAAAAGAGCUCAAAGGAUCUUGUUCUCAUAUUGUAGCUGUGAAAUUCUUACAAGUAGUGUUGCAAUCAGUUCACUUUGAACCAAAAGAGCUCAAAGGAUCUUGUCCUAAAAGUUCCUCAUAAAGCUUAUGGGUUUGCUGGUGGAACUGGAAGGGCUUGAUGCAGCAGAUGCCAUUCUGCAAUAGAGAAAAAUUUAGAGAGCAGUACUAGUUAAAAUUGGAUGCAGAAGAUACACAUGAAACUAGUAUUUAUACAAGUCUAUACAAUUAAAAUCUAAGGAGACUUAUCAUCGUUUUCAUGUGUUGUGAAUUAAAAUAAUGAAGGAUACACUGUUAGGUGAAAAUUCAAGAAACAAAAUUUUGCAUAGAGAUAAAGGUCCAACAUUAUUACAAGUUAAGGUAGUUUUAAAUAUCCUUGUAAUCUUCCUUUGGUUUCCUCAACGAUUCGAAGACAAUAACCUUGCUUCUAUCAAUGAUAAUUAUAAGGAGAAUCCAGUGGAAACUGUGUAUUCGUAUUAGAACUACCUAAGGUUAAUUAGGUUAGGAAAGGAAAUUGAAAAUAGAUGGUACCCACACUUACUUAAAGUUGUCGGGCAAUAGUAUGUAAUGCUUGUAAUUCCGUUGCUCCAAGAAUUUGUAUAUGUGGUCCAAUGUAGACUUUGGUUGAUCCCGUAUCUGCUGUUGGUUAAAUAAGUGUUUCUAGCCAUUUCUAGCCAUUAGAACCGGGACUAAAGGGGGCUCUUUAGUACGGGUUGAUAUUACUAACCGGGAUUAAAGAGCCCCCAUUAGAGUUGGUUUUUGGAUGCGGAACUAACAACUCCUUUAGUCCUGAGUACGAAAACAACUGACAUAUUUGUUGCUGGAUGGAAGGUCCUUUCUCUACCGUGAAUAUUGCCAGAAAGAAUUGAAAGAGACUGCUUGCUAAAAAUAUGUCAUAGAUGUAGACCAAGCUACCAAGGAGGUAGACCAAACAUGAUACACACCAUGCGUACCUUGCUGUGCAGACUAUGCAUUGACAAGAUACCCGACCACAUGUUGGCCUCGGUCACAUCAAAAGAAUCAUGUAGGCCACCAAUAAACUACUUGAAGCGGCAUUCCGUAUCGUAUAUGCAUUGCCGGUUCAUCUGCAUUACAUUACAUAAAGCACUAUUAACUAUUUGAAUAAAAUGAACCAAUUUAAAAGUAAUGUGUUGUACUCUACUAUAGAAAGCCCUAUCACUGCCGGAUCCAAAAACAUCAUUGUUAAUGGUGGUUAAGUACCAAAUAUGACGGUCAAUAUUCUCAAGAAUAAUGGAGAAUUAGCAUUUCUUAGACACAUAUUUGGUUUUGAACAAUGUAGUUCCACAUGUCUUUGGAGAUUAUUUGGGUGUGGGUGAAAUAAUACAAAAAUAAGGAGAAAACACACUCCCAUGGCGAAGAAACACAACUCCAACCAAUGAGAGAUAGCCACAGGGGCAGCACACGGAUCCAUGGGCCCACUAACCGCAUCAAACCAUCUUACCAAGGCAGGUAGCACCCACAACCGUCAUUAGGACCCACCUGGAAGUCUACCAAGAAGAAGGUUGCGAGUGGGGCCAGGAGGGGUUCGGUUGAAUCAUCUCUAGCUAGCUCCCCUCAUCCCCAGCUGGUGGGUGGUGGUGGUUGAUGGUGUCCCUACAUCAGUUAGAGGAGAUUCCCCCAAAUAUUCCUCCUGUAAACCACCUCUAUGGACCUAUACAUAGAGGGGUGUGCUCUCCAUUCCAACACACACCACAAGUUGAAUCACUCUCUCCCUCUUUAGUUUCCAAGUUUAUGGAGUUAGGCUAGAGUAGCUCUGCUCAAGGUUCCAAGUCCACUUGGAGUUAAGCAUAUGUCUCUUGUAUCGUUAUUUCCUAAAUUGACUUUAUGCUUAGUUCUUAUAUGCAUGAGUUAGUCUAAUACCCUUGCUAUAUUGAUAUGCUCGGCUUAUAUGCUCGUAUGCUAGUCAUAUACCCUUGCUGUCGUAGUAUAGGCUUAUAUGCUCUCAUGUGUGCCUGUAGACCUUGCUAUAGUAUAUACUUGUUGUGCAUACAUACCAUGUAUAGGCUAGUCGAUCUAUACCAUGGCAUUGGUUCAAUAGCCAUGUUUUUGGUGGCUCCAACCCUAGUCACAAUAGCUCGGGACAGCUGGAGUGUUGUUAAAAAUGCAAGAGUGGUGCUUGGGUUGUUUAGCAUCGUUGGAUAUGGGUUUGCCCCACGGGUUUCUAACGGUAGGCGGCAGCUAGUGACAUCCCUGUCCGUCCUUCGUAAUCCCCCCACAUUCAGGUACGCCAUAAAUGUUCGUAAAUUAGCAGUAACUACGCCGGUACACCUGUAGGGUAUUGUCUCCCUGUAGUACCUUGGUGCAUAGAACUAAGUCCUAUACACUGUGUGUGUAUGUUUACGCUGAUAUGAUCUGUGCAGUAUAUAGGAUGUAUAUAUGAACCUAGAGCUAACUCCUAGUCCGUUCUCCAUAGCUUAGUUAUCUUGAGAUGAUUCUUCUGUAUGUGUAACACUACCCAUCUUAUCAUUAUCCUUGAUCCUGUCUUGUGUAAUAUAUCUACUCAUCCUAUGAUAUACUCAUAUGCAUAGUAAACUAUUUUGACCUACCCGCCUUCCUUUGGGAAAUAUGAUACCUUGGAAUAAUCCUAGGUGAAAUCCUACAACGGUAUAUCCAUGUAAAUGCGGAUUUAUUCAUGACCAUUAAAUAUACCAACAAUCAUCACUGUGAGUUUUGGGCGUCGUUAGUGAAGGGUUGGUAGUGAUGGGCAUCCCCUUCACCAAUGGACCUGGAACCGGCGGUGAUGGCUAUUAUAAAAAAGGGGACACCACCCAGCGUACCCCACGACCCGGCCGGCCGCACCUCCCAUCAUCCCCGCCAGCCGCCCUUCCUUUUCGCCGGCCGAGCAUGGUCCCGGCCUUUGUCCCUACCACCUCGCCUCCACCGCGACCCCCCGCCGAUGCCCUCGUGCCUGGCCCCCCUCAUCUUGCCGGCCACCCUCCCGAUGCGUCCACUGGGGCCCUCGCACCACCAACCGCCCUUGCUUAGAGAGGGAGAGAGAGGAGGGAGGUGAGGCCACGCACCUCGUCCUACACCGCCGCUGUUUCUCCUCGGCCCACCGCGCCUCACCCCACACCACAGCCGCGCCUUGCCAUCUUACCGGCUGUGACGCCUCAUCUCACCGGCCACCGUUCCUCACCCCCACUUCGGUCGUCGCCGCUCCUUGCCCUACCGCUGCUCUUUGCCGCUGCGAAUGAGCGCCGAGUGGAGGAGGAGGGAUGGGGCAGGAGGAGGGCAAGAUCCGGGAGGAAGGGAGAGAUCUCGGGAGGUGGAGAUGGAAGGAUAUGGCGGAAGGGAGAGAUCCAGAGGGAGAGAGCAGGGGAGAGAGGGGGGCGUGUGGGGAGAGAGCGCGUGUGGGGUGGGGCCGGGCUGGUGGGAUGGAAGGGAGAGGGGCUAGACGGGCGCAGUGCAUUCAACUGGAUGAAGUAAAUAUUUUGGAUUCGAGACCCCAGCUUUAUUAUCACCGCUGGUCCGUAGUACCAUCCGGUGCCUGCUCGUAAUUUAAUUUGAAUCUGCGGUGAUGUUUUAUUAUCACCAUCGGAUCAUAUAAAAAUCCGGCGGUUAAAAAUCCGCUGGUUUCGAUGAAAACCGACGGUGAUAGGAUGACUGUGAUAGUCUCUUCUCUAGUAGUGGUAUAUUAGUACCGGCUGCCGGAUGGUGUUGCCGACCAGUACUUCUCCGGGGGCGAUUCAGUACUGCUGUUAGCAAAGCUUGUUCUCUAUGAAUUUGGGGAUGGAAAGCUAGUUCUCUAGUUGUGAUUUGUUACAUAUAUAUCUAUGAUAGUCUAGAAAUUGCAUGUCCUUCGUUGACAUAGUUGAAGCUGCUUCAAGAAUUUACUUCGUGCAGUCGUGCAGCAUAUUGGAUUAUCACCUAGACAGGAUACAUAGGUGAAGCAUUGGAUGUGAUUGUGGCCGAUAAUUAUGCAGGACGCUGUUGCAAUCAACCACCAAGAAGUCUGGAGUGAUGGGGUUGCCUCAUCAAUAAUUUUUAUAUAUGGCUGCAGUAUUAUUAAGCCCACGUCAAUAAUUUUUUGUCCGCACCAUAUAUCGAUGGGGUUGCCUCAUCAAUAAUUCGCGCAACCAGACAAGCUGCAGACUCAAUAUGGUACGAAGCUAGUUGCUCAGCCCACAUGCUCUGAUAUAACAUUGACAUCUGCUGAUCUACAGUAUAUAUGACCAGAAAUAUUGUGCCCACCUCAAUAACUUUCUGAAGUAUCGUGGGGAAGAACCUACGCGUACUAUGCCUCGGAACUAACUGACAUAUCGGCCCAGGCGGUCUAGGCCGAUUGGACUGGCUCUUCCUUGUGGCUUCUCACAUCCCCUUCGUCCCCAAGUAAUUUCAGGUGUUCUGUAGUUUUCUUUUCACUUGCAUCUGAGCCUCCUAUAUCAAUAGCUUCGGGAUAAGAAUGCCUCUUGAUAACCUUCCAAAUCCUCGCUUGAUUCACAUUGAUUCCGAAAUCAUCUUGCCAUAUCUUCAGAGACUUAGGUCCUAAGGCAUCAUGGAGGAUUGCUCGCCAAGAAUGAGCACCAUUGGGCUCCUGAGGACCCUAGGCCGAUCAGCCCGGGCUCUAUAGGUCGAUUGGCCCAGGCCCUCUCUGGGCCUGUUGGCCUUCAUCUUUCUUUGAGUCGACGCUUAUUCAGGGCUUUGUCCAAUUAUAGUCCAUUAUAGUCUAAUUUCCUAAAAAACAGAAUGUCCUCCAAAAUACAAUGCAUAUGUGAAAACAACCCAAUUAUUAGGUAUGAUCAAUAGUUUAGGUAUUAAAUUAAUAUUAUUAUUUAAGAUAAACAGGGGUAAAGGGUGUCAUUAAUAACAAGCGCCAACAAGCGUCCUAGCUGUUCAAUAAAUUUUUUCUAGUACCGAUUGGUAACACUAACCGGUGCUAAUAUGUACCCUUUAUUACCGGUUAUUUUACCAGGUACUAAAGGAGACAAGAGCAUCCUAACAUAAGGUUAAUAUCAUCCAUUUCAUGAGUAAAAUACUAUGAUUCAAAAAUAAUUCAAAUCCCUUAAGACAAUACCUAUCAAAUGAGUAAAUUGUAAAUAGAGUAAUCUUGAUCAAACAAUGUCCUAAUGAAACGGAACACUUCUGGUUCGUGUAGAGCACAAUAUAGAAAACAGUAGGGUAGCUGUAUGAUUGACACGUGGUCCAUUAAUUAUUGAGCCAACACUAUGGACAUGUCUUCAUGAGUAGUGUACUAGUCAUAAUACAUGGUAUGCAGUAGGUGGAGGUAUUGACUUAGCCAUGCUAUGAGCACUUAGUUACAACAAACACUUUGCCAUUAUCGAGCAUCCCAAAUCACUACAAAAUCCAUAGUUUACCAUAUACUACAAAAUCUGAGUUAAAAUAAGAGCAUACACGGAAGAGUCCGAAUGCACGGCACAUUGAAUUACUAGACAAAAUUUAUGGGACAAGGUUUUGGGUAACCGCAUGAAAAAUAUUGGAUUUUACUGAACACUUAGUUACAAUUACCAUGCCCGUGAGCACUUAGUCACCACAAACAUUUAACCACUUUAGAUCAUCCUGAAUCCCUAUAAAUUCUAUACCUUACACCGUACCAUGAAAACGACAAGAACAGAGACAGAUGCGGUGAAAAUCUCCAGAGCAAGCCUGAAAUUAAAAUAAGAGGAGGCAGUCACUAUCGACAGGACACGGAGAUUGCUAGCCAUGACAGAGGAAGACAUGAUAUGAUAUUCACCUCUGAAAUGCAGCGUAGACUAAAUGAAGCACAAUUGCAAGUGAGUGUGGCAGAUAAUGGACCAUCGAGACCAUCGAAUGGUAUGAAGCAUGAUUAUCACCUAGACAUGAUAUCCUAGACAGGACGGUGAAUUGUAAAAAGAGUAAUCUUGAUCAAAGAAUGUCCUAAUGAAACGGAACAUUUUUGGUACGUGUAGAGCAAAAUAUAGAAAACAGUAGAGUAGUUGUACGAUUGAAACUGCAUCCAUCGACGUGGUGCAUGAAUUGUUGAGCCAACACUGUGGACAUGUCUUCAUGAACACCAUCUAGUGAGGACAGCAUGCAGAAAAAUAUAAAAACAUGUCAUAGGGAGGCAGACCAAUCUUGCGAGGUAGACGAAACGUGAUACACGAUCUGCCUACCUUGUCGUGUGGAUACCCCAAGUGAAGAUGUCAUAGAGGUGCAGACCAAGCUAGCAAGGAGGUAGAUGAAACGUGAUACACGGCCUGCCUACCUUGCCGUGGAUAUUAGUCCUGAUAUCAUUCUAUUGUUCAAGGAAUAACACUCAAUGCUGCUGCUGCUGCUGACCUGGCUCCAUAAAGUUAUAUUCCUCUAGCCGCUUGCACUAACUUUAUCUGAAGUAUUAUUCUCUCUGCACUGUAUAUAUGGUUACGGAGUUUGCUGGAGUAUCCGGGGGGAAGAACCUACAUAAUAUGUCUUGGAACUAACUGACAUUGAUUCACAGACAAGGUGCUGUUGUUGACAUGGUACAGUAAAUAAUAUAGUUUACCAUAUACCGUAUACCAUUAUAUGUUAGCUAAAAUAAGAGCAUAACAUGUCGCAGGAGUCCAAAAGCACCGGUUGAGGACCAGGUACAUUAAAUUACUAGAAAACAAAAGGGGACAAGGUUUAGGUAGCCACAUGAAAAACAUUUGAAUUUACUGUACCAUGAACACUUAGUUACCAUGCCGGGAGCACCUAGUUAACACUAACAUUUAGCCACUUUAGAUCAUCCCGAAACACCAAUGACCCUCAAUAGCGACAAAUUUUGGUUUAAAUGCCGUCACCAAUGAUCCUCAAUAGUGACGUGUUUAGGUUUAAAUCCCAUCACUAAUAACCCUUGGUAGUGACGUGUUUUGGUUUAAAUCUCAUCACCACUGAUCCUCACUAGUGACGUGUUUUUAGCAACACACGUUAUGAAUGACUUGUCAUUGGUGACAUGUUAAACGCGUUAUCUCAAUGGCAAAUCAAUGGUGACGUGUUUAAAAAAACAUGUCACUGUGAGAGUUAUUGGUGAAGGGUAAUUAAAAUGCAUCACUAAUUUUGUAGCAUUAGUUAUGAUAUAAUUUUGUAACGCAAAAAUCUACCAUAGUAAUGAGGUUUAGAGCCAUCACUAAUGUGGGUUUCUUAUCGUAGUGAUGCAAGCUCUACAAGGUGCUGUUGUUGCCAUUUUAAAGCAUCCCAAAUGACUACAAGAGUCCGGUUGAGGACUAAACAAAUUGAAUUACUAGAACCAAAUGUAUGUCCAGAACAAAGAAAGGGGUCAAGGUUUGGGUAACCGCAUUAAAAACAUUGAAUUUUACUGUACCAUGAACACUUAGUUACCAUUACCAUGCCUUGAGCACCUAGUUACCACAAACAUUAAUUUAGCCACUUUAGAGGUUCCACAAUCACUAUAAAUAAUAUACCAACACCGUACCAUGAAAACAUCAAGAAGAGAGACGGGUACAUGGACCACCAUCAAGUGAGUAGUGACAGCACGCACAAGAAUACCCGGAACCUUUUAGCUUGUCUGUAGUGAUCUGUUUUCUUCGCCACAAAUAAUGAAAGAGGCUGACCAAGCUAGCAACGAGGUAGAGCAAACGUGAUACACGUAGGUUUCAUUCAAGACAUCCAUGUAAGAUUCAUUCAAAACAUUCAUGGAAAUUUCUUGUAAGUUUUCAUGUAAAUUUCAUUCAAGACAUUUGUUAGAGGUGUUGUAUAUACACUUAACGUACAUAUAUCUAUGAUUUCAUGGUUGUUAGUGAUGGCAGAUGAGGAGCAUGCAAGGUGUUUAAUGGAGCAGAUUAUUGCUAGUGGUAGUGGCUCCAACCUGCCCGUAACGUACACCGACGAAGAGGGCAGCCAGGCGGACAUGUUCCUCAACAUGUCCGGUGAUGGCAAUGAAGAGCCCGAGCAAAACCUUGCCGUGACGGAAGGUUCCAUCGAGGUAUAUAUCAUUUCCAUUAUUUUACCCCAUCUAUAAUUUCAUAUUCAUUAUUACUAUGUGCUAAUUAAUGAAUCUUGAACCGUUAGUCCUCUAGAUCAACGAACCGAAAUAAGCCCCGAGGUCUUACAAAGAUAAUGCAGGGAAGGCUUCACAUCAUGGAAGUCACAGAAGAGGGCACAUCGGUUGCUCCCGAACAUGUGGCAAGAAAGUACGUGAGUCAAACCGGGGCAAUCGUAAGGGACAACAUGCCCAUCAGCAUCAGGGAAUGAAAGAGCAAUAGAAAUGAUCUAUACGCACCCCCGGAUACACAAAAGGAUAUGUUGUGGGCAAAUAUCAAGAAACACUUCACAUUUCCCAAAGGAUAUGUUGAAAAAUAUGUGAAAGCGUGGAUGUUGAAGAAGAUGGCCACCCAAUUCCAGACAUUCAAGAAGAUGUUGGAUGCCAACUUCAUCAAGAAGGGUCGAACUCCGGGUUUCAAUGAGUGGCCAAAGUUAAGGGACCACUGGGAGUCGUUUGUCGAAUACAAGACGAGCGAAGGUGGUGCGAGUAAGGUUCACAUCAAUGUUGCCAAUGCUAGCAAGGAGUACCAUCAUCAUCUAGGGCGACGUGGUUACAGCUCUGCAAUUCCCAGAUGGCGCAAGAUGGAACAAGACCUGAUCGAUCGGGGUAUCGUACCAGCAACUCUUGACUGGAUCGAUUGAAAAAUUGGUAUUAUGCUCAUGAAGGCAAUCUGAGCCAAGAGGAUCCGACAUUGGUCUUCAAUAAAACAAUACGUCAGAAGGUCGGAAGGCUUAUUAGGAACAUUGAAGAUGCUAAAGCUGGGAGGUUCAAGGUGGAUAGAGAGAAUGAUGAACUCACAUUGGCCCUCGGGACUGUCAUCUCUAGCACUUCCAGCUCCAGGACUAUCGUCACCACCGGGACCGUCGCUUCCUGCUCGAUCACAGUCUCCAUCUCCAGCACAUCCUGGUGGUGCGAGCGACGACGACAACAACACCCCUCCCUGCCCACCAUUGCCGGGACUAAGACCCGCAUUGAGUAAGGAACCUGCAACACCACUGAAGAAGUCGCGACCACCACCUUCAAGGCAAGUCAGCAAAAGAAGAAAGCAGAGAAGCCUAAACCCACUGAGAAGCCAGCGACUGAUAUGACCGAUGCGGAAAGAUGGAAGGCACUCAAAGAAGAAUGCAGGGAGUGGUUCAGCGAAGGCGAAGGUGAGAAAGUCGUAUGAAUCGAAUUCAAGGAUAUAUAUGAAGUGAACCAUCAGGAUGCCCUUGAUGUCUCUCUCAUCAGCGCCUAGGUUCUGUAAGUGUAUGUUUAUCUAUAAGUAAAUUUUGGCUCAUAUCAUUAUUUUUUUUGCGUGCGUCACCCUACUAACUUCGUCUUCCAUUUUAUGUAGGAUGCUAAUUCAGACGUGCCGCAUAGAAGCGUACUUCCAUGUUGGAUUCAUGGAUCCAUCCCUAGUUAACCAAAAGCCGAUACGGAAGUAGCUAGAGAAAACGUUGGAGGUGGUGUACAACCUCCUGGACAAACUAAACUACAGAAUAGGGGCAAUAUGUGAGGGUCUUGUAGGAUUCCUAGUGGACGAGGUGAUAAAUCCAUAAGGAGAAUAUCAUUCCAACGGACGAGCAUUAGACACACUGAGCAACACCUAGAUGGGAGGAUCCUAGGAAUGACCUCGACAGAUUUUGGUAUAAAUAGUAAUUGUGUAAAUACUAGUUUGAUUUGUAUAGGAAUAUACUAAGAAUUGUAUAUAUAGUAAUUGUACAAAUACUAGUUUGAUUUGUAUGAAUACUAGAUUGAUUUUAUUAUAAAAAAGUUUUAAGUCGUACGUGCAUGCGCCUACAAAGGCGCGGAUGCCUUUUAAUCCCAGUCGGAAAAACAAACUGGUACUAAAGGGGCUCGUGCCGCACCUGGCAUGACCACCCCUUUAGUCCCGGUUGAACGACCCAGGACUAAAGAUCUCCGCGUCUCAAAAAUUUUAUCUCGGAUGCUUUUUAGAGAGAUUUGAGGCCUAUCAACCAAGACUAAUAUCGAGUUUUCUACCAGUGAAACUAACUAACGUUCACAUGGUUUUGACAUUCACCUGCCAUUUGGUGUAGACAAGGGCACCCUAACAUAUGGUUAAUAUUAUUCUUGAAAGAAAAUCCUUUGAUUCAAAAUACUUCAAACCUAAUAAUACAAUACUUCUCACAUCUGAAAAAUAUGAGACGGCCCGACAGUAUUCUAAUCGACGCAAUAAUAUUUUGAGGGCAGCACUACUACAGCGACCCUCAUUCGUGCCGGUGCUGGGACUCCUAUCACGACCCUGAUACAAAUGAGGGUACAUUAUUGGUGCCAGUGCUAGAACAGCCACGAAUAACUUGCUAAACGUGCUGUUACACUCACUACAGGGACCAAGAAGGUAGAUAAAUUACACGACAUAGCCUUGGUUGCCGUGGAAGCGCCAAGAAGGGAGACAAAUUACAGGGACCACACCAUCAAGUAGAUAGUGACAAUAUGCAAAAGAAUACCCGCGCCUGUUAGCAUGUGAACUGACCACACCACGAAACGUGAUACACGGCAAGCGUACCAAGGCCUUGCUGUGCAGACUAUGCAUGGACAACACAUGGUACCUGACCGCUUUUGGCCUCAGACACAUCGAAAAACUGCAUCGUUCCACGUUGUACAUCCAUUGCUAGUUUAUCUAUAUUACAUAAUAUAUUAUUAGCUAUUUGAAUAGAAUGAACCAAUUAAAAAAUUGCGUUGUAUUUUUAGUACCGGCUGCAGGAUGGUGUUACCAACCAGUACUAAUUGGCCUGUAGGAGUGAUGGUUAUUAGACUUGGUACUGUUGUUAGCAUCAUUAACCUAAUUGUGCGCCGUAUGAAUUUGGGGAUGCAAAGCUAGCUCUCUAUGAAUGUGAGGGAUGGAAAGCUAGUUCUCUAGUAGUAAUUAUAUAUAUGACAGUCAAGAAAUCGAACACUAUGCUGCUACGAGUCACCAUCAUUUCCUUCAUUGACAAUCUGACAUAGGUGAAGCUGCUUCAAUAAUUUCCUUCGCGCAGUCGUGGAGCUUAUUGGAUUAUCACCAGGACGGGACACGGAAAUGGCCAGCAAUGAAGCUGAUUGCCGUCUGAGGAAGACUACAUACUUACCUAUGAAAUGAAGCGAUUGCAUAGACUAAUGAAGCAUUGCAUAUUUGCAUGUGAGUGUGGCAGAUAAUUCUGCAGGACAUGAUUGCAAUCCACGCACCAUCGAGAAGACUGGGGCGAUGGGGUUGCCUCAUCAAUAAUCACGUGGAUGCAUGCAUGCAUGUUCCCGCAACCGGACAAGGGUCUGAUAUAUGGCUAUAGUAUUACUGAGCCCACAUCAAUAAUUUCCACUGGUGUAUCGUGUGGGAAGAAUCAACAUACUACACCUCGAGUUCUUGGAACUAACUGACGUUCACAUGCAACCUCCACAAGGUGCUGUAUGCUUUUGACAUUCACCUGCCAGUUCGUGUAGAGAAGGACACCCUAACGUAUAGUUAAUAUUAUCCAUUUCAUGAGUAAAAUACUGUGAUUCAAAAAUACUUCAAAUCCCUUGAGACAAUACUUCUCACUUGACUAACCACUAACCAACCCCGAAACCCUAACUCAACUCCGAACCCUAACCCCUAACGGCAUAACCACUCCGUUUUGCCGGCGAGAUGGAGGAACUGGCUGGAAGGUAGAGAGGGCAGCGGUCCAGGGUUGAAAACGACGGGCGAGCGCAGUAACAUGUGGAGGAGGAAGUGCCACGUAUUCGUUCACCGCUAUUGGGCAGCGACACACGACACGCCCAAUAAGAUCUUCGCACGGUAGAAGGACGUCAUGUAUUCAAUAAUGUUAUUGGUCCCCCAUGUGCAGAAGGGCGCGCGCGUAUGGAAUAACAAGUAGGGACACUGCAACUAAUCUACUCUGCUCGUCCAGUCCCUAGCCUAUAAAUAGAUGCCAUGCUAGCUCUUGUUGUGCUCACAAUUAAUCCGAUUACACACGAGCUUCUCUCCCUGGCCAAGACACAACCAUAGUAUGAUGAAGAACAUGGCACUAGCCGGCAAUGGUAUGAAGAAGUUAAUCCUCGCUGUUCUCUUACUGUGUCUAGUUAUAGGGCAGAUACAAGUGGAAGCUAAGAGCUGCUGCCCAUCCACCACUGCAAGAAAUGUCUACAAUACCUGCCGUUUCACGGGUACAUCCCGUCCAACGUGUGCAAAACUGUCAGGCUGCAAAAUUAUCAGCGGGAACAAAUGCAAGCCCCCUAACGACCACCUCACCCUUGACCCGGACACUGGUAAAUAAUAAAUUUAUCUCACUUGAUUUCUUCGUGAUUUGAGUCGUUAAUGUAUUUUCCAUCUGAUGAAACGUAUUGGUUUUGCAUUGAAGAGGAAGUUAAUGUGCUUAACUUCUGCAAGUUGGGGUGUGCGUCGUCUGUGUGCAACAACAUCAACGCUGGUAAGCAACUUUUGCUCAGACAGAGAAAACAAUAAUCAUUAAUUAGCGGCAGCUAGAAUCCUAUAAUCUAAUAUAUAUAUAUAUAUAUAAUUUUAUCAGCUCUGGGAAAUGAAGAGGCGAACGAUGCCGUUGAGAGUUGCGACCAAGCCUGCUCUAGCUUCUGCAGCGUGCAUGUUGGCAGCGCCACCGUGGUUGCUUAAGCAAAUGCAUCCAACUAGAUCGUCCUUGUGCUGAAUAAUUGGAUAUCGUAUCCACUUAAAGCUGCCUUGUGUAGUACGUCUUUGUGUCUCUCUUUAUAUUCCAAUAAGGUCGGUGAUCUUGAUGCCACACACUCAGAUGUGUGUUCAUCUCCAGAUACUACUCCAUGCUACCUGCCCUUUGUGUUUUGUUCAAUAACUGGGUAUCAUAUCCCAGCCAGUAUGCCGUCUGUUUUGUGUUUGUUUCCUUCUAGUUCCAAAGGGGUCAUCAUGAUGUUACCUUCUUUCAAUAUGGUGCUUUGCAUGACUACUGUUGUAUGGUACCAUCUUGUGGCCAAUAAGUACAUCUUAUCCUAUGACCUUUGCUAUGACCCUUUGCAAAUAAGUAGAAGAUUGUUAUAAGCGUCAAUACUCCGUAUAAAUUGAUCGCUGCUGUGAGUUCCCUUUCAGCUUAUCGUAGGCAUACAUUAUUGCUAGCACGGUAAAGCCAACCAACACGAAUGAUGAAGUAAACGUAGCGGUACUUCUGUAUACCAACACCCUUACUUAAAUGUACCGGUGUCAUUCCCUACUGGCACAUAUAUUCUUAUAUGCUAGCCAGCUUGUAAAAUUAACCAAUUAAAAUAAUUAUUUCAAGAUAGAAAUAACUUAUCGGUUUCUGGAAGCAUGUGUAAUGUGAAUUCAAGGACUCGACGGAAGUUGAAUCACUUCAUCUAUAUUGCUUUCAGUAUUUUGGGUAACUAAAUUUAACAUUUGCACAUACAAAUGUUAAAGUACAAAUGUUAAAUCUAGUUACCCAAGCAGAAUAUGAAGAUAGUUUAUAGUAUAUAUAUACUAUAUAAAUCUAGUUAACAUUUAGUCUAAAUGUUAAAUCUAGUUACCUAAAAUCCUGAAAGCAAAAUGUAUAAAUAUAUAUCUUUUAAGGCAGUAUAAGCUUCGAUUCCUAUUGCUGCUCUGUUAAAUCUCAUCUUUCGUUGUGGCCCAACACUCUAGUAUGCAUGUUGCACCAAGCUUCUUUGAGCCGCUCUGCCCUCUGAUUUUGCUGCGUAGGGGAAUCUUUAUCAGGUUGGGCUACUUCCAGUUGUGCGAUGUAAAGAUUCGUAUUUUCUAGAAGGUAGACAAAAAACUCGCGUUCUCUUAAGGCAACAACCGGAAGAUUCUGCAGCGCACAGGGCAUACCAUUAUUGUAGAAACGACCUUUAGUACCGAUCUCCAACCCCCUUUAAAACUGGUUUUGCAACCGGUACCGUUAUGUCGGUCCUUUAGUACCAGAUCAAAUAAGUACCGGUUGGUAACCAGUAUCAACUUGUUUUGCGGCCAAAAAAAUAAAGAAAAAAACAGUCAGAAGGCUCGCACACACGCGCAUCACAUGAAAUAUGCGUGUGCGGGGUCCAUGGGAUUCGAACCCAUGAAAUCAAGCUGCACGCGACCCUUCGUUACCAUCUCACCUACAUAGCGCAUAUGCUUUCCUGAAGUAACCCGUGGAGGAGGCUUUAGUACCGGGUCAUAACACCACCCGGUACUAAAAAUGACUCUUCAGUACCGGGUCAUAACACCACCUGAUACUAGUAUCGGAUGGUGUAAUGACCCGAUACUAAAAGGCCUCUAGGGACCCUCAAAUUUGAACCCGGUACUAAUGCUAAUAUUAGUAGCGGGUCAAAGUGCAGCCAGAACUAAAGCAUGGGAUGAAAGGUCAUAUUUCUAGUAGUGUAUAGUUGUUGUGAAGGACUGACUUGGCUGUCCUCUCUCUUCUCCAUCCCCUUGGUCUUACGCCGCCGCUCGCACGCGAGCCGGUGCCCAACCAGAGGAGUGAGAGCUAGGGGCAGGUUGGGAGGUGGGGAUAGUGACUGGUGGCCAGGGUGAUGGUUGAUCCUGGUGGGGUUAGGGUUUCAGGGUUUUCGAGCUUCCUAUGGUCGGCGAACCUAGAGGAGAAGCUCAACAUCAGCUGCAACCCGCGAUGGUGGUGGUUUGGCCGGCGCCCGAGGCGAGGCAGCGCGGGAGUGCUGCCGGUGGGUUGGUGUUGGCACUCAUUAUUGACAACUAUUUUGUUCAUAAAAUAACACUCAAACUUGCUGCUGCUGCUGCUGCCAUCGCCACCCUAGCCAUAAUAUAAAGGCAAAAUUUGCUAAAGGACAUGCAAAAUGAUGCUAGUUUGCUGGCGGGCAUCGUUGACCUUGUAAUAUGCUACAAGACACUCUAGUUGUGUAUCAAUUUGCUGAAAGACAUUGCUAUGACUAAAAUAAUGUUUCUGGACUGAGUUGGAGAGAGAGAUGGAGUGAAAUGUCUGUUUUGCCCAUGACCCCACUGGUCAGAUCCUUCUUCUUCCACCCUCCUUUGUUCUUUCUUCAACCAUUACCCAGCUCCAGCGUGUUGCAGAUCUACGAGGGUGGCGGCCUGGGGCGAGGGGCAUCGCUCGCCCUUGGAGGAGCGCUGCGAGCGACGGCGCGGGGGCGGCAACAGCGCGUCAGAACCUGACUGUUCGUUAGCUCCUCUCGCUGCUGGGGAAGAAGGAGGGGGAUGGGCCAUGGACGGGGUUCCCUUGAAAACCUCAGCGUCGAGCUCGGGCGGCUACGCGCAGGCAGCACUAGGCUGCUUCACGGGGAGGGGGCGCGGCCAAUCAUUGGCACCCCACUGGUCCAAUGCUGAUGAAGAUGGUGCCAGCGUCGUGUGAGGACAUCUCAUCUCCUCGAGUUCCAUGGCCAGCACAGGUGAGCUGCCGCUACCACAAAACAGAGGUUUCGUGAGAGUCAAAAAACCUUAUGAAAAUAGCUAAAACCAUCAUGAAAAUAAUCCGUGACAUGACACUCUCACGAAAAUCCUCUCACAAAUAUGGUGCCAUGAAAAUACCAUUUUCAUGAGAGUGAACUGUCAUGAUUUUAUAAGCGUCAAUACUCGGUAUAAAUUGACUACUGCUGUGAGUUCCCUUUCAGCUUAUCGUAGGCAUACAUUAUUGCUAGCACGGUAAAGAGAACCAACACGAAUGAUGAAGUAAACGUAGCGGAACUUUUGUAUACCAACACCCUUACGUACCGGUGUCAUUCCCCACUGCCACAUAUAUUCUUAUAUGCUAACCAGCUUUGAAAAUUAAGCGAUUAAAAUAAUUAUUUCAAGAUAGAAAUAACUUAUCGGCUUCUCGAAGCUUGUGUAAUGUGAAUUCAAGGACUCGAUGGAAGUUGAAUCGCUUCAUCUAGAUUGCUUUCAGGAUUUUGGGUAACUAAAUUUAACAUUUGCACACACAAAUGUUAAUGUACAAAUGUUAAAUCUAGUUACCCAAGCAGAAUAUGAAGAUACUCUAUAGUAUAUAUGUACUAUAUAAAUCUAGUAAACAUUUAGUCUAAAUGUUAAAUCUAGUUACCUAAAAUCCUAAAAGCAAAAUGUAUAAAUAUAUAUCUUUUAAGGCAGUAUAAGCUUCAAUUCUCUGUUAAAUCUCAUCUUUCGUUGUGGCCCAACACUCUAGUAUGCAUGUUGCACCAAGCUUCUUUGAGCCGCUCUGCCCUCUGAUUUUGCUGCGUAGGGGAAUCUUUAUCAGGUUGGGCUACUUCCAGUUGUGCGAUGUAAAGCUUCGUAUCUUUUAGAAGGUAGACAAAAUACCCGCGUUCUGGAAGAUUCUGCAACGUGCACGUUGGCGCUGCCACCGUGGUUGCUUAAGCAAAUGCAUCCAACUGAAUCGUCCUUAAGCUGAAUAAUUGGAUAUGGUAUCCACUGCUUAAAGCUGCCAUGUUUAGUACGUCUUUGUUUUUCUCUCUUUAUAUUCCAAUAAGGUCGGUGAUCUUGAUGCCACACACUCAGAUGUGUGUUUAUCUCCAGAUACUACUCCAUGCUACCUACCCUUUGUGUUUUGUUCAAUAACUGGGUAUCAUAUCCUAGCCAGUGUGCCAUCUGUUUUGUGUUUGUUUCCUUCUAGUUCCAAAGGGGUCAUCAUGAUGUUACCUUCUUUUGAGGUGUCUAUGAUGACUUCGUUAAUAUCAAUAUUAACCAAUUCAAUCUGUCUUAACUAUUUGUAAGGGGUAUGAUGUAUGCAUGAUUAUAACAAUGAUUGCGCAUACAAUCGCCGCCAAAGAAACGGUCAAUACCAUUAAGACAUAUUACAGACAAUUCUCAUAAUCUAUAAUGAAUAUACAUAUUCACUACUGCAGAAGACUGUCAUUUGUAUCGGCUCAUACGUGCCAGGGCAAAGGUCACCCUUGCAUUAAGUACAUUUGCACGGUAAAGACAACCAACACGAAUAAUGAAGUAAACAUGCCGGUGCUUUUGUACACCAACACGCUUACUUAAAUGUACUGGUGUCAUUCCUCACCGGUAGCCGGCUUGAAAAUUAACCAAUUAGAACAAUUAUUUAUUGUAUCGGUGUGAUUUUUGACCUAUUGGAAUAUGAAUUUGACCGUUACUGCAUUCGUCAAGACUCAAGAGAGAAAUAACUGAUCGGCUUCUUAGAGCGUGUGCAAUGUGAAAUCAAGGACUGGAUGGAAGUUGAAGCGCUAGCACUAGUAGAGAAACGACUUUCCAUCCACCCCCUUUUGUCCCGGUUUAAAGUUGGCUCGGGAUAAAAGGUUCACCAACCGGGACUAAAACUCAGUCACUGGUGGGAGGCUCACCAACCGGAACCUUUUAUCCCGGUUGCAAAGGCUAAUGGGAAAAAAAGACUCUGAGAGGCCUUUUAUCCCGGUUUGAAACACCAACCGGGAUAAAAGACCCCCCUUUUAUCCCGGUUGGUAACACCAACCGAGAUAAAAGGGUCAAGAGCCUUUUAUCCCGGUUGGAAACACCAACCGGGAUAAAAGACCCCCUUUUAUCCCGGUUGGUGUUUCAAACCGGGAUAAAAGGGCCCCCACGAGGUGACUGGAAGGUGACUGGAAGGGGAUUAAAUCGUGGGGGACCCUUUUAUCCCGGUUGGAAACACCAACCGGGAUAAAAGGGGGUCUUUUAUCCCGGUUGGUGUUUCCAACCGGGAUAAAAGGGUCCCCCACGAGUUAAUACAAAAGGAUAGUAUCCCCUACAUAGUCAGAUGUGGUGUGUAGGUGGGAUGGUAAGGAAGCUACGCGCGAGCUCCGGAAUUUUUUUUUUUUUUUUUUGCAGCGUCGGCGCUCUCUACCCUUUUAUCCCGGUUGGUAUUACCAACCGGGAUAAAAGGGGGUCUUUUGUCCCGGUUGAGUGACCCGGGAUAAAAGACCCCCCCUUUUUUCCCCGGUUAGUUUAUCCCGGAUGCAUUUUCGGGAUAAAAGCACCCUACCAACCGGGAUUAAAGCUCACUUCUCUACCAGUGUAGCUUCAUCUUCCGCUGCAAGUUAAUUGCUUGGAUAAGAAGUUGUAGCCGCUGCAAGUUAUAAAUAGUCCCGCUGAUGCUGUGCUCCGAAGUCUAUACUAUAUAUGCGGAAACUAGAUUGCUUUCAGGAUUUUGGGUAACUAAAUUUAACAUUUGUACAUAAAAAUGUUAGUUUACGAAUGUUAAAUCUAGUUACCCAAGCAGAACAAGAAGAUAGUAUAUAGUAUAUACUAUAUAAAUCAAGUUAACAAUUAGUCUAAAUGUUAUAUCUACUUACCCAAAAUAUUGAAAGCAAAGAAAGAAUAAGUAUAUAUCUUUUGUUGGAAAAUUGGUCCACGGAGAGGCCCAUUUAGGCCUCGUUCGUUUCACCGGGAUGGGAUUCCAGUCAGGAUUACUUCCAAGUUCGGUUUGAGUGAUUCCACCCGUGUCACUCAAUCCGGCUAGGAUUCAUUCUAUGGGUGAGGAGGUAUGGUUUCAAUCCAGGCCAUCUAAUGUAGAAGGAUUCCAAUCCAGGCCGGUUUUCGUUCCAGGCCAGACUAAAACGAACAACACUUUCAAUGCAAGUCUGGUUUCAAACCGGGCCAUUUCAAACCACCCGGAAUGGACCUCGUUCCAGGCCAAUCCGGUGAAAACAAAUGAGGCCUUAAUGGAAUCCCAAAGCAAGAGUUCAGUGGCAUUCUAUAGUCCCAUGCUGCUAGUUUGAGUUGGUCGAAGCCAACUUAAAUAGGAGAGCUCUCUCACUUCUCUAAAUACGUAACUGAAGGAGAGAAGGGGGCUUGGGUUACACAACGCACGCACGCACGCAUAUUUGCGUUCUUUUCGCGUAACCAACCGCGUGACUUGAAACUUGCGACGUAGCGUGCUGCUAAGUCAAGUUGAUAUAACCUUUUUGCCGUUUGCAUGUAAUCUUUUGACAACGGUCAUUGGAGGUGAUAAGCACGCAGUCAAUACCUUAAUCUUGAGUUAAUAGGGUGGUUACUACUGCCAAUUAGUGGGGCAAUUUUGUAGGGGAAACGGUUAGCAGAGGGCUACCGUCUUCUCUAUAAGAAGUUCUGGAGACGUCCAGGAACACACAUGUACAUGUGAGAGACCCACAAAUUCCUUCCCUUCUCCCUUUUCCAUGUGGUGAAGUGUGCUGUGGUACUGAGCUGCUUGAUCUCGCCGCUCUUCUCCUUGGCAUGCACCGAGGAGGAGGGUGAGCGGUAUCUCCGAGCUAUUGCCGUCAGGAAGCCUGCACGAGGGACAACAAAAAGUUUUUGGGUAGCGCAACUGCCAGCACAACUCUCCCUCCGCCUCUUCUUCACGGUUGAUGGCCACCACAAGCAUAAACCUCGCCUUCGCAUCCACGCAAAAGGGUCGCUGGGGUGCCUUCUUGCAUCGCUUCUCAGCCUCCUUGACUUGCGGCCAGCCAAGAACUGCGCCACCACCUCGGGUGCACGCCACCACUCCAGGGCUGCUACCCCAUGCCUGCGGCCGCCGCCGGCCACCACGCGUGUGCAACCGCGUCGCACCGCUUCCUUGCUUUGUGCCACCACUGCUGCUGUACCACCAGCUCCACCACCUUGGGCUGGUCGCCAGAGUGACUGAUAACUUAUUAUCUGUAACUACUAUUAACUCAGGGAUACAUGCGUCUUUUGCUUCUCCUACUAAUAUGUCCUAAAAUAUCUAGGAUGCCUUAUAUUUCUGGACAGAGGAAGUAUUUGAAUAAAAUGAACCAAUUUAAAAAAAUGUGUUGUACACUACUACAGAAAGACCUAUCAGUGUCAAACCCAAAAAUGUUGUCACCGCCAGUUUUGGGCAUCAUUGGUGAAAGGUUGGCGGUGAUGGGCUUUCCCUUCAACAACGGCACUGGAGCCGACGGUGAUUGACAUUAGAAAACAAAAAAGGGGACCCUACCUAGCCACCCCUGCAACCCGGCCGGCCGUGCCUCCCCUCAUCCCCACCACCUCGCCUCCCCAUGACCCCCCGCCGGCGCCCUUGCGCCUAGCCCCCUCAACUGCCCAGCCGGCCACCCUCAUCACGAGAGAGAGGUGCAUGUUGUAUAAUUGCGUGAAUUUUUUAAUGUUUAAUUUCAUGUAAGUUCCGUGUAAUAAAUUGUACAAGUUUUAUUGUAUAUAUGAAUUCCAUAUAUAUAUAUAUAUAUUUAUAAUUUAAUGUAUGGUUUCAUGUGUAUAUUUCAAUCAUGUGUAUAUUUAGUAGAUUGCCGAUUUUCUUUUUCUACUAGACAAGGGUUGAUGUAUAAUUACGUGUAUAUGUUUAUUGUACGGGCAAUUAGGACAAGUUUUGUAUAAAUUUCUUUUAUUUGAUGGUUGUUGUAUGGUUUCAUGUAUAUACAUUUAUUGUACUACUUUAGACAAUUUUUAAUUUAAUGUUUCUAUGAUUAGAUGUGUGUAUAACUAAUUGUAUUAUUAGUUAAGAUGGGAGCUAAAGAGGAUGAAAGGUAUAUAAUGGAGCAGAUUAUUGCUAGCUCAAACGUUGCAAGAACCUACACCGAGGGUGAGGGUAGCUAGGUGGACAUGUACCUCAACAUGUCCAGUGAUGGCAAUGACGAUGAGGAGCACGAGCAUGACAUCUAUGAUAAUGCGGAACAAGACAUUGCAGAAUUGGAAGGUUCUAAUGAGGUGUGCUUCAUGUUGACAAUCUAGUUGGCUUUUUUUCGUUGGUCACACCUUAGUUACCAUAGAACUUCGUCUCGGGAGAAGAUUGGUGGUGGUAUGGUGAUUGGAAUUUUAUUUCCACGAAAUCUGAUUUCCAUCGAAUCAUAUCCCUUGUAUUUAUCUUCUUUUUAUUUGUGAGAGCAUCUUCUUUAUGCUUGCAAAACAAUUCAAGUGCACAUACUACCCCUAGGGUGACGAUUGGGAGUAGAAAUAAUUGCCAACAAAACAACACCACAUCCUAAGAUUCUUAACUUGUGGCAUAAUUAGUCUAGUAAAAAGAAAGAUAAAAACCUAAUGGGUGUAUGUGAGUGCAAUGUGUAUAUGCAUAUGAGUGGAAGGCAUAUAAGCAAAGACAAUAUUUACACAUAGUUCUAAACACCAUGUUUACAGCUAGGUUGCUGAAUUUCUCCAUAGCCAUAGAGAUUAAUUAACCAAGGUCAAAACACGAUGUCUAUCCCAAGAUCAGUAAUUAUUUAUAGCACAAGAAAAAGAAAGCGCAUUGCAAAGUUUAUAAACCAACCAAUACAGCAUGAAAACAAGAUGAAUAGCUAGCAAGGUUUAUUAAACUGAAUGAUGACGGUCUGUAAGCAAGUUUAAACACCAUCUUUACACAAGAUUGCAAAUGGAAAAUGCCCAUAUGAAGCACUAACAUGGAUAUGAAAUCAUUCAUCAUAAAGCGUAAAGAACAACCAAGCCAACCAUAUGCAAAGCAUGAAUGGAAUGCAAUGAAGGUGCAAGAGAACAUUUUUGGAUGAACACAUUAUGAUGAUGGCAAAAUGCAAUGCAUGCAGAAAAAAUAAAUAUGAACAUGAAUAUGAUGAUCAGGGGCGGACCCACUAUUGUGGCCUGGGUAUUCCUCGGCAUACCCAAUAUUUUUGGGAAAAUGUUUAGUAGUUUUUAAUGGCAUAUACAUGUAUAAUAUAGUUUAGGUGUUAAAAUUGAUAUUCACAGCUAUUUUGGGCUCCAAUUCGCGUCCAAACCAACCUGGCCCACAGACCGCACCCGGCCGCCCGGCCCAUCGGCCCAUCUUGUCACUGAUCCUCCCACCACCACACUCAGCCCGUCAGUUAGUCAGGUCCCGAGCUCCUGCCUGACCUAGUCCGCUACCACCGCCAGGCGCCAGGCACAGCUGUACACGCCGCCCCCGUCCACCCACGUCCGCCGCACGGCCGCGUCGCGCCCCCCCCCGGCGCCCGCUGCUGCCAGAACCCAUUAGGCCUCCACCGGCAAGUCCACCCACAGUCCCGCGCGACGCGGCAGCCUCUUGGCUCUCGGCGCUCGCGGCGCGCCAAUGCCUGCGCAGCCCCAGCAGGCGACUGCCCCCCCCCCCCCCGCAUCGGGCCUCGGCCCCUCCCCAGCUCCCCCUCCCCCCUCCACCAGGACUGCCUGCUGGCCCCCACCGCGAGGUAAUCGAAAUGGACUGCUCAAUCUCUCAAUCUGUUGACAUGAUGCACACGGUUGCAAAAAUAGAUGUGUCAAAAUAGAUGUAUUGCCAAUUGCUAUAGAUGCAUAUGGUUGACAUGAAGAAGUCAAAAAUGACAUUUGGUUCCUUGUAGGCAGUCAAAAAUGAAGAAGUCAAACAAUAUUGAUCUGAAAUCAAUGCGGGAAAGGGCUACGAAGACACACGGGUAGAUUCCCUUGUGAACUUUUUAUGUCGUUCGUCUAAAUAUAUUUUUGCAAUGGGCAUACCCUACUCUGAAAUCCUGGGUCCGCCACUGAUGAUGAUGGUCUAAACAUAAAACAAGCCUAGAUUAAUUAGCUACAACUGAAAUUAAGCAAAGGUUAAUGUCAUUGACCCUAGCUCUAUCCUAGCUUUUACUAAAGUCCCGGCACAUAUAGUGGUUGGGCCCACUCUCUCUACUUCCCUCUCUGCUGCAUGCACACACACGAGCAACUGGAGGCCCAACAAAGCCCAGAAGGGUUCGGCCGAACCCGUCCGAUCCAGUCUGAGCGCCGCUCCCUCCCAGCCUUCGCGCAGAUGCUCCUCCAACGUUCCUUGACCCCUCCCUCAGUGUCCCAUUGGGUUUAACAUUGUAGGAGAGGAGUCCCUUUUUUAAAAUCUCAACCACCUCCUCUCCUCAUUCACUCCACUCUCAUCUCCAUCAAACUCACCAAGAUCCACAUCGGAAAUACCUGCUUACCACCAUGGCUGGCAAAGCCCUCGUCCCUUUCACCAACUUGGGCUUGACCAUUGAUCUCGAUGGGAAAAUCACUCCAGCAAAUGUCAUUGUCCCUGUCGGCGAUCUGGCGAUGGAGGAGGUCCAGGCACUAGAGGUCGAGCCCCUAGCCAUCAUACCGCCCAAGGGGUAAAGCAGGAGCAUGACAGGCGCUGCUAGGGGUUCAGCCGAACUCCCAGUUCAGCCAAACGAGGACGGCGUCGCCUCGGCCUCCCGCUCGACUGCAUGCUUCCCCUUGCCAAGGAGGACUCCAGAACAGCGGGCGCGUGCGUCAAGUCCCUACAAAAGGCUGAAAUACAAUGAAUAUCCAGGGUCACCCUUGAAGAUGGGUGAACGCUACGCCGGGUCCUUGUUUGACUAGUACGGCGAUGCAUUCUGCCACCGCUAUGUCGUUGUCGAGAUUAGCGGAUCAAGACUUAGACUAGUAAAUUUCUUUUAUGCGCGUAAGGCUUCAGAUGGUGGCGUGGGAGACAUGGGUUUUAUACUAGUUCGGGCAAUGGAAUACCCUACGUCCAGUGUCUGGAGCUGCUUGUGUUGCCCACGCGGGGUUCUGUAGUAGGGGUUACAGGUGUGCGAGAGAGGGAGCUAAUCCCAGGUCUCUUAGGCGUGUUCCGGUCCUCUAGAUGGGAGAAGUGUGUUCUGUUUGCUUGGGAGUAUCGGUUGUGUCUGAGUUGUCUCCGGAGCCUCCUCCCGUCUCAGGUCCCCGAUUCUCCUUUCAUAGCACAAGGAGACCAUCGGGGUUACAGACGAGACCGAGCGUGGGGAGGAGUAAAGAGAUAAACAUAGCUAGGUAAAAAUACAACAAGAAAGGGGGGAACCAAGUUUCUAGGUCACCGGCGUCCUCGCCGGCCUUCGACUUCCGCCGGCGCAUUUGUCGGAGGAGGGUGGCCGCCAUCGCGUUCUGUCGAUGGCUUCCUCGGUGACUGUAGCCACCGGGCGUGAUGAUGGCAUUUCGUCGUGACCCUUUGUCUGUUGGGGGAGGCGGCGGAUCCUGCCAUUCUGCUGACGGCUCGCGGAGUGCGAACGUCGCAUCCCUGCCGCUGGGCACGCGGGGCGCGAGAACGUGCGAGGCUUCCCCCUACCCCAGGCGGCGCAGGCCAUGAGUGCCCUGUGGCAAAUCGGAGGAGGCCGCAGCUACUGUAGCUUGUACUGUGCAGCCACGUAUGGGUACUUGUGGCAGGUUGCGUGGUGGAUGCGGAUAUCCUUCUCCCUGACAGAUCUGCGGCGCAUUUAUGGCGAGAUCGACAUGGGGACCCACAAGACCCGCGCCCAAGGCGGAUACUUGUCUGGAGGGCCCGGGUUAGCCUGACCCCCUACGCUUGGGGUCGGGCGAGGCGGAGACUUGCGGCGGGGCGUCGGACGCUCCCGACACUAGACCUGCGGUCGCGCAAGGCGGAGCUUGGUCUUCCGGGGGUCGGGGGUGCCGGACCCCAGGAUGCGGGGUCGGGCGAGGUGGAGCGUAAUUCUUGCCUCCCAUGUUGGGCCGAUGGCAGUCUUUGUUACCUCUAGUGGGCUUGGGCCUUUAUGUUUUGUUGUUUCCAUGGGCUUCGAGAGGUCGUUAAUAUUUCCCCCCAACAGUAGCCCCCGAGCCUGUGGUGGAGUGGGGGCGCUCCUCCGGAGGCUACUAUCAUCGCCCCUAGGGAAUCCUCGCAGUUGAUCCGGGAUAGGAGGUGUUGUUUGCACGGCUUGACCGAGGGGGUCGAUUAGGCGACGCAUCCUGUGAGCGACUCGGUGCGGGAGGGUUUCUUGUUGUUCCCUUCUGUCUGAGAGCCUUAAGUCGAGACCACCUGCGUGGCCUUUGGUUGCAAGGCCAGCCCCCGAGCCCCCGCACGUUGCAGGGGACCGGUCGGAGGCUAGGUCGACUUUUGUUCAUUACCCUCAAGCGUCUGUUCGCUAGGACGGAGGGGGCGAGCCGUGCCAUGCUAUCCUCAUCGGACGAACCAUGGUGCUCAUUGAGUUACUAACGGGUUGAUUCGAGUGGGAUCCCGGUCCCCGUUCGGGGGGGGUCCGGCUUGGGCCAAGCUGGUGGCGUACCCCAGGCUCCGGUCGGCCAGUUCAUAUAGUUCCUGAGUCCGUUCGGUCGGACCGGGGGCUCAUUGCCUUUCUUCGGGGAAAAACCAUGAACUUUGAUGCCGGUCCAGACUCGAAUGUGAGAUUGAGACGCCCGGGGCUGUCGCGUGCCCGGGUGAUGGCCGCUAGCGGACCCGUCUCCUCUCACCCCUCACUCGGGGGUAUCCUGAGGCGGCUGUCGAACCCGUGGCGGGCCAGCCUUCGAACCUCUGGAUCGUAAUGGGCCGUAGGGGCGUUUUCAGCCCCGUAUCCCUUUUUACCUUUUGGUGGGCCUUGGGCCGAAUCAUGGAGGAGGUCGGGCCUUGGGCCGGAUGCGGAGGAUGUCGUGCCUUGGGCCGGAUGUGGGGGACGUCGUGCGUGUCUUCCGGGAGACGAAGUGGUGGAGGGUGCCAACCCGCGAAUCGAGGGAGGAGGGGAUGUUUCUACUGCAGGUCAUGCGCACGGUUUCCGAAAAGGCAGCGGGCGUGACGGGACGUACCUCGCGCCGCAUUUAUUGCGAUGGGGGCGUCUGUUCUGCUUCCCUCGUGCCUUCCCUAUAAAACGAGGACUUCGCCUCGCCGGUUCCGCCCGCCAUCUACCUUCAAGCCUUUUCGCCUCCUCGCGCGCCCUUAGCUUUCCUGUGCCCGCUUCGUCUUCCUCCGCCCAGUGCCGCGCCCUUUCUCCCCAUCCGCCGUCGAGUUCUUCUCCCUCCGGCGAUGGGAUCCUGGGCGCGUUCCCACUUCGGCCCCUCACGCGCCGAAGGCCUAGUGAGGAAAGGCCUCCUUUGCGAGAGGACGGAGACGGAUGAGUGGGGGUUCCCUGAGAUGGAAGAGGUGCCGACUCCGCCCACCGGCUACGUCGUUUCCUUUGCCCACUUCCACGAGAGGGGGUUUGCGACUCCGCCGAGCCUCUUCUUCCGCGGGCUUUUGUAUUACUACGGGCUUGAGCUGCAGCACCUCAACCCCAACGGGAUUCAGCACGUCGCGGCGUUCGUUGCGGUGUGCGAGGGGUUCCUGGGCAUUGAGCCCAACUUCUCGCUGUGGAAGUACUUCUUCACGGUCAGCCUAUACCAGAAGGCCGAGAAGAGGGGAAGCCAGCAGCGGUCGACCCCGGUGCCGAUAGGGUGCGUCGGAAUCCACCUCUGCCAUACUCGCGCCAAGGAGUAUAUCGCGAUGAAGACCGCGGCAUCCCACAAGGGGUGGCACCAGCAAUGGUUCUACGUGAAGAACUACUCCAACCCCCCCUGCCGGAGUUCACCGGCCGCAUUAUUGAAGCGGCGCCGGAGGUGUGGGUGUACGGCCCGGUGGAGAAGGAGAAGAAGCGGAUCACCGGCCUGCUGCAGGCCAUCGAGCACCUGAAGGAGAGGGGACUGACCGGAGCCGGAGUCAUCGGGGCGUACCACGCCCGGCGGGUGGCGCCGCUGAUGCUCCGGGUCCGCUCGCUCGCCGACAUGACCCCCGGUGCUCUCACCGAUGGCACUGUCCUCGCGACGGGUGCUCUCGCUGCCUCCGAGAUCCGGCAGCGGAUCCGGGAGGCGCUGGAGGACAAGGACGCCGAUUACCCGGUGCCCGGCCACCCUCCGAUGCGCCCGGACGAGAAUUUCAUUGAUCUGGUAAGGAUUUUGCGCGCCAGUUUCCCUCUCUUGCGUUUCUUGGUAUGCCGUUCUGACGCGAGGCCCUCUGUGUUUGCAGGGUAGCAUGACCCGGGUCGUCGACUUGCGUCCGCCAGUGUCGGAGGACGCCGAGUGGCGGUAGCAGAACCGUCUCCUUGCCGAGAAGCAAAAGUGACGCAAGGACAAGAGACAGCGAAGAAGAAGAAGAGGGCCGCCAAGGAGUUCCAGCGGCGGCGGUGGGGAUAGGUCGUGUCGGAUGACGAUGACGAUGAGAAGGAGGAGGAGGAUGACGAGGAGGAGGAGGAGUUUAUCCUGUCCCCCCGGUCAGGGGCGCUUGUUAUCCGGGAGCCGCGCUCCCAAGCGGCCAUGGGGGACAAGGCGGGCGAGCUGCCUGCCCGGACCCGAUCCUGCGAAGCUUUGGGGGCGCGCCCCAGGGGUCGGCGCAGAGCGCCCCCCGGGGGUCGACGGAGCCGACCCCCAUCCCUACACCUGCAGCCCAGGAGCAGAGGAGCAGCGACAAGCGGCCGUUGCCAGAUGCCCCGGGGUCGGCGUCCAGCUCAGAGGCGAAGCGCGCGCGCCGCCCUUGCGCUGGGGGAACGUGAGUUGAAUUUCCUUGCGAAUCUCGUUCCUUUCCAUGCAUUGUGUUUGUUUCCGCUGAUGCUGUUUGUUGUCUCACAGCACCGCCCCUCAAGGCCUUGUCCCGCCGUUGGCGCCAAAGAAGGCGUUGCGGUGUUGUCGCCUCUGCGGGGCGGACCGCGGCUCCGCCGGCGGCGAGUGGCGGGGUCACUGGUGAGACCGCGGGUCCUACCGCGGAGGUGGCCCCUGCGGCGGCAACCGGUGGAGUGGUGCCACCGCCGGGCAUGGGACAGGGUCUGGACCCCGCUCCGUCCUCCGCCUCUUCGGCCGACCCCGCGGUGCAGAGUAUCGCUCCUGGGGGCCCUCAGGCCGGGGAGGUGAUUGACCUCGACGCCGACGAGGUGGAGGAGACGGCGGCGGUGGAGACGGGGGCGGUUGCCCCAGCGGCCAUGACGGGGACGACGACGGCGACGGGGGAAGGAGAGUCUACCCCCGCGGCCACGGCGGGGACAGUGGCGACAGAGGAGGCGGGGACGCCCGCCCCGGCGGCUGCGACGGAGGAGGCGGCGGUGACGGAGACGGGGGCUUCCGCCCGGGAAGCCACAGCCGAGGUGGCAGCGGCGACGGAGGUGAAAGUGCCUGUUCUGGAGGCCACGGUGGGGGUGGGGACGCCUGCCUCGUGGCCACGACGGAGGGCGAGGCGGCCCCAGGGACACUUGCUCCGGCACCCGCGUUGGAGGCGGUGGCGCCGACGGGUUGGCCCGUGGCGGCCUCGACGGGGGCGGGGGUGCGUGCGCCGGGACCGUCGGUGAGGCCGGCGACUUCCGGGAUGGUGGUGCCCGUCUUGACGGCGGCGGCGGCGCGGUCGGCCCCCGCCCUUGCCUCUACCACUCCCAUUCCCAAGGCGUGGAGCGGAUCCGUCCUGCGUUGGUCGUCUCGUGACGACCCGCAGAGGCCCCUCUUCACGUUGGAUGAUGCCACAGAAUGGGGCAAGUGGCAGGCGCUGCAGGGCGGACUCGCUAACGUCCGCGCCGCUCUAUCUUCGGCGUUGGGGGAGCUGGACGGCGUCAUCUUCCCCGGUGGCCGGGUAUGGUGCUUUCUCCGUUGGUUAUUUUCUUCCCGUUACUUCGUCCCUGAUGGCACAUUGUUCUGCAGGCCCUCCAAGAAUGUAGCCGGGGAAAAUCUGAUUUCCUUUGGCUCGAGCAGGGGCUCUGGGAGCGCUUCAACUUGGAGUUGCAGCGGACCGGGGAGCUGACCAUGCAAGUCGCCACCGUCUAGCAUGUCAUCGACGAUCUGCGAAGGCACGAGCAGGCGGCACAGGAGGACGCGCGGCGGGCGGAGGCCAAGUUCCAGGUCGUUGCCGAAAGGGCUCGCUGCGACCGCGAGGAGUUCCAGGCCGUUGCCGAAAAGGCCCGCCACGACGCUGAGGAGCUCGCACGGCUGAAGGUGCAGCAUGAAGCUCUUCAGAAGAGCGGCAGAGGGCCUGGCAGGACCGGGACGCCGAGAAGGUCCGGAAGGAGGAGGCUGAGAAGGUGGCGGCCAACCUUGGGGCUGAGGUCAGCCAGCUCCAAGUGCAAGCGCGAGAGCUUCAGGCCUCCGUGGCCCAGGGGCUCGACCAGGAGCGCCAGCUGAAGGCCUAAUCCGAGGGUAUGACUCUGUUUAUUUCUUUGUCUUUGUGAUGUUGCGGUGAUAUUUUAUUUGGCGGGUUCUUCUGGAUGAUCCUUGCAGAUGAGCUCAACUGGCUGAGGGAGGUGCUUGACGCGGAGCGCGCUGAGCACGGCGACCUGCGGGACGCGGUCCGCGUCAUCUGUGACUUCCUUAGUGUGGUCCAGGGGGAGGGGACGAGCUCGCUGGCGGCUCGUGUCCUCGGGACGUACCGCCGGACCAGCGAGAUCGCCCUGGAAGCGCUUCGCACCGGCUUGAGGCAAGCCUUUGGGGUCUUCGGCUCCCACUAUUCCGGCAUCAACUUCGCCGGGAUGAGCGGGGGAUACGCCACCGGCUACUACGAGGCCGAGCUGGAUGAGAUCGACGUGUCGGUGCUCAGCCCGGCGGAGGCCUUGGUGAAGCUCCUCGAGGAUGAGGCCGUCCCGCCCGAAGAUCCCCGGACGAGUUAACUAUAUCGGGCUGGCGCCCCAGAUGUAAAUACGUUAGGGAAAGACUUGUUUUUUGUGAGGGCCGUAGAGGCCUUUUCUAUGAAUUGUCGUAAAAAAGUUUUUGAUUCCCUUUCUUGCUUUUUGGACUUGGAAAGUUUAGAGCACGUUGUCGGGCGUGUCAGUAAGCUUUGAUGAGCGAAGGCACCGUAGCCGCUGGGGCGUCGUUUUUUUUGCAGUCCGAUCAAUCUUGCCUGAACACCGUUCGUGCACUUUCUCCUUUUUAUGCCCAAAAGUUCAGAAAGAGGGUCGGCUCGGAAAGAGAAAGCGUUUUGAGAGGGUGUCAAGUGGCUUAGGUACUUGCGGCAGGUUGCGUGGUGGACGCGGAUAUCCUUCUCCCUGACAGAUCUGCGGCGCAUUUAUGGUGAGAUCAACAUGGGGACCCACAAGACCCGCGCCCAAGGCGGAUACUUGUCUGGAGGGCCCGGGUUAGCCCGACCCCCUACGCUUGGGGUCAGGCGAGGCGGAGACUUGCGGCGGGGGGUUGGACGCUCCUGACCCUAGACCUGCGGUCGGGCGAGGCGGAGCUUGGUCUUCCAGGGGUCGGGGGCGCCUUACCCCGGGAUGCGGGGUCGGGCGAGGCGGAGCGUAAUUCUUGCCUCCCAUGUUGGGCCGACGGCAAUCUUUGUUACCUUGGGUGGGCCUGGGCCUUUAUGUUUUGUUGUUUCCAUGGGCUUCGAGAGGUCGUUAAUAUUUCCCCCCAACACUAUGAGGAGGACUUGUGGGCAGAAAGUCAGCUACCACAAACUUGCCUCUGAAUAUUUGGAGUGCAAACAUUGGAUGGUGGUUGUGGAGAGCCCCAGCCAUACCUCGCACCCGUGGAGAGGUAAUUGUCGGAUUGCUUGGUUCGUCUCUAGAAUGCGACAAGGUCAGGCGCCACCUCUCACUGCUGCCAGUCAGAAGGCCGAGGGGCCAGUUUCAACAUAGUAAUGAGAAUCUCCGAAGGCCAAUAUGGUUAAGCAGCUAACCUCCAUGAUCAUAGACUUACGUUUAGAAAAUAGGAGGCUUAGCGAUGCGUUAACAGAGCAGAAGUUAGAAACAGAAGAACUUAAGGACGACUUCCGUGUCCUCCGCCUUGGUCUUUGUGCUAAGAUAAAGCGCUUGUACAAUGCCACGGGGAAUGACGGUCUCUACGAUGCAGCUCAAUAGACGUGCCCCUUGUAUCCUUUCCUUUAGGCACUUUAGAAUAUGUUUAUUUGUUUUCCUUCAUUUUAAUUUCCAAUAGAUUGUUAGCGCCUCCAAUUUAAUUUCAAUAAAGUGUAGACUCACCGGUCAUCCAACUUGAUGGAGUCCUUUUGUCACCUAGUUGUCUUUGGAAGAAGUAGCUGGGUACAAAAUAAGUGUGGGGGAGAGCCACAGACUCUCUAGAGCUGAAACAAUGCACAACACCCACAAAUAGAGAAAACCACGCUGCACCAGCACGUACGUGAAAGUGGAGCCAGAGCUGGACCCAUAGGGGUUUGGCCAACCCAAGGGGUGGCCCACUCGGGCCAUCUUCAUCCACCGCGUCGGUUUGUGUCUCUUUACCCCUGAUCUCCCUGAUUCAUGAGUUUGAAUGAAUUUUAAAUCUGAUCAACUAAUUCAAACUCAACUAAAAUGAAUCAACUGCUCCACCUGCUCUACAUGUUUUCUAUGGUUGGCUUGCAUAUGUUUUAUUUCAUGCUUAUCAUCUUGAUGCUUGUGAACAAAUAUCUUUAGGACAGCAUGCUCAUCUAAGUAGUUGAUGUGUAUGAUAUGGUUCGAUGAUAUGAUCUUCACUCUUAAUGCUUAAGUGCUUGGGAAAAUCUAUUUGAAAAUUUAAAAGCCUUUUUGAAAUCUCCUCUUUGAUGUGCCAAAGUCCUACCAAAGCCAUAUGAUAAGUUAUCUUGAAAAACCAUUUGCAUAUGUUGCUUGUCUUUGCAUUGAGCUUUGUCAAAUUGGUGUGACCCUUGUCACAAUUCUUUUCAUACUUUCAUGAUCAAGACUCAUGUGCACGCCAUAUACCCCUUGCUAUGCUUCUAUGAGAUGUUAGCAUUGUACCAUCCAUUCAUUCCACAAAAUAAAUGCUCCACCAUAUGUGUUGGUCUCCUUCUAAGAUUAUUGUUACAAAAGAGAUAUGGGCUAUCAAAAAAAAAUAUGAAUGUCCAAGAAAGUUGGACACAUGAAUGUCCAAUAAAAAGAAAAAGAAAGAUAGCCAUGUCCUCAGAAAUAUUUACAAAGGGAGAGAGAUCAUACAAAAAGGAGUUUCCAUUCCAUCCACCACAUCCAUACAUGUGCACAUCUUGAUCUGAUUGUAUGACUUAUUUUUCUCUUUGGAUCUGGUCUUUGACUUUGCAAUAUAUGUGAUGCAAGCAUGCCUUAUCCUUCAUAGCCUACCUUGAGCUCCACAUAUAGCCAUCAUUAGAAGUAGGAUGAAGAAAGGCAAGUCUAAUGCCUUGGUGAGGACAUAUACACAUUGAGUGAUCUGAGAGAAUCAAAUGAGGAGCUAAGCAAGGUUUUGUUUUGAAAACUAAUUGAAAAAUCCCAAGCUACUUGGCAUAAGGAGUUGAGGUGACUUGAUUCAAGACCAUUACAUUCCUCAACUACCCAAGAUGGCAUGAUAGACACUCCAAAGUUCACAAGUGCAGGUAUGGUUUGGAAUAUCUUUUAGGCUCGCUUCAUACCUUUGAAAGUUAUGUUUCACCUUAGUCCUUUCUCGUUCACUCAAGGAUAAGCAAAGGCUAAGUGUGGGGGUGUUGUUGAUGGCUCUUAAGUACAAAAUCUGCGCCAUCAACUCUUGCAUAAACACAUAAAAUAUGAGCAUCAACAAUAGUGGUAGGAGUUAUUACAAACGAAUUCCACAAGUCUUGGUGAAUAUUUGUAUGCAAGCCCAAUAGGAGAGAAAAGACACCUCAAAAGCAAGGAAACACACUCUCAACCAAUCAAGAGCAAGCACAUGGAACCAUGGGCCCACAACCAAAAGGAAAUCGACUACAUUCCAAACACCCUAUACCCACAUGAGAACCCAUAGGGCAGUGACCCAGAGCAAAGGUGAUGCCAGAGUGUAGAUGGUAGUUAGCAUGCCAAAUUUUGAACCGCAAGCGCUCGGAUUAGUUGUUUCUUUUCCCUUAGAGAUUCCCCCAAGGUUUAUCAAUCCAUGGAACAAGGGAUUUGCACGUUUCACUAAGCACUAAUCAAUGUAAUUGAAAGCUUUUCGAAUAAGAUAUGAUUAUGCUAACAAAGGAACUAAGCAAUCUAGAUUAAGAUGGAUAGAGAGUACAGGUUGUGAACAAGAUAGAUUAAACGCUUGUAGAUGCAAUCACCAUGCAUGAAUGAAUUAGAUCUAGGUGUUAUUGUGAGUGGUUGUGAACCAUGCCCAACACUUUCCCACCCGCAACAUUGUCACUACAUGUGGGUACUCAACUAUCGGAACAUAAGAACACAUCAAGAUGAUCAUUCUAGGUAAGCAAAUAAGCAACCCAAAGUAGCGCUGGCCAGCCUUUUCAUGAAAGAGCAUCAUCAAGAUAAGAUUGAUAACAAAAUAGAUCUCAACCAAAGGUUCAGCGAUUACAAAUCAAGAUCUUCGUAUAACCCCGAUGACAAAUAGAGGUAUUACCCCCAUGAUCUUACACAUGUUGAUGAAUUUUAGGGUAAAGGACACCCUGUAGAUCAACUGGACCAAAGAUGAUGAUGAACGGGGGCAGGGAAGGCCCAGGUUGAUCAGCCUGCGCACUUUUGAGCCGAUCAGCUCAGGGGGUUUCCUCCUCCCCUGGUGCUCCUCUUCGCGUGGCCUCCUCUGGAUCCAAUCUUCUCUUCAUUUCUCCUACUUGUGGCGGCAAUGGAUGGUGUUUGCAUGGUGAUUUCCUCUUCUCCCCAACUCUCCCUCCUUGAAGUCCAUGAGGGGGUAUUAAUAGUCUCCAAUAGGCGGCAGCUCUGGGUCAAUGUCAGUGAAAAAAUCCUAGAGAUCAUCGUACACUUCAUGCUGAGGAAACAAGAGGUUGACCGAGCCCUGGGAUAGACCAAGAGGAUCAUCCUAGAGGGUCCCAGGCUAAUCGGUCUAGGCCCUUCCUAGCCCUUCUAGUCCUCUCCUUCCUCGUGCUGGCUUUUCUCGAUGACCCUUGUCCAAAUAUCCAUGAAGCUCUAUAUACAUACCCCCUUGAUUAUGUUGUAUUUCCUGUCAAAAUACAAUGCUCCAAAAUACAACACAUAUGCAAUAAUAGGGUUAUUUCAGGUGCCAAUUGGUGGGUUAGUAUACGAAUAAGCAUGAAAAUACUGUUUAAAUGACACUAAAAGUGUGUCAAUAACGAGCACCAACAAUCCCCCCACGCUUAGAUCUUGCUCGUCCUCGAGCAAGUCUAGCGACUAAAAGAUCUUGAAUUAAACCUGAGCAAGCGAGUCAAGUACCUAGCCUUGAAACAAAAGAUUAGAGGAGCAGCAAAGAUAAUCAAAGUCUGGGUGUUCAAAGAUUUAUCUAAGCAAAGAUUCCCCUACAACUAUUAUUCAGAACCAAGUAACUUCAAAAAUCAACUACACUUAUUUUCUGGCUUUUUUCAGAGGGUUUUUCUUUCAUCAUAAAACAAUCUCCCUGCAACAAAAUUGAAAAAAGAAUUAUUUUCAAGGUGCUUACAUGUCGCUUAAAUGAAUGUUGGCUAUCCUACUUAUUUGCAAGCUCUCAUCUCUCAAAAUUCAUUCAAUUAUAUGGUGGAGUUUGGGUAAGGUUAGCUAGAAUCAACACGUAUAUUAUUGAAUUAAGAAAACCCUCUAACGGUGGCCUACCUUCCGAGCCAUUGAUCAUAAGAAUAUCCACAUAAUGUGAAGUUUUCAAGGAUGAGAAGAUAUAGAAUGGUGGACAUGUGCAAAGGCAAAGAAAUAUAGUGACUCUGAGGCACAAGCAAUGUCCUCGUCGUUGGAUUGCAUAUGGUUGUAAUGAAAAUAUGUUCCUUAAACAAGUCUAUCUUUUCUUUGCACCACUCUUGAUCUUCAUGACAGUAAAAACUCCUCCUUUAUUUCUUUCUCUCUUUUCCUAUUAUUUCUUUUUAUUUGUCUCAAUACUUUUAUUUCUUUAUUUCUUUAUUUUAAUCUCUUCUCUGAACCUCUUCUGAACACCACAUAAUAAAAAUAAGUUUUAGAUCCUUCCAGAGACCUUCCAGGAAUUUGCUACAUGAAAACCGAGGCAAGGAGACCCCAGGCCGAUUGGCCUAGCCACUCCUUUGCUCUCCUCUAGCUCUUCUUUCUGGUGAAGCUUCCUUAUCUUGUAUCUUUCCAAAAAUUUCAUAAAGCUCGACUAGAAACGGAACAGAUCUUCAUAUAAUGAGUUGUGUUCAAGGAAUUGGUAAUAAAAUUGAGAAAUUUGUGGUUCGGGUUUACGAAUUCAGUACAAAAAUAUGAUUGUUCCAAUGAAGAACUCUCAUUACUGAAUAUUGACGAGGCAAGCAUUCAAAGAUGGUAAAAAGGAUAUGAUCAAUUCUCAAAAUUAAAGCAAACCAAGAGAGAGCGAUCCUAAUUCAAUUCAAAGUGUCAAAUGUUGCUUAUGGUGGUAUGAAUAAAUAUUUUUAGGCAUUGGGUAGGAUAAAUAAAAACUCUCAACCUGGUUAAAAGAUAUUGAUCAAUCUUGUUUUUGCAGAGGUUUUAAAUAAAAAAUAAAAUUUUAAAUCACCUCCAAUUCAAAGCCUUACUCAUAAAUCAUAAUCAAAACUGAAGCACUUGAUCAUCAUAAAGCAUGGGUAUUGCAUAAACAAAUCGAUUACUAAAACUCCACAACUACGAUUUAGAAUUCAAGACAAUGCUCAUAAUCUAAAGUUGCAAAGAUAAAAUAAAAGACAACCAAGCCAAGGUAGACACUAAAAACACUUGCACGAUCCUUGAAUUUUAUUCAUGCUUCUUCUCACAAAGACGCUAAAGUAGCCAUGUAGGCCUAAGUCUUCCCAAAAGCUUAAGAAAACUACUACUUUAUCUACUUUUGGUUGAAAUAAAAAGACUAAUCUAGACUCUCACAUGAUUCGACUCGACCAAAUUAGAUCCAAAAACUCAUACGAGCGACGAUCUCCCCCCCCUCACGCUUAAAAUCUACGACCUCCUCGUCGUAGCCAUAUGGAGUACAAGGAAAAGAAGCUUGUAAACGCUCUAAUGACGCUACCCGCACUACUUGCACACGGGAUGGUUGCUGCUUCCUUCGCUUUGUUCUUCCUCAUGUUGCUGCACAUCCCGAAGAGCUUCCUCACGUUCCUCUGCAAGAACUUGAACUCGUCCUCCUGACGGCGAUCAUUAUCUUCUGCCUUUUGAUCCAGAGCUUGUAAGGCUUGCAUGAUGUCAUCGAACGCAUCGAAGAGGUAGUGGAUGUUCUUCCUGCAAGCUGUGGAACAUGUACGAUCAUGCUCCUCCGAUUCUGGCCCGUCGUCUUCUAGAUCCUUCUCUUUGCCCUUGUCUUGACGGUGGCUAUCUUGCUCCUUGCUCGCCUUCUUGCCUUCAGCCCAAUCCCAGUACGUGUUGUCAUCUUCUUCAUCGUCACGGCCUGCAGCACCCUAUGAUCCAUUGUCUAUCUUGUAUGAAAGAAUCAGAAGCUUGUUCUCCUCAGGGUGUCUUGCGCGGUGCAGCGUUUGCAAGUGCAAGACUUGCUAGUUCCUUUUACACAUUGUAAUGUUCAUUGCAUGCUCUAAUUGUUCUACAUUUGUAAUUUCUUGGUGAAGUUUGGUUACUGAUCCACUGUUUGAUUAACUCUUGGGCCCAAACACUGUACUACUUCUGAUUAGAUAUCUGUAUCUUGACUUUGACCAAAAAAAAUAUCCGGCAGUUUUUGCCAUUAAAGUUUCAUAAAUCAUCUUGCAAAAAUCGUACUAUACAACAAGGGACGGUUUAUUAUAAAAUAUACGUUCCCCUUAUCACAUGCCACUUCCACUCAAAAGGCAACGAAUCAGUUUUCAAUCCUGAGUGAGCAAUUUGCUUUUAUUACCGAUGCCUCCUAUUCCCUUGUGCACCAAGUUUAUUUUGGAUAGGGCUGCAAAAAACGACUAACCAGCUCGGAUUCUCCACCUGCAAAACCGCAUCUGCAGCAACCAACCCCACGCGGUGGAAAAAAAAACAAAACCUAGAAACCGGACGGGGGUGGAUGUGGGGCUCGGAGCCCAAGCAAAAAACGGAUCGGGAGCGCCGGAGCAGGCCAUCACCGGAUGUUAGAGAUAGAAAAUGGUUGAAGUUUGGAGUGGAAAUCAAACAAGCCUUGGAGCAAAGGAAAAAAAAAGAUCAAACCACUCAAGCAUUCAUUUGAUUUAGAAAAGAGAACAUUUGUUAAGGUGGGGAGUUGAAAUCAUCUUUUAAUUAGUUCCACGUAUCUGGUAUCAUUACAGUUGGUUUACUUGUGUAAGUAUAAGUAGCUCUGCCGAAGCCUUUGCUCCUAUAAUUUAGUAACUAGUACAAAUGGAUCAAUAGGAAAAUCAAGUUGCAAUCAUUUCUCAGCCAACCAAACCUAUGUAAAUCAAAUUAUUGUCCAUGCCCGGCAUGCACAGGUGCCUGCCAUGCAUGCAUUGUUGCUCCAUUGUAAUAACCAUUAUUGUCCAUCGAUGUUGCAGCGCAUGUGUGCACUGUGCAGACACCAAGCAUCGAGAUUAUGUACUAGUAAGGUGUUGAAAUAAUGGGCCUAGCCCAUAAGUAAUUUCAGAAUUUCAAAUAAAUCUCAAAGGCCCAUGUGGGCAAGAGGUGGAGUGGUGCAAGUCUUUAGUCCCACAUUGCUAGUCGAGGGGAGGGAUGACCAACUUAAAUAUGGAAGUUGUCUCCACUCCUCCAAGCUAUGUGUGAAGGGCGCGGGCGCGAGGCACUUGCGUGAAUGGUCCGCCGAAAUCUGGCCCCCCUUGCGGGGGCGCGGCUUCCUUUUGCCGUUUUAUUUUUUGGUUACUUGGUCGUUAAGUCAUGGAAUCCUAACCGGUUUAGAUCACGAUCGUGAAGGUUUUUGGGAAGCGCUCUGCGCGACUGCUCGAUCGCUUCUUCCGCUUCGUCAAGUUCUUCGUCGACUCCUUCACCACGGCUCGUCUACCUCUUCGUCGCUCGGGCCUCACUCGUCGUCGCGAACAACGUCAGGCUGCUGAUCGUCGUCGCCUGCUGUAUCCGGUAGUCGUCCAGGAGCCGGUUUUCAUCAAGAAAGAAACGUACGGUCUCUUAACUCACAUUAUGUCUUCCAUACUAGCUAUUAUGAUUGUUGCAGUCUGAUAGCUCUGGAUAGUAUGGUAGAAUGUCUGAUUCUAUUUGCAAUGAUAGACUUGUCUAGAUCUUGCGUAGACAUGUCUAGUUUAAUCUGCUGCUUGUUCAUCAUAUUCAUGAUUUAUUUCUGGAUUAAGUUAAAACUAAAAGUGCUUAUAUAUCCAACAUAAGGUACCAAGAACACGUGAAGCACCCGGGGGAGGCUGCUCCACUCCGCAUGCACAGGUGGGCACGGCACCACUACUCGUCUCCUUCAGGCUGAGGAUAAGUGAUGUACGCUGAUCAACAGACCACGACGGAACCAGCAAUAAUAGUUUCAGCCUGCCUCACAGUAAUUAAUAUAUCCUGUAUCCUCCGAGGACCCCUCCCCUUAAUCUUGGCCUAUUGCAUCCAAUAAUGAUAUGUGUGUUUAUCCAAAUUUACGGCACCUUUGGCGGGGGUUCCACCCAGCUCCGCCCUCUCCACCUUCGGUACUCCAUGGGAAACCAUUCCUUUGGAAUCAAGGAAGCUUGAACAGUAUAACGAAUAAAGUUUCAUAUAUCCAUUUGAUUUCACAUGAAAUAAAAUAUUCUGUCAGAACCAAUGGUUUCACUGAAGCUCCAGGCAGCGAGCGAAGGGGUGAGAGAGGAUAACGCUUACUGUGUGUUACCAUCGCGUGCACCAUGGAUGACCAACGCGCAGCCGAGAUGAAACGGCGGACCUAAACAGGUCCUCGCUAUUUUUGCAGGUUCUCGACCAGGCCAGUUCUUUAGGCCAACCUAUCAUUCACGAGUUAAACAUACGGUGGCUGGAGAAAUGUUCUAUUCUUUUAAACAAUACCAGCUGGUUCCUCCGUUUUUAUUCCACCAAUACAAGCACCACCUUGUAACAUUUCCUAUGUUUUUUUUCCUUUCGUCUGUUUUCUCACUACAUGCGUUGCUCUUUCAUGCAUUUUUUUCCAUUCCUGUAUUCCAAAUAGGUCUACAUGAACACAAAAUGAACUAGGGGACAGAAAAAGCCAGUGAAGUUAGUUUUGAGCUUCACCAGCUACUUGCUACAUAAAGUGUGCUAUAGUCGCAGAAAAGCUAAGCUGGAUCAGACGUGGCCGAAACAAUGCCAAAGAGCUAGGUCCCUAGCUGAUGGCAACACAUCAGAUGACUAGCCUGCUUUUCUGUAAUAAUGAUAUUGAGCAAUACACUGCAUGGCUAACCUGCUUUACAAUAAUUGUCAUUUUAUAAUAUUGGUCAUCACGAGAGAUGCACAUUGCAUACACCGGCCCAUCCCUAUAAAUAGCCAAGCCUUUCAGCCAUCUUGGGCACCUCCUCUCAGGGCCUCGUCUCACCAUCAGACAUCUCGUUCCCAGUUAUAAUUUGCGAGGUUAGAUCAGGCUGCGCCAUGGCGUCCGCAACUGCUGUCAAGAUCGUCGCCACCUUCAUGCUGGUGCUGACCAUGGGCCACCUGAUGGCCGAAGCAUCACCGCAGCCUCGGCGUGUGCUUGCAGAAACGGAGCAUGCUGCGGUGUCCGGGAAUCCUGGCCUCCCAGGUGAUGCUAGCGUCAUGCAGGUCCUCGAACCCGCCCUAGUUUCUCGGCUUGCCUGCAAACCAGAGUGCACAGUCCCUUGGCCUCCUUUUGUAUGUAUCUGCUAGAUCCUCUUCCUGGCUCAACGGAACUUCAGGGAAAUGGCUGUGACGUCGGCCAAAGAAUAAAUUGGAUGAACAUAAUAUACCCCGGGUAGUGUAGCUUGGGCUUUUGUUGAGCGUCUGGUGCUAGUUGUAUUUUGUUUGCUCAUGUGGCUUUGCUUCUGGUUGCAUAUUGGCUUUCCUAUCGCUCUCUGUUGCAGCUAUGGUUUCUGCCAGGUGUGUGUUAAUGCGGUUUGUAAGCGGUGCUUGUUCCUACCUUCUGUUUUCAAUAAAAGAAGUCGGAGUCUCCCUCCGACUCUUGUUAUCAGUCAACAAAAAUGAGUUGUAUCAUAUAUAUCUGCGUCUUUUUUCUACGUAUCUUUGGGCUGCUUCAGCUGGAAGUUUAUCGUAAGUACGUGUAUCAGGAUGAUCGUUUGAAUUAAAACGAAAUGAUAAUGUGUGGCUGCUAGAAAUGGAAUGAGCAUCUUACUAUAUUACUAAUUGGAAGCCUCCACGUGAAGCCACCUAGAAAUUCUAGGUGGACGUUUUAAAAAAAACAAAACUCAUAGAAGCCUCCACCACCUAGGAAUCCUAGGUGGACACUCUAAAAAGAGACAAAUCCUAGAAAUUCUAAAAAAAGAAAAAAAUAAUAACAAUAAGAUUUUUUUGCAGUCAAUUACAUAUAUUUUUUUGAGACACCGUGCUGCUAGCUCUUGCCAUUGCGACCAGUAAAGCAAGCAGAUAGUAAGAUGACAUGCGUGUGGAUUGAUUAAAACAAAUUCAGUUAGUUGAUUCUAAAUCGUAUGUAUCCUAAAAGGAAGAUAUGUGCGUGCAUGGUCCCUAGCGAUGACAUGUAGACAUGUAUUGCAAUUUCUUUUUUAAAAAACAUGUCUAUCUCUAAACCAACAAACAGAAAAAAUAUCAAUCUAAAUCUAAAUCUCUUCCGUUCUCACACGCCUAUUAAAGAGAAGACAACCAAUCCCAUCCAUGUUCCAUAGAAUCCAUCUAAAAGCUUGCUCACUGCGGACGGCAUUUGACGGCAAAUCAAUGAAAGAUCAUCCUCUCCAAAUAGCUGGACGGCAUCACCAUCUUUAUCUCACCAACCUACAGAGCUACAACGAUGUUGUAGAGAUCAACUAGGUAACCUACCAAUCACCCUCCCCUUUUCUAUAUGCUCUAAAGAACACGUGGAGUAAUUAUAGGCCUAUAGGAGCCGACUAACCUAGAUUAAUAUGAAAAAUAUUCCAAUAUUAAAAGCAAGCAGAUAGUAAUACUUGCCUUUGACCAUUUUUCUAGAACUGUUAUUCCUAUUGAAUGUUCAAGUGCUACGGCCAGGCAUCGAAUGCCUGCACGGAACCUUCCUAUUGAAUGGUUACUCUAGAGAUCAACGCACCGCGAGACAUUUUUAUGGAAUUUGUUUGAUUCCCCUUCUACAAUUAGAUUAAUUUUUCAUGGCAUAUAUUACUACUAUUAAAUUAUUUGUUUAUUGUCGGGCCUGCUGCAUGUGUGGUAUAUAUGACUUGCUUCUCACCAUUGUUCUCAAACUAUUAUUCCUAUCGAAUCUUUCUAUCGAAAUAUAUUUUAAUUACUUGAUUGUUGUUUGUGUACCAUAACUUCUGUAUAGAAAAAUUCCAUGUUUGUAGAUAAUGUCUUUUGUAUAGAAAAAUAGCCCAAUUAGAUCCAUCACCAUCUUUUGCUUAUGUAGUUGAACAAGUUGCAAUGUUGAACAAAACUUUAAGUGAAAUUAGACCAGGAAAAGGAAUUGUGGAACAUUAAGGCAAGGGUAACCAGAUUGUGGAAUGCAACCUUACUCAGUAGUGGCGAACAAUUAAGUCUUGACAUGAUCCUUAUUGAUCAAAAGGUAUGAUAGAUGUUCACUUUGAUUGCAUUAUUGGUAUAAUUUUUGGUUUACAAAUUAUUAAUGAUGAUGCAAAAUUAGGGAACCAUGAUCCACGGUGUUAUCAAUAAGCCCUAUAUGAAAAAGUUCAAACCAUUGAUUGAAGAAGGCAAUGUGUACAUAAUUGCAAAUGUCAGAAUCACACCAGAACCACAGAAGUAUCGGCCAGUGGAAAAUGACAGGAUAGUCAACUUCUUACCCACAACUGCACUAAAAACGAUCAAAGAUACUGAAGACAUUCCAAAGUAUAGUUUUAACUUCAUGAGCACGGAUAUGCUUUCAGCAAGAAUAAAUGUGGACAUGUACCUAUUAGGUAAAACAUUACUGGCUUUUCAAUUUUUACACUUCCACUCAUUAAAUGACCAUCUAAUAAUAAUACAUAUUUAUGUUUCAUAGAUGUUAUAGGUAUCUCAGCUCACAUUGGACCGAUAGAAGAAACAAGGACAAACUUCGGAUUUACUAAAAUCCGUGAUAUUGUGCUCCUGAUCGAGUAAUUCUCUUUUCUUUUGUAGAAAACAACUACAAAACUUUCAACAUUUACAUGUAUGUUAUAGAACUUCUGUUGAACUAAAAAAUAUCUUCUACAGUGCCCCUACAAAUAAUUAAUUUCGUAGUUGGAUAUUUAAAAUAUUUAUUAUUCACUUUUAAAUUUGUGGCCAUGAAGUUAAAGUUAGAUUUUGGGGAGACAAAGUUGAGGAAGUUGAUGAUAAGACAAAAUCCCAUGUCAUUGCAAUAACAUCUACAACUGUGAGUAAAUUUGGCAGUAAGUCUUCAUUCAAUAUGAGUUAUUCAAUAUUAGUCAUUCAACAAACUAACCUCGUAAGAAAAAUAAAUAAUUGAUGUUUUAUCAGGGUAUUCUCUAUCGUCAACCAAUGCAACAAAACUUUAUGUAGAUCUACCUAUUCCUGAAACUAAGGAUGCACAUGAUAGGUGAGAAAAAUUAGAUAUUGUUUUUCUAUUUUAAUCUAUGUAGCAUGCACUCUAACAUGAUACAUUCUUUCAUAUGAUAAAAAAAUGUUAGUUCAAUUGAAAAUAUUGUCAAAGAGAUUCAUAUUGAGGACCAUCUAAAAGGGACAUUGGAAGACCAAAUGCAGUACAAUAGAAGAACUUUAGAAGAAUUAAAUUUCAUAUUAUUUGAAACAUCAAAUCAGGUAUGGAUUAGUAUGUUCAUUGUACACUAUACUAUUUAAAGACUUACAUACAUAAUGAUGGUAUUGUUCCUACUUUCAGGAUGAGGUAUUUACUAUUGAAGCAACAAUAAAUGAAAUUAAUGCAACAUAUGGUUGGUUGUCACACCCGAUUUUAAGGACAAAAUUGAGUGCAUUAAAUACAUGUGCACCAGGAUCAAGUUACACACAUCCUAUGAGUACCGUCCUUCUUUGGCACAAAGAUAACCGGUGCUCCCCAUGGUGAUGAACUAGGCCGAAUAAACUAUUUUGCUGAUAAUUCCUCUAGUUGUUGUUUCAAUUCUUUUAAUUGUUCAACCAACAUUCUAUAAGGACGUUUGGAGAUAGGUGCAGUACCAGGUAAAAGAUCAAUAGCAAAUUCAAUGUCGCGGUCAGGUGGCAUACCUGGUAAAUCGUCGGGGAACACAUCCGGAUAGUCACACACCACUUUGAUAUCUUCCAAGGAUUUUCCAGCCAACUGAUUAACUGCACAAUCUGCUGCUGAGGGUAGAGUAGCUACAAACUCCACUUUCUCUCCAUCAGGACCUGUUAGCAGAACUGUCCUCUUGGCACACUGAAUCGUUGCAUCAAAAGCGGCUAACCACCUCAUCCCCAGAAUUACAUCGAUUCCACUGGACUCAAGGACGAUAAGAUCAGCCGGAAACUCUAUACCCAUUAUUCUCAGUUUAACUUGUGGACAGAUGUAUUGAGCCUUCAUUGACCCCCCAGGUGAACUCACUAGCAUAUGACGCCUCAUGGUAUGCAUGGGUAAAUUAUGCUUUGCUACAUAAUGACUAGUGACAAAAGAAUGCGAUGCUCCAGAGUCAAAUAAAACUGAUGCGGGGGCAGAGUUGACAAAGAACAUACCAAGCACUACAUCUGGAGCCUCCUUAGCAGUCUCGGCUUCCAUGUGGUUCACCUUGCCACAAACAAAGCUUUGCUGCCCCUGAUUGCCUUGUGGGGUCUGGUUCCCAUUCCUCGGUUGCUGCAUCUGAUUCUGCCGAGGAGCACUGCUGUUCUGCACGGGGGUAGCUGGCCCACCUCUCUUAGGACAAGAGCUGGCAUAGUGACCAACCUCGCCACACUUGAAGCAGGUAGGACCCACUGGAGCAUUGGGCCUUGUUGGAGUGCCAGUAGGGGUCAUCUGGCGGUUCUGCGUAAAGCUUGGGCGCGGAGUCUGCAUAGUCUGCAUCCCUGGAUGCUGGAACUGAGGGCUAGGGCGCUGGAAUGACUGCUGAGCAGGGCGCGGAAAUGAGUGCUGCCAAAAAUUCCCACUCGGGCCCCCUGCGCGGAACGGCGUCCCUUGCUGUGGAGCAAAGCGAGGGCGGGUGUUGCUUCCUGAAGACUACUGGGAAUUGAAUUUCCUCUUCAUCUCCCCGAGCUCGUUCCUCUUGUGUUCCAGGCCAAUUGCCUUGUCUAGCAUCUUCUGGAAACUGGGGAAGGUGUGCGACAUAAGCUGAUAUUGGAGUGGUCCAAUCAACCCAUCCAAGAAUAGCUCCUGCUUCUGCUCAUCAUCAGCAACAUCUUCGGGAGCAUAUCGGGACAACUGGACAAACUUGUCCCUGUACUCUGCCACUGUCAUGUUCCCCUGCUUGAGAGCAAGGAACUCCUUCUUCUUAAGCUUCAUCAAUCCGGAAGGAAUAUGAUGACUUCUGAAGCUAGUCCUGAAUUCAUCCCAGGUGAUGCCAUUAGCAUUGGCAUGGGUGGUGGUGUAAGCAUCCCACCAAUCAGCAGCUGGCCCUUCCAGGCGUCCUGAAGCAUACAGGACCUUCUCCCUGUCAGUACAUUGGGCGAUAUCCAGCAUCUUCUCCACUGUUUUCAGCCAAUCAUCAGCAUCUAAUGGAUCCGGAGAAUGUGAAAACGUCGGGGGCUUGUGGCUCAUGAACUCCCUAUGCCUGUCCCUUGGCGGCGGCUGCUGCUGGUUGUUGUUGUUGUUAUUGUUCAGCUGAGCUUGUAAAGCUGCCACGGUGUUGGUCAGUCCGGCGAGAAGCUGAGUCUGAGCUGCUAGAAACUGCUCCAUCCCUGCAGGUGCUUGUUGGUUCUGUUGCGGAGCGGUGUUGGGAUUGCUGCUGUUGUCCCUGUGGCGUGGCACUGUGGGACGGUCAACUCCUGAUCCGGACCUGGUGUUUACCAUCUGAGCGUUAGAGACAAUGGAUUUAGAUAGAUGUGUGAAAGAAUAACUGAGAAAGAUAAAGCGACCAGAUGUAAAAGUAACACAGAUUCUGUUAGCUCCAUUUAAUUAGGUGUGGUCGUCAGAAGAAGUGUCCAUAAAUUCUGAACAAUUACCAAGUCGUAACUUAUUAAAUUUGUAAACCAACCCAACUGGAAUCAUCUCAAUCGGACUUCUGGAUCUCGAGUUACAAAAUUAACAAGCUGACAGUGUCGGUCGAUAGGUUCAGAUUCUGAGUGCUUUACUAAUUCGCAUACACCUCCCAGACAGAUACACCAAAAAUUCUGAAAAAUUUACAGAUAGUACUCCACGAAAUUCUGAAACUAACCCCACUGGUUUCAUGUCAUUUGGACUUCUGUAGCUAGAGAUAUAAAUAAAAAAGUACUGGCGUGUCAGUUAAUGUCGAGAACAGAAUUGAAUGUCGCUUAGCUUGCGUGAUGGAUAGAUUUAGACAGAUGGUAGAUCAUGAUUAAGGAAGAUUAAAUACUGAUUUAGAACAGAAAUAAAACCCAACUAAGCACUUUAUUUAUUAAGACCAGUAUCGUGUGGCAAUUGCCCCACAUACCGCACUCAUUACAAAAUCCAACUCAAACAUGUAGCACAAAACCAAUCAUCUAAGCACACUUUAACUAACACACUCGAACGACGUCUAACGAUUACAAGAAUUUAAACUAAAACACUCCUAAUUUCCUAGAGGUCUUCUGCGGCGGUGCCGGGCGAGUCGUAGCGGGGACGCUUAGGCGACGGCGACGAAGCGGGAUGAACAGCAAACUCCUGCGGCGGCGGUGCUCCCGUCGCGGCAGCCAUAUUCGCAUCCCUCUCCCACCGGAGUUCCUGAACCUCCUGUUGAAGCUCCUGGAUGUGGUUGUUUGCUUCAUUCAAUGCGGUGAGAGCUGCCGACGUGUACUUGCGGAGGAAGUCUGUAGCCAUGUCAACCCCAUCGUUAGUAGCGAUGAAGGUUCUUGCUUCCCCACUAGCUCGGUAAGGAAGGAACCGAUGGUAAGUGUGCUGCAAUCGCGGCCGUUCCUUGUGGGAGACGACCUCAAGUGCCCUCCUGGCGGCCUCGGCAAUGCCGGAUUCCAUGGUCCUCCUUAUGGUCACAUCAUGGUGAAAAGCCUUCACCUCCCAUCCUCCCUCGUGCUCCUCACGAAGGACAACCUUCACCUCCCAAAAAGUGGGAUAGCGAGGGUGGGUGAACCGGGAGCACUUGUAGAGUGGCCUCAUGCCGUACCCCAAGCGGUGACAAGUCCACCUGAGUAUGUCGGCCAUGUGCACUCCUUGGCCAUAAUCUUCCUUCACCCAUUUGAUCCAUGUCUCGGGCUCGGGAUCUGCUUCGGGCUCAUCAUCCGUCAAGUCGACGACCGGUACGGGCGUCGGGGCUGGUGCAGGAGCGGGCGCCGGUGCUGGCGACGGUGCUGGUGACGGCGUGGUCUCCUGCUCCACGGUCACGGCGUCCCCGUCAGAGUCAUCCCCCGGAUGCUGGAAGAUCUCUUCCUCUUCUUCCUCGUCCCAAGGCUCCAUGGGGGCGUACGACGGCGCGAUGCCAUGACGCGGCGGACGGGUGCUCUUGCGUGCGGUCAACCGGGUGCGAGCCAUCUAACAGAAAGAAAGAAGAAAAUUUUAGAAUAAAAUUUUGAACAAAGCUAGAUAAUAAAAUAGCAAUAAGGAUGAGACAAAUCAAGUUUAAGAAUAAUUAAGUAGAUUUAAAUUAAGAAAGGUAGGAAUGGCUACUAGAUUAUUAUAAUCCUUAAAUACGACCAUUUUCUAACUAGGCUAACGUCCUACAGUCAACACGGCUCUGGUACCACUUUUGUCACACCCGAUUUUAAGGACAAAAUCGAGUGCAUUAAAUACAUGUGCGCCAGGAUCAAGUUACACACAUGUACGACAAUAGUGAAUAGUAAAGCCAGUGCUAAAUCGAAUAAAGAGAGUAUUAACCAUUAUUACAUGACCGAAUGUCUCAAAUAAACCACAAAGUCUAAUUAUUACGCAGCGGAACUCCAAAGAUGACGACGACUCCAUAGGCAGCUGACUGAAGAAACGUACGCCUAGAACUCCUCGAAGUCGUGGAAGUACUCCUCUUCCCAAUUAACUUGGUCUGAACAGCGGUUUUGCAAGGGUGAGUACACUUAUGGUUGGUACUCAACAAGUCGUGGGAAGUAGUGUAGUGUAAGGCUAAUUCAAGGUAUGGCUAAGGCGUAAAUAGCAUUCGCUUUUAAUUAAGUUGGUCAAAUUUUAUUAGCAUUUACUAAGUAUAAGUUCAUACCACCCGAAAUUAAACAUGAACAUAAAGUAAACCACAUGUGCAUGAAAUGAUAACAAAUUAAAUCCAUCUUCCGAUAAUAUUAUCAUGUGAGGGUCCAGGCCGCUCUUAACCGUGAGCACGGCUGAUUGAUCAGUUUAACACUCUGCAGAGGUGGCACAUCUUUACCCACAAGUCGCGUAAAAGUUCAAAAGAACUUUGGACCCAACCAUGCGGUGUUUGCAAGGCACCAUACCACACUUCCGAGGUGUGAUUGCAUAGGGACGCUACGAGGCCUUUACAAAGAUUCAUUAAUCAGUGGUAACCCGCUAAGGUUUCGGUGUCUGGCGUGCACCACCCAUCCCAGGUAAAAUGCAACGACUCAGUCCCCCCCCUUGAAUCAUCACGAGUAAGGUCACCCCAGACUAAGGUUUCUAAUUAAUCAGCCAAGACCAGAGCUAUUUAGUCUUGUGGUAGCACUGUUUUCCUGGGUGGUCGCUCCAUGUUCUGAUUAACAAAUAAUGAUCUUGUCUUAAUGAAAGGUAUAACAGAAAUAAGGCAAGAUUAAGCAUUGUUUUUAGUUAAACCACCAUGUACCAAGUAAGCACUAAGCAUGAGCUACCCAACAUAAAGUAAACCGGUUGGUCAAGGCAAAGGUAAAACAAUCUAGGCCAACCUUAAUUGGGACCCAUCAAUUUAAUCUUAAUAUGUGCACAGCAUAAAUGUUGAGUACGAGAAAGUAAAGGUGUAUAGGACAAAAAGGUAGUGAUCAAGGACACGACUUGCCUUCUUGGCCUUGCUCCUGCUGUUCGUACUCCUCGAAGGCUUGAUCGGCAACUCCCUCGAACUGCGGGGCGUCUACACGCAUCACACGAGCACAUACAAGCAAACAUGGGCAAAAGUAAGAAAACAGUAUACCAAACAUAGUCAAACAGAGAAAACAAGCUUGAAAAGAUGAUCUACGCUUUAAAACGAACACGCGGAUAUAAAGAACGCGAAAAACGGAGUUAAGAUGCAAAAGAUAUGAUUAAAACAAAAUCCAGGGACUUUUCUGUAAGAAAAACAAAACUUUUAGGGCCUAUCCGCGAAAACCGAGGGCUUAUACGUAAUUAUGCGUAUAAACCGAGGGUCUGAUGCGUAAAAACAUCAAACCCGGACGGCGGGUUGAUUUCUGGAAAGGUCAAGGGUUAAACCGAAAAAUGCGAGGGCAGAUCUGUAAAUACUUUCAACGCGAUCUGGACCGCGGGUUGAUUUGCGAAAAAGGCGGGGGCUAAAGUGCAAAAACUGCACGGCGCGGCUCGGUUGACCGGUACGCGAUCUUGAUUGACUCGCGUCCGGCCGUCGGAUUAAGAUCCGACGGUCGCGGUGAUCCGCGACAUCGCGGCGGCGGCGGCGAGCGGCGGCGAGCGGCGGCAAGCGGCGGCGGGUCGCCGGAGUUAGGCAAAAUAGCGCCACGAGGCACGGUUUAACGCGCGGGUUGCACCAAAAAAGAGAGGGGAACACGUCGAUCCCGUUUUGGGGGUUCUUGUCGACGGGGGCUCACCGGCGACGGCGAACGGCGGCGAGGAAGAGGCGGCGGCGCUAGGAGCUCGGGCGGCUAGGGUUUCGGGGAGCUGCGGCGCUGGUUUUGGGCGGAGGAGACUGGGAGGAGGCGGCGGCUUUUAUAGGGCUUGGAGAUAGAGCCGGCGCGGGUUCAAAUCCCCCGGAGGAGUCGGAGCGGAUGGAGUCCGGGGCGGAGACGGCGCGCGGCGGUUGCGGAGUUCUGACCGGAUUCGGCCGGAGGUGGGAGACGAUGGGUGGGGUCCACCCGUCAGUGGCGGAGGGGAGCGGUAGACGGGCCGGCGCGACCGUGGGCUGGCGCGCGCUCGUGGGCUGCGGGGAGCGGGAGAGAAGCGGCGAGCGGGCGCUGGCGGAGCAGGCCGAGCGGAGGUAGAGCUGGGCCGCGGAGAAAAAGGAGGAGGCCGGCGGGCUGCUUCGCAGGCCGGUAAGGAUGAGGCGGCCGGGCCGAAGAAGAAAAAGAAAAGGAGGGACAAGGAGCUUUCGGCCGAGGGAAAAGAAGAAGAAAAAGAAAAGGAAGAAGAAAAGGGAAAAGGUUUUGGAAUUUGAAUUUAAAUCUGAAAUUCAAAAUUUGAUUCAAACUCAAGCAACCAAAAAUUAUGCUCCAGCAUGAAUGCACAAAUAAUUCCUAUGAUGAAUUAAUUGAAUUAAAGAAAAUGAAUUUAAAUGCCUAGAAAUUAAAUAACACCCUAAUUUGAGCAAAUUUUAAUGAAUUUGAAUUAUUGAAAUUUUGGGUGUUACAUUGGUACUACAUCUCAUGUAGUAGAGGCGAUUGUAAGAAGCAACUUGAAAAGAAGUUUGAUCACUACUAUUGCAAUAAAUGUGACAAGAGAGCCGAACCUAAAGCCCAGUAAAUUAUUUAGUAGUUUACAAUCUUAUUAUAAUACUUCUAUUUCUAAUAGGAGAAUAAUAUUUUCAGAUUCAAAUUAAGCUUCAAAUAAGUGAUCCAACAACAAGUGCAACUUGUGUACUUUUGACAAGGAAGCAGAAAUGAUAAUUAAUGAAUGAGCAGAUUCGAUGAUCACCUCAGUUGAUCAUGAUAAUAAGUAGCUACCAAAAUCAAUUCAGGAAAUAUGUGAAGAAACAUUGAUUUCUCAAUUCAGAUUGACCGAGUACAACUUGACAAGUUUUAGACCUGAUUAUACUGUUUCAAAGAUAUUUUUUCCAAAAGAAAAGGGCAGUUCAAGAAUUGGUAUGGAAAGUGUAAAAAAGGUAACACUUUAUUAUUAAUUUUUUAUUGCACUUUUUUCUUUUGAAUCCGUAAUACUUAAUAAUUUUACUAUAUCAAUGAAACAAAUUCUAACCUAAAUUUAUUUUCUUUUUUAUUAUUUGUAGGAAGUAGAAGACAACUCAGACAAAUGCUACACGAUAACUACCGAGAAUGAAGAGGUAGACACUGAUGACUCUUUUACCGAGAAAGUAACAUUCGUAGAAGAAGCCAUAAGGACUGGGGAAAGAUUGGCUAGAAAAGUAUACUCACUUCCAUGUCAGUGUUCAUUCUAUUUACAAUACAUGCAAAAAAAAUAUUAUUCAUGCAAAAUUGCAGGUCUACUAAGCAUUAAAGGAAUAGCGGAUAGUGCAAUAUGUAAUCUGAGCAGCAUGCAUUACAAAGUGCUCUACUGCAAUUAAAUUAAAAAACAUGAUAUAUGUUGAAUUCUUAGACUUUAUUAUUAUACUUUUCUACGUGACAAUUCACAAUUUUUUAGAAAAAAGAAGAUCCCAGAAGAAGUGACCAUGAAAAAAGGUCUAUGACCAGCAAUAAGAAAAAAUGCAAGCAUAGAAACAAAUCCGUAGAAAACAUAGAAAAUAAGGUACUCCAUAAACAAAAGUAUUCUCUUAUAUUUUUAUUAAAUAUUUUUUUAACACUUGACAAGUUCUUUUUUAGGAUCAAUAUAUCAGCAAUUCAGAUGUCAUUGGAGAUGAAACCUUAGUUCAUCCAAAAGGUCAAAAAAAAACAUCUGAAGAAAGGUGUUUGGCUGAAAAGGAAAAGCAAAAAAGUGGUAAUGCAGACAAACACAUGCAGAAAAAUAUAAAAACAUGUCAUAGGGAGGCAGACCAAUCUUGCAAGGAGGUAUAGACGAAACGUGAUACACGACCUGCCUACCUUGUCGUGGAUACCCCAAGAAGAUGUCAUAGAGGUGCAGACCAAGCUAGCAAGGAGGUCGAAACGUGAUACACGGCCUGCCUACCUUGCCGUGGAUAUUAGCCCUGAGAUCAUUCUACUGUUCAAGGAAUAACACUCAAUGCUGCUGCUGCUGCUGACCUGGCUCCAUAAAGUUAUACUCCUCUAGGUGCUUGCACUAACUUUAUCUGAAGUAUUAUUCUCUCUGCACUGUAUAUAUGGUUAUGGAGUUUGCUGGAGUAUCCGGGGCGAAGAACCUACAUAAUACGUCUUGGAACUAAUUGACAUUGAUUCACAGACAAACUCUACAAGGUGCUGUUCUUGCCAUUUUAGAGCAUCCAAAGGACUAUAAAUAACAUAGUUUACCAUAUACCAUAUACCAUAUACCAUAAUAUGUUAGCUAAAAUAAGAGCAUACACAUGUUGCAGGAGUCCAAAAGCACCGGUUGAGGACCAGGUACAUUGAAUUACUAGAAAAAGACAGGGGACAAGGUUUAGGUAACCACAUGAAACAUUUGAAUUUAUUGUACUAUGAACACUUAGUUACCAUGCCAGGAGCACAUAGUUAACACUAACAUUUAGCCACUUUAGAUCAUCCCGAAUCACCAAUGACCCUCAAUAGUGACAAAUUUUGGUUUAAAUGCCAUCACCAAUGAUCCUCAAUAGUGACGUAUUUAGGUUUAAAUCCCGUCACUAAUAACCCUCAAUAGUGACCUGUUUUGGUUUAAAUCUCAUUACCACUGAUCCUCAAUAGUGAUGUGUUUUAGCAAAACAUGUUAUCAAUGACUUGUCAUUGGUGACGUGUUAAAACGCGUUAUCUCAAUGGCAAAUCAUUGGUGACGUGUUAUCUCAAUGUUAUCAAUGUUCUAUUCUUUUCAACAAUACCAGCUCGUUCCUCCGUUUUUAUUCCACCAAUACAAGCACCACCUUGUAACAUUUCCUAUGUUUUUUUUCCUUUUGUCUGUUUUCUCACUACAUGCGUUGCUCUUUCAUGCAUUUUUUUCCAUUCCUGUAUUCCAAAUAGGUCUACAUGAACACAAAAUGAACUAGGGGACAGAAAAAGCCAGUGAAGCCAAUUUUGAGCUUCACCAGCUACUUGCUACAUAAAGUGUGCUAUAGUGACGUGUUUUAGCAAAACAUGUUAUCAAUGACUUGUCAUUGGUGACGUGUUAAAACGCGUUAUCUCACUGGCAAAUCAUUGGUGACGUGUUUUAAAAAAACAUGUCACCGUGAGAGUCAUUGGUGAAGGGUAAUUAAAAUGCGUCACUAAUGUUGUAGCAUUAGUUAUGAUAAUUUAGUAACGCAAAAAUCUACCAUCAGUAUUGAGCUUUAGAGCCAUCGCUAAUGUGGGUUUCUUACAUAGUGAUGCAAGCUCUACAAGGUGCUGUUGCUGCCAUUUUAAAGCAUCCCAUGACUACAUGUUAAUAACAUAGUUUACCAUAUAUCAUAAAAAUAUUAGUUACAAUAAGCACAUACGCAUGUGGAAGAGUCCGAAUGCACCGGUUGAGGACUAAACACAUUGAAUUACUAGAACCAAAUGUAUGUUUAGAACAAAGACAGGGGUCAAGGUUUGGGUAACCGCAUUAAAAACAUUGGAUUUUACUGUACAUGAACACUUAGUUACCAUUACCAUGCCUUGAGCACCUAGUUACAACAAACAUUAAUUUAGCCACUUUAGAGCUUCCAGAAUCGCUAUAAAUAAUAUACCUACGCCGUACCAUGAAAACAUCAAGAAGAGAGACGGAUACAUGGACCACCAUCAAGCGAGUAGUGACAGCACGCACAAGAAUACCCGGAACCUGUUAGCUUGUCUGUAGUGAUCUGUUUUCUUCCCCAUAAAAUCCAUGAGUAUUGCCACAAAUAAUGAAAGAGGCUGACCAAGCUAGCAAGGAGGUAGAGCAAACGUGAUACACGGCCUGCCAAGAUUGCCCUGGAUACGCCAAUAAGAGCGACAGAUACAUGGAUCACACCAAUAUGGUGAAACGUAUAUUCAUCACACAAGCAAAGCUGGUCAGUUUAUCCAUGGUCAAAUUGUGGUCUUUGUUUUCACUUGAGAGCUAAUUGAGGCACUAUAAUAUGGGCAGGCCUAUCUUCAACAGACAUGACAGCUACAGGGAACUUGACAUAAUUUGCUGGGCCGCCUGUGCACAAUUAUUUGUUUUAUUGUCCUUGCAUAGAAUGCUAAAAUACUCUUUACAAAAUGUUGGAUCUAAUAUUUGAAAUAUAGAGUAGUAAUCAUAUAUUGAUCAACAACUUGAAAUUAUCUGUACAUUCUCGGUGAAGCUGUUGAACUAAUUUUUGCAAAUUAUUAAUUCAUCUCAUUACGUAAAGAAAAAAGUAAGUGGAUAAGAUAUUUCGUGGACCACAUCACUGCAAACAUGUCAUGGAGAGACAGACCAAGGAGGCAGGACGUGAUACACGACUUACCCUAGGUUGCCGUGGAACCGCCAAGAAGAGAUACAGAUACAUGGACCACACCAUCUUGGGAGUAGUGACAGCAUAUAUGCAGAAGAAUACCCCGUGCCUAUUUGCAUGCAUGUCUCAAGUGAUCUGUUUUCUUCAGAAAAUACAUGAGCAUUGCCAGAAAGAAUGGCAAGAGACAAACAUGUCAUAGAGACUUGCAUGUCUUGCCUUGGAUACGCCAAGAAGAGGGACACAUACAUGGAUAACACAAAUCUAGUGACACGUAUAUUCAUCACAAAGGCAAAUCUGAUAAUUUUAUCCAUGGAGCAGACCAAGGAGAAAUUGAUGACGGACAUGUGAUCUCUGUAUUCAGUUGAAAGCUAAUUGAGCUACACUAAUAUGAGCAGGACUAUAUUCAAGAGACUUGUUGAGAGCUACAGGGAACUUGUAAUAAUUUGCUGGGCGGCCUGCGCACAAUGAUUUGUUAUACAUAGUUGAAAUAUUUCAAGAAUUUAUCAACCUCAUACUCUGAAACCCUUGGUGCAAUGUACUCUGCUUUCCGAGGUAGACUGUUCACGUAAAAUGAGGUCAUGCGUAAGACGGAAUCGGAUUGGAUUCACAGGGAAUCAGAUUUGGAUAGCACCUUUUAGCAGGUUUUUAGUCAAAUGCAAAUUCGGAUCCACAUGUGGUUGAAUGCGAGUUCAAAAUUCUACUUGGAUAUCCAUUUAAUUUAGGUGAUAGCAAUUAGCACAAAAUGUUGGAUGAACAAAAUCAUAGUUAGACAUACAAUUACAUGUAUGGUUAAAGUAUAAUACAAUACACCAAGAUUAUUCCUUGAAAAUAUUUCUUAAAAAUAUUAUAAUAAAUGAAUAAAUAUAAUUGUGGCCACCAACAAAUAGUCGGUGGUCGCUAAGUUGGAGCCAUUUCUGGUUACUAAUGCGGCCUUCUCCUCGACCAGCGACGACAGCUGAGCUUGUUCCUUCUGACACUAAAUCAUCAGAGUCUUCCCUCCACUACUAUAGAAUGCACCUUUAGCACCAAUUGGGAAAUCCCCUUCAGUAUUGGAUGCUGCAACCAGUGCUAUAUAUCAAAAUGGAGACUAAAAGCCUCGGUCUUGGGUACCGGUUGCAUAACGCAUUACUAAAGGAGGCAAAAGAGAAAUGUAACAAAAAAAAUAUUUUGAAUUCCAAGAAUGUUUCACUAUUCAAGAUGACUAGCUGAGAGUCAACAGACAAGAUACUAGGAAUGUGGGUGCUUGAAUGCAUUUGUACAGAGGUCAUACUAUUUACAAACUCUUCUAUGUUUCCAUAUGACUACCUACUUCAAUGUCACGCGAGCCAUUCAGCUGGACACAUGGCACACUAGCUUGCAUGUCGAAUCCAUGAUUAAUUAUUUGCACUUGUGAUCUCUUACCAGUAUUUGUCCAGACUAGAAACGUGCAACACAUUUUUAGGAUAUGGACACGCAUAUAUUUGGACUAGUAUACAGGUCACCUUUGGAUGCGUACAAGGAUGACCGGGAGGGACUAAUGGAUACAAGGAAGGGACCAUCAGGAUUAAUAUUGACAUAUGCCACAUGACAAUCUUCAUUGUCAUGCAAUCCCUAUCAACAAUCAUGGAAUCCCUAGUGUACUAAUCCCUGGAGGGUUGUGUGGAAAUUUAUUUUACCUUGCGGUGAAAAUCUCAUGAGCAGUCAUUAGUUAAGCUGACUAGCUGAGAUAUAAUAGACAAGCUAGUAAGAUUGGGAGCAUCAAUGCAUCCAUACAGGGUCACAAUAUCCUUUCCAUUCACUUUUAUAUAUAACCCUACGAAUACAAGUCCAACGAAAUGCGGGCCUUUCGAUCAAGAUAAAUUAAAUGGCCCACUUGUAUUUCUAAUCCAGGAUUAACUAUGCCCUCUGUUCAUCUCUUGCAAGCACGUGCAACACAUUUUCACGAUAUGGACAUGCAUGGAGGUUAUUAUACUGUUUGGACAAACUCUGAUGUGCCAUGACCUAAAUGCUUAGGGCCUGUUUGGUUUGAGUUGCUUAUUAUAAGCAACUUAAAGUUGCUUAAAGUUGCUUAUUUGAAGUUGCUUAUUUUUAGUCUAAACUGUUUGGAUACCCUUGCUUAUGAGCAUUGAAUGAGUUGGACAUUGUCAAAUUUGCCCCAUGUGUUGCUACCCCUCCAAUUUGCCUCCCCACCCUUCUUCUUCCUGCACACGUCCGAUCCCGGGGGCCGACGGCGGGCAGGGAGCAGCAGCAGCUGGCCAGGGCGGCGGUGGGGCGGGAGCGGCGGCGCACACCAGCACGCGCUCGCACGCCAGGUGCUAGGGCGCGGCGAGGCAGUCGUCGUAGCCCACCGGGAGCGGGUGCUCGGGCGCGAGGCGGUACUCGACGGAGAUGCCGAGCGUCGGGCGCGCGGCGGCGAGCGCGUUGAGGAAGCGAUGGUAGUGCGGCGACGUCGCGGACUCCGCCACGAAGCCGCCGCCGUGGACGUACACCACCACGGGCAGCUUCGUCUUGCCGUCGGCGGCCGCGGCCGCGGCCUGGGGUGGCAGGUAGAGGCGGACGGAGCAGGAGCCGAGGUCGACGUCCCUGGAGUCGACGCCCGUGGCGGCGUCCAGGCUGGGCCCGACCGGCGGCGGCACGAGCGGGCGCUCGAUGCGGCCGCUCUUGUAAAUCCGACGGGUCUGUGCGGAGGCGGGCGGCGGGCGGGAGCGGCGGGUGGGAGCGGCGGCAGGUGGUGCGGAGGCCGGCGGCGGCGGGUGGCGCGGAGGAAGGGGAGCUGGUGAGUGGUGACAGGGGAGGGGGGGAGAGAGAGGGGGGGUAGGGUGCAUUGAAUGAGGGCAGGAGGUGUAAAGUGCACCUUUUAGUCCCCAUGAGCAACCAUAAGCAGCCCAAGAGUUGCUUAUUUGCUUAUAAUAAGCAACCUCAUAAGCAAGAGUGAUUGGUUUCAUAAGCAACUUAUUUGCUUAUUUUAAGUUGCUUAUGCAUAAGCAUGUGAAACCAAGCAGGUCCUUAACCUAUGGUUGUGGCACCACACAGUACAUAGUAUUUAAUAAUGCUAUUCGUUUGGUAUGUGCACAAGGGCACGCAUGAAAUGUCUGGCCCACGGUAAACAAGUACGGACGCUGCAAAUAAUCUACUCUGCUCGUCCAGUCCCUAGCCUAUAAAUAGAUGCCAUGCUAGCUCUUGUUGUGCUCACAAUUAAUCCUGACUACACACGAGCUUCUCUCCCUGGCCAAGACACAAUCAUAGUAUGAUGAAGAACAUGGCACUAGCCGGCAAUGGUAUGAAGAACUUAAUCCUCGCUGUUCUCUUACUGUGUCUAGUUAUAGGGCAGAUACAAGUGGAAGCUAAGAGCUGCUGCCCAUCCAUUACUGCAAGAAAUAUCUACAAUGCCUGCCGUAUCACGGGUACAUCCCGUCCAACGUGUGCAAAACUGUCAGGCUGCAAAAUUAUCAGCGGGGACAAAUGCAAGCCCCCUAACGACCACCUCACCCUUGACCCGGACACUGGUAAAUAAUAAAUUUAUCUCACUUGAUUUCUUCGUGUUUUGAGUCGUUAAUGUAUUUUCCAUCUGAUGAAACGUAUUGGUUUUGCAUUGAAGAGGAAGUUAAUGUGCUUAACUUCUGCAAGUUGGGGUGUGCGUCGUCUGUGUGCAACAACAUCAACGCUGGUAAGCACCUUUUGCUCAGACGGAGAAAACAAUAAUCAUUAAUUAGCGGCAGCUAGAAUCCUAUAAUCUAAUAUAUUUAUAUAUAUAUAUAAUUUUAUCAGCUCUGGGAAAUGAAGAGGCGAACGAUGCCGUUGAGAGUUGCGACCAAGCCUGCUCUAGCUUCUGCAACGUGCACGUUGGCGCUGCCACCGUGGUUGCUUAAGCAAAUGCAUCCAACUGGAUCGUCCUUGUGCUAAAUAAUUGGAUAUCGUAUCCACUUAAAGCUGCCUUGUGUAGUACGUUUUUGUUUGUGUCUCUCUUUAUAUUCCAAUAAGGUCGGUGAUCUUGAUGCCACACACUCAGACGUGUGUUCAUCUCCAGAUACUACUCCAUGCUACCUGCCCUUUGUGUUUUGUUCAAUAACUGGGUAUCAUAUCCCAGCCAGUGUGCCAUCUGUUUUGUGUUUAUUUCCUUCUAGUUUCAAAGGGGUUAUCAUGAUGUUACCUUCUUUCGAUAUGGUGCUUUGCAUGACUACUGUUGUAUGGUACCAUCUUGUUGGCCAAUAAAUACAUCUUAUCCUAUGACCCUUUGCUAUGACCCUUUGCAAAUAAGUACAAGAUUGUUAAAUACUCGGUAUAAAUUGACUACUGCUGUGAGUUCCCUUUCAGCUUAUCGUAGGCAUACAUUAUUGCUAGCACGGUGAAGACAACCAACACGAAUGGUCAAGUAAACGUACCGGUACUUUUGUAUACCAACACCCUUGCUUAAAUGUACCGGUGUUACUCCCCACUAGCACAUAUAUUCUUAUAUGCUAGCCGGCUUGAAAAUUAACCGAUUAAAAUAAUUAUUUCAAGACAGAAAUAACUUAUCGGCUUCUCGAAGCAUGUGUAAUGUGAAUUCAAGGACUUGAUGGAAGUUGAAUCGCUUAAUCUAGAUUGCUUUCAGGAUUUUGGGUAACUAAAUUUAACAUUUGCACAUACAAAUGUUAAUGUACAAAUAUUAAAUAUAGUUACCCAAGCAGAAUAUGAAGAUACUCUAUAGUAUAUAUAUACUAUAUAAAUCUAGUUAACAUUUAGUCUAAAUGUUAAAUCUAGUUACCUAAAAUCCUGAAAGCAAAAUGUAUAAAUAUAUAUCUUUUAAGGAAUCCCAAAGCAAGAGUUCAGUGGCAUUCUAUAGUCCCAUGCUGCUAGUUUGAGUUGGUCGAAGCCAACUUAAAUAGGAGAGCUCUCUCACUUCUCUAAAUACGUAACUGAAGGAGAGAAGGGGGCUUGGUUACACAACGCACGCACGCACGCAUAUUUGCGUUCUUUUCGCGUAACCAACCGCGUGACUUGAAACUUGCGACGUAGCGUGCUGCCAAGUCAAGUUGAUAUAACCUUUUUGCCGUAGGCGUGUAAUCUUUUGACAACGGUCAUUGGAGGUGAUAAGCACGCAGUCAAUACCUUAAUCCUGAGUUAAUAGGGCGGUUACUACUGCCAAUUAGUGGGGCAAUUUUGUAGGGGAAACGGUUAGCAGAGGGCUACCAUCUUCUCUAUAAGAAGUUCUGGAGACGUCCAGGAACACACAUGUACAUGUGAGAGACCCACGAAUUCCUUCCCAUCUCCCUUUUCCAUCUGGUGAAGUGUGCUAUGGUACUGAGCUGCUGGAUCUCGCCGGCUCUUCUCCUUGGCGUGCACCGAGGAGGAGGGUGAGCGGUAUCUCCGAGCUAUUGCCGUCAGGAAGCCUGCACGAGGGACAACAAUAAAGUUUUUGGGUAGCGCAACUACGCAACCGCUCGAUUCGAUCGACUAUGUUCUGCGCUGCCUCAUCUUCGAUCUGCACUGCAACACGUAACCCUGCAGCAAGUCUACACAAGGACGGAGCACUAAUCUGUAAGUCCUAGAUUGGUUUCUUACAGAGUUGUAGGUUACACAAGAUCUAGAAUUGUUACAUACUUAUUAUUAUGGGUUACAUGAUGUUUUGUACGGUUACGUCUAUUUUGCAUAUGCUAUUUUUACAUACCGUUUACAUGCAUAUGUAAUGGUUACGCCUAGCUAUUUGAAUCUAGAAUUGGGUUACAUAGCAGUAGCAAUGACUUACGUAAUAUGCCUCAUGUUUAUAUCUGGUAGAAUUUAACACGUAUCUCCAACAUAUUUUGAGGCAGUAUAAAUUUCAAUUCCUUUUGCUGCUCUGUUAAAUCCCGUCUUUCGUGUGGCCCAACACUCUAGUAUGCAUGUAGCACCAAGCUUGUUUGAGCCGCUUUGUGCUCUGAUUUUGCUGUCUGUAUCAGGUUGGACUGUUUCUUUGUCUUGCGAUGUAUAGCUUCAUAUCUUCUAGAGGUUAGACAGCAAAACCCGCGUUCUCUUAAGGCAACAACUCGAAGAAUCUGCAGCGCUCCUGAUAUAUCACUGCUGCAGAAACAAUCUUUAGUACUGAUUUCCAACCCCCUUUAGUAUCGGUUUGGCAAUCAGUACCACUACGUCGGUACUAAAGGGAGUUCUCUAGAAUCGGGUCAAAUAACUGGUACUAAAAGUGCUCCUCUACUACCAGUUGGUAACACCAAUAGGUAGUAACUUUUUUUGCACCCAAAAAAUUAAAGAAAAACAGCCGGGAGGCUCGCGCACACACGCAUCAUGAGUAAUAUGCGCGUGCAUGGUUUGUGGGAUUCCAACCCACGACCAAGCUAUAAGCACGUAGUUACAAAAAAAUUAAACACUUAGACAUUUUAGAGCAUCCCAAAUAACUACAAAUUCUUUAGUUUACCAUAUACCAUAAAAUAUUAGUUAAAAUAAGAGCAUACGCACGUCGGAAGAGUCCCAAUGCACCGGUUGAGGAUCAGACCAGGCACUUUGAAUGCACAUGCCAUAAGAUAAUUCUGCAGGACGAUGAUUGCAAUAAUGGACCAUCGAGAAGAUAGGGGCGAUGGGGUUGCCUCAUCAAUUAUGACUUGGCGCAACAAGACCAGCAAAGUCUUUAUCGACAGGGGUGGAUCAAGGGGUGGGGCGGGUAGAGCUCCAAUCUUCCUACCGCCGCUCGAACAAUGGAGCCCCCCUUAGCCCCUCCAUAAAUUUUUAGGUAGAAGAAAAAAGAAGAGAAGGGAAGGAAGGGGAAGAAUAGGGAGCCCCUCCUAAGUAGGUCGCCAUCGUGCUUCCCAACGCAUGAUCGCCGCACCGCAUCCAUUCCUCUACAAGCCUCCAGCGUCUCUCCUGCCGCUACCUCUGAACCAUGUGCAGCUGCAGACCCAACUAGUGUCUUGUCACCCAUCUCAAUCCCAACAGAGCGGCGGCUCCUGCCAGCACAAAUCUCCCUCCGCCUGUUCUUCACGAUCGAUGGCCACCACAAGCAUAAACCUCGCCUUCGCAUCCACGCAAAAGGGUCGCCGGUGUGCCUUCUCGCAUCGCUUCUCAGCCUCCUUCACUUGCGGCUGGCCAAGAACCGUGCCACCACCUCGGGUGCGCGCCACCGCUCCAGGGCCGCUACCCCAUGCGUGCGGCCGCCGCCGGCCACCACGCGUGUGCAACCGUGUCGCACCGCUUCCCUGCUCUGUGCCACCACUGCUACUGCACCACCAGCUCCACCACCUUGGGCUGGUCGCCAGGGUGACUGAUUGGUGGAUUAUUACUACAAAUAAGUUCCUUAUUAUCUGCAACUACUAUUAACUCAGGGAUACAUGCGUCUUUUGCUUCUCCUGUUAAUAUGUCCUAAAAUAUCUAGAAUGCCUUAUAUUUCUGGACGGAGGAAGUAUUUGAAUAAAAUGAACCAAUUUUAAAAAAUGUGUUGUACACUACUACAGAAAGAACUAUCAGUGUCAAACCCAAAAAUGUCGUCACUGCCAGUUUUGGGCAUCGUUGGUGAAAGGUUGGCGGUGAUGGGUAUCCCCUUCAACAACGGCACUAGAGCUAACAGUGAUUGACAUUAGAAAACGAAAAAGGGGACCCACCUAGCCACCCCUGCAACCCGGCUGGCCGUGCCUCCCGUCAUCCCCACCACCUCGCCUCCCCCGUGACCCCCCGCCGGCGCCCUUGCGCCUAGCCCCCUCGCCUGCCUGGCCGGCCACCCUCGUCACGAGAGAGAGGGGUGCAUGUUGUAUAAUUGCGUGAAUUUUUAAUGUUUAAUUUCAUGUAAGUUUCAUAUAAUAAAUUGUACAAGUUUUAUUGUAUAUAUGAAUUCCAUAUAUAUAUAUUUAUAAUUUAAUGUAUGGUUUCAUGUGUAUAUUUCAAUAAUGUGUAUAUUUAGUAGAUAGCCGAUUUUCUUUUUCUACAAGACAAGGGUUGAUGUAUAAUUACGUGUAUAUGUUUAUUGUACGGGCAAUUAGGACAAGUUUUGUAUAAAUUUCUUUUAUUUCAUGGUUGUUGUAUGGUUUCAUGUAUAUACAUUUAUUGUACUACUUGAGACAAUUUUUAAUUUAAUGUUUCUAUGGUUACAUGUGUGUAUAACUAAUUGUAUUAUUAGUUAAGAUGGGAGCCAAAGAGGAUGAAAGGUAUAUAAUGGAGCAGAUUAUUGCUGGCGGUAGUGGCUCAAACGUUGCAAGAACCUACAUCAAGGGUGAGGGUAGCUAGGUGGACAUGUACCUCAACAUGUCCAGUGAUGGCAAUGACGAUGAGGAGCACGAGCAUGACGUUUAUGAUAGUGCGGAACAAGACAUUGCAGAAUUGGAAGGUUCUAAUGAGGUGUGCUUCAUGUUGAUGAUCUGGUUGGCUUUUUUUCUUUGGUCACACCUUAGUUACCAUAGAACUUCGUCUCGGGAGAAGAUUGGAGGUGCUAUGGUGAUUGGAAUUUUAUUGCCUCCAAAUAUGAUUUCCAUCGAAUCAUAUCCCUUGUAUUUAUCUUCUUUUUAUUUGUGAGAGCAUCUUCUUUAUGCUUGCAAAACAAUUCAAGUGCACAUACUACACCUAGGGUGAUGAUUAGGAGUAGAAACAAUUGCCAACAAACGAACACCACAUCCUAAGAUUCUUAACUUGUGGUAUAAUUAGUCUAGUAAAAAGAAAGAUAAAAACCUAAUGGGUGUACGUGAGUGCAAUGCGUAUAUGCAUAUGAGUGGAAGGCAUAUAAGCAAAGAUAAUAUUUACACAUAGAUCUAAGCACCAUGUUUACAACUAAGUUGCUGAAUUUCUCCAUAGCUAUAGAGAUUAAUGAACCAAGGUCAAAACACCAUGUCUAUCCCAAGAUCAGUAAUUCUUUAUAGCACAAGAAAAAGAAAGCGCAUUGCAAAGUUUAUAAACCAACCAAUGCAGCAUGAAAACAAGAUGAAUAGCUAGCAAGGUUUAUUAAACUGAAUGAUGACGGUCUGCAAGCAAGUUUGAACACCAUCUUUACACAAGAUUGCAAAUGGAAAAUUCCCAUAUGAAGAACUAACAUGGAUAUGAAAUCAUUCAUCAUAAAGCGUAAAGAACAACCAAGCCAACCAUAUGCAAAGCAUGAAUGGAAUGCAAUGAAGGUGCAAGAGAACAUUUUUGGAUGAACCCAUUAUGAUGAUGGCAAAAUGCGCCGUGCCCCCCAGCCCCCGCGGUGAGAUCCCGCCGCUCGCUGCCGCCAGACCCUAUUAGGCCUCCACCGGCAGGUCCACCCACGGUCCCGCGCGACGUGGCAGCCUCUUGGCUCUCGGCGCUCGCGGCACGCCAGUGCUGGCGCAGCCCCACCAGGCGACUACCCUCCCCCCAUAAGGCCUCGGCCCCUCCCCAGCGCCGCCCCCCAACACCAGGACUGCCUGCUGCCCCCCACCGUGAGGUAAUCGAAAUCGACUGCUCAAUCUCUCAAUCUGUUGAUAUGAUGCACACGGUUGCAAAAAUAGAUGUGUCAAAAUAGAUGUUUUGCCAAUUGCUAUAGAUGCAUACGGUUGACAUGAAGUCAAAAAUGACAUUUGGUUCCUUGUAGGCAGUCAAAAAUGAAGAAGUCAAAAAAUAUUGAUCUGAAAUCAAUGUGGGAAAGGGCUAUGAAGACACGCAGGUAGAUUCCCUUGUGAACUUUUUAUGUCGUUCGUCUAAAUAAUUUUUUGCAAUGGGCAUACCCUACUCUGAAAUCCUGGGUCCGCCACUGAUGAUGAUGGUCUAAAAAUAAACCAAGCCUAGAUUAAUUAGCCACAACUGAAAUUAAGCAAAGGUUAAUGUCAUUGACCCUAGCUCUAUCCUAGCUUUUACCAAAGUUCCGGCACAUAUAGUGGUUGGGCCCACUCUCUCUGCUUCCCUCUCUGCUGCAUGCACGCACACGAGCAACGGGAGGCCCGACGAAGCCCAGAAGGGUUCGGCCGAACCAGUAUGAGCGCCGCUCCCUCCCAGCCUUCGCGCAGAUGCUCCUCCAACGUUCCUUGACCCCUCCCUCAGCGUCCCGUUGGGUUUAACAUUGCAGGAGAGGAGUCCCUUUUUUAAAAUCUCAACCACCUCCUCUCCCCAUUCACUCCACUCUCAUCUCCAUCAAACUCACCAAGAUCCGCACCGGAAAUCCCUGCUUACCACCAUGGCUGGCAAAGCCCUCAUCCCUUUCACCAACUUGGGCUUGACCACUGAUCUCGAUGGGGAAAUCACUCUGGCAAAUAUGCGUGUAACACUGCCCCCUUUGCCGAGGGUUAAAGCCAAAACACUCAGCAAAGUGGAUAGUACCCCCCUUUUUACCCGUUUUGUCAUGUAUAACGGACCCCUCUCAAUUCACAAUAGACAUCAUCAUAGGCAUUUAUAAUAAACAAUCACAGGCAUAAUUCACAAUCACCAUUACAAGCAUUAUUCAUAAAUAUCACAGACAUAAUCCAAAGUAAGCAUGAAACAAGCCAUAAAUCCAAGUUCAAGUCACAACUAAGUUUCAUCCAAGUUCAAGUCACAAAUGCAAUGUCUAAAUCCAUGGAGGCCAAGGAGACCACUGCGACAAAUCUUGGUCUUCAUUAUUCGAAGCCGCCGAUUGAUUCUGCACAUAGGAUAGGACAUUCUGAGCUAACAUCUAAAGUUGUCAAAAUUAAAGUAUUCAAUCUUAAGCACAAUGUGUCAAAUGACUCACAGGAGUAGUUGUGGGUGGCUGAGGCGGAGGGAACAGCAUCGAUGGCGGUGGCAAAGAUUGACCCAUGCUCGAAGCAAAAUUCUGCAUGUACUGGAACAUCUGGUCCAUCCUCAUCCGAUUUUCUUCCUCCAUCCUCUGCCGCUCGGCCUCUAACCUCCGCUGAACCAUCUGCUCCAUCCUCGCCGCCAUCUCCUCUUGUUGCUUCCUUGCUGCUUCCACCUGGGCCUACAAUAUUUCAUUGCAAUGUUACAAUGCAAAGCUAAAGUAUAGCAACCAACGAACAAUGAAUGGAAGAGAAAGAACCUGGAGAGCCUCCAUCUGGAACUGUCCAAUGGUUGGUCGUAGCCGUAUCGCCGGGCUCGAGUCCGUGCUCCUUGCUUGGAUCUGGGAGAGAGUGGCAGUAGAGGCCGUGUUGAUUACGCCGUCGCCAAUCCAAUAUCGGCCAUGCUUCUUGCCUCCUCCCACCCUCAUCACGAUUUCUCCAUCAAUAUCCUCAGAGCUUGAAUCGAAGUCUGGCCCGUGAACCUCCCUUGCCAUCACUGUAUAUUCCUUUGCCGAGUGCCCGAGAUAAAGCACUCGGCAAAUAGAAAACACUCGGCAACUUUACUGUUUCCCGUAGUGUCGCUAUUUUUGCAGGUUCUCGACCAGGCCAGUUCUUUGGGCCAACCUAUCAUUCACGACUUAAACAUACGGUGGCUGUAGAAAUGUUCUAUUCUUUUCAACAAUACCAGCUGGUUCCUCCGUUUUUAUUCCACCAAUACAAGCACCACCUUGUAACAUUUCCUAUGUUUUUUUUUCCUUUCGUCUGUUUUCUACAUGCGUUGCUCUUUCAUGCAUUUUUUUCCAUUCCUGUAUUCCAAAUAGGUCUACAUGAACACAAAAUGAACUAGGGGACAGAAAAAGCCAGUGAAGCCAAUUUUGAGCUUCACCAGCUACUUGCUACAUAAAGUGUGCUAUAGUGACGUGUUUUAGCAAAACAUGUUAUCAAUGACUUGACAUUGGUGACGUGUUAAAACGCGUUAUCUCAAUGGCAAAUCAUUGGUGACGUGUUUUAAAAAAACAUGUCACCGUGAGAGUCAUUGGUGAAGGGUAAUUAUAAUGCGUCACUAAUGUUGUAGCAUUAGUUAUGAUAAUUUAGUAACGCAAAAAUCUACCAUCAGUAUUGAGCUUUAGAGCCAUCGCUAAUGUGGGUUUCUUACAUAGUGAUGCAAGCUCUACAAGGUGCUGUUGCUGCCAUUUUAAAGCAUCCCAUGACUACAUGUUAAUAACAUAGUUUACCAUAUAUCAUAAAAAUAUUAGUUACAAUAAGCACAUACGCAUGUGGAAGAGUCCGAAUGCACCGGUUGAGGACUAAACACAUUGAAUUACUAGAACCAAAUGUGUGUUUAGAACAAAGACAGGGGUCAAGGUUUGGGUAACCGCAUUAAAAACAUUGGAUUUUACUGUACAUGAACACUUAGUUACCAUUACCAUGCCUUGAGCACCUAGUUACAACAAACAUUAAUUUAGCCACUUUAGAGCUUCCAGAAUCGCUAUAAAUAAUAUACCUACGCCGUACCAUGAAAACAUCAAGAAGAGAGACGGAUACAUGGACCACCAUCAAGCGAGUAGUGACAGCACGCACAAGAAUACCCGGAACCUGUUAGCUUGUCUGUAGUGAUCUGUUUUCUUCCCCAUAAAAUCCAUGAGUAUUGCCACAAAUAAUGAAAGAGGCUGACCAAGCUAGCAAGGAGGUAGAGCAAACGUGAUACACGGCCUGCCAAGAUUGCCCUGGAUACGCCAAUAAGAGCGACAGAUACAUGGAUCACACCAAUAUGGUGAAACGUAUAUUCAUCACACAAGCAAAGCUGGUCAGUUUAUCCAUGGUCAAAUUGUGGUCUUUGUUUUCACUUGAGAGCUAAUUGAGGCACUAUAAUAUGGGCAGGCCUAUCUUCAACAGACAUGACAGCUACAGGGAACUUGACAUAAUUUGCUGGGCCGCCUGUGCACAAUUAUUUGUUUUAUUGUCCUUGCAUAGAAUGCUAAAAUACUCUUUACAAAAUGUUGGAUCUAAUAUUUGAAAUAUAGAGUAGUAAUCAUAUAUUGAUCAACAACUUGAAAUUAUCUGUACAUUCUCGGUGAAGCUGUUGAACUAAUUUUUGCAAAUUAUUAAUUCAUCUCAUUACGUAAAGAAAAAAGUAAGUGGAUAAGAUAUUUCGUGGACCACAUCACUGCAAACAUGUCAUGGAGAGACAGACCAAGGAGGCAGGACGUGAUACACGACUUACCCUAGGUUGCCGUGGAACCGCCAAGAAGAGAUACAGAUACAUGGACCACACCAUCUUGGGAGUAGUGACAGCAUAUAUGCAGAAGAAUACCCCGUGCCUAUUUGCAUGCAUGUCUCAAGUGAUCUGUUUUCUUCAGAAAAUACAUGAGCAUUGCCAGAAAGAAUGGCAAGAGACAAACAUGUCAUAGAGACUUGCAUGUCUUGCCUUGGAUACGCCAAGAAGAGGGACACAUACAUGGAUAACACAAAUCUAGUGACACGUAUAUUCAUCACAAAGGCAAAUCUGAUAAUUUUAUCCAUGGAGCAGACCAAGGAGAAAUUGAUGACGGACAUGUGAUCUCUGUAUUCAGUUGAAAGCUAAUUGAGCUACACUAAUAUGAGCAGGACUAUAUUCAAGAGACUUGUUGAGAGCUACAGGGAACUUGUAAUAAUUUGCUGGGCGGCCUGCGCACAAUGAUUUGUUAUACAUAGUUGAAAUAUUUCAAGAAUUUAUCAACCUCAUACUCUGAAACCCUUGGUGCAAUGUACUCUGCUUUCCGAGGUAGACUGUUCACGUAAAAUGAGGUCAUGCGUAAGACGGAAUCGGAUUGGAUUCACAGGGAAUCAGAUUUGGAUAGCACCUUUUAGCAGGUUUUUAGUCAAAUGCAAAUUCGGAUCCACAUGUGGUUGAAUGCGAGUUCAAAAUUCUACUUGGAUAUCCAUUUAAUUUAGGUGAUAGCAAUUAGCACAAAAUGUUGGAUGAACAAAAUCAUAGUUAGACAUACAAUUACAUGUAUGGUUAAAGUAUAAUACAAUACACCAAGAUUAUUCCUUGAAAAUAUUUCUUAAAAAUAUUAUAAUAAAUGAAUAAAUAUAAUUGUGGCCACCAACAAAUAGUCGGUGGUCGCUAAGUUGGAGCCAUUUCUGGUUACUAAUGCGGCCUUCUCCUCGACCAGCGACGACAGCUGAGCUUGUUCCUUCUGACACUAAAUCAUCAGAGUCUUCCCUCCACUACUAUAGAAUGCACCUUUAGCACCAAUUGGGAAAUCCCCUUCAGUAUUGGAUGCUGCAACCAGUGCUAUAUAUCAAAAUGGAGACUAAAAGCCUCGGUCUUGGGUACCGGUUGCAUAACGCAUUACUAAAGGAGGCAAAAGAGAAAUGUAACAAAAAAAAUAUUUUGAAUUCCAAGAAUGUUUCACUAUUCAAGAUGACUAGCUGAGAGUCAACAGACAAGAUACUAGGAAUGUGGGUGCUUGAAUGCAUUUGUACAGAGGUCAUACUAUUUACAAACUCUUCUAUGUUUCCAUAUGACUACCUACUUCAAUGUCACGCGAGCCAUUCAGCUGGACACAUGGCACACUAGCUUGCAUGUCGAAUCCAUGAUUAAUUAUUUCCACUUGUGAUCUCUUACCAGUAUUUGUCCAGACUAGAAACGUGCAACACAUUUUUAGGAUAUGGACACGCAUAUAUUUGGACUAGUAUACAGGUCACCUUUGGAUGCGUACAAGGAUGACCGGGAGGGACUAGAAAUGGUCUAGUUUUGAUUGGACUACAAAACUUUUUGUACAGUGAAUAGAGAAUAUAUAUUAUUGUUGGAAUACGAGGUAGGCUACACUAUCGCAAUUCUGAUAUUCUACCGCGUAUAACCAAGAAGAACUGUCGUAUAAGGAUCACGGGAUUACCACUCGACGCACUACUGGUGCGGAAGAUGUAGAUAUGCGUCGAUGCAGUGAAGACGAUCACGUAGUCGUAUGUAGUCGAUCAACGUAGUCGUACAUAGUCGAUCACGUCCAGCAGCUCCUCAGCAGCUCGUCCACGUGCAGCAAGAUCGCCUCCGGUACCGCGGCUCGUCGUUGGCUUGUCGUGGCUCGUCGACGGCUCGUCGGCGGCUCGUCCAAGUGCUGCAGGCGCAACACCUCCAAGGUAUCCACACGUGCAGGGAGGAAGCGUCGCAAGCCGGACUGCUAGAUCCACGAGUUGCAACAGGCGAGGGCGUGGGAGGCGCGGCAGGUGUGUUUCGCCAAAAAGGUGUAAACCCUAGGGCGCCCCCACCCCUCUAUUUAUAGAGGUUCCUGACGGGCCUCUGGAUCCGAGGCCCAUUAGUACUUCUAAACCUAAUCCAACUCGGAUCAGAUCCGAAUUGGGCUUCCAGCCCCUUAAGUGUGUGACCCUAUAAGUUCGGAUACGUAUAGACAUGGCCCGAGUACUCCUACUCGGCCCAAUAGUCGGUAGCGGCCUCUAGCAAGACGUGCCAACUCCUAUACGCACACGAAGAUCAUAUCAGACGAACCAUCACAACAUAAUAUACAUGCUAUUCCCUUUGCCUCACGAUAUUUGGUCUAGCUUCAAGCCGACCGCUCUUUCUCAGUCCUGUGAUUCGGAAUCCCUUUGUAGGUUAACUCUUAACCGUACGUAGCAUGGCCAUGCAUUUUCGGAUCUGAUCACUCGAGGGGCCCAGAGAUAUCACUCUCAAUCAGAGAGGGGCAAAUCCCAUCUUGAUUGACCAUGUCUCAUAGCAUGCUUCUUGACAAACCUAAAAACUACCUUUAUAACUUCCCUGUUACGGCGUAGUGUUUGAUAGCUCCUAAGUAGGUCGAUCCACAUCUAGAAUACAUGCGACAAUUUCAGGUCUAAGGACAAAGCGUAUAUGUUGUUUAAAGAGAGAACUACUUCUCGUGUUGGGUCAGUCCCAGCACAUGUCUCCACAUGUGUCCACAUUAUUAGUUCAACAUCUCCAUGUCCAUGACUUGUGAAACAUAGUCAUCAACUAAUACAUGUGCUAGUCUAAUAUUCAUGUGUGUCCUCACAUGAACUCCGACUAGGGACAACUUUAGAAUAACCAUACAAGUAAAGAGUUUCACAUACAAUUCACAUAAUUGCAAAUCAAUUCAAGUAGCCUUCAAUGGAUAUUCAAUGAACACAACAUACAAAUCAUGGAUACAAAUGGAAUAUCAUCAUCUCUAUGAUUGCCUCUAGGGCAUACCUCCAACAGUCUCCCACUUGCACUAGAGUCAAUCUAGAAGGUACCUAAUACCCAUAGCUCUUACAUGCGCAUCAUGCUUAGCCUGCGGGAGUGGUUUUGUCAACGGAUCAGAAAUGUUCAGAUCCGUGUGUAUUUUGCAUAUCUUGAUCUCACCCCGGUUAACGAAGUCUCGAAUGAGAUGAAAUCGCCGCAUUACAUGUUUGUUCUUCUGGUGGUUCCUUGGCUCCUUUGCUUGCGCAAUUGCCCCAUUGUUAUCACAGUAGAGAUUCAAUGGGCUGGACCCAUUCGGGAACACACCAAGCUCAAUGAGGAAAUUCCUUAUCCAAACACCUUCCUUCGCGGCUUCCGAAGCCGCGAUGUACUCGGCUUCUGUCGUAGAAUCGGCCACCGUCUCCUGCUUGGAACUCUUCCAACUAACAGCACCACCAUUUAGCGUGAACACAAAUCCUGUUUGUGACUUUGAAUCAUCUCUGUCGGUUUGGAAACUAGCAUCGGUGUAACCUGUUACAACGAGCUCCUCCUCACCUCCAUAGACGAGGAAUAUAUCUUUAGUCCUUCUCAAGUACUUAAGAAUGUUUUUCACCGCUGUUCAGUGACUCUCACCUGGAUCAGAUUGGUGUCUGCUUGUCAUACUUAGCACAUAUGAAACAUCUGGGCGAGUACUUAUCAUUGCAUACAUGAUAGAUCCAAUAGCCGAGGCAUAUGACACUCUACUCAUGUGAUCCCGCUCAUCAGCAGUCGAAGGACACUGAGUCUUGCUGAGAUGUAUGCCAUGUGACAUAGGCAAGAACCCUUCCAUGCUGAACCGCUUCAACACUUUGUCAAUGUAAGUAUCUUGGCUUAAACCUAUAAGCCUUCUCGAUCUAUCUCUAUAGAUCUUAAUGCCCAGAAUAUAUGCCGCUUCCCCUAAGUCCUUCAUCGAAAAACUAUUUUUCAGUGAAGUCUUUAUGGACUCAAGCAUAGGAAUGUUAUUUCCAAUCAGUAAUAUGUCAUCCACAUAUAAGAUUAGAAAUACUACAGAGCUCCCACUAACCUUCUUGUAAACACAAGACUCUUCUUCGUUCUUGGUGAAGUCAAACCCUUUGACCACUUCAUCAAAACGAAUGUUCCAACUCCUAGAUGCUUGCUUCAAUCAAUAAAUGGAUCUCUGAAGCUUGCAUACCUUUCCAGCAUUUUUCGGAUCGACAAAACCCUUGGACUGUAUCAUAUACACGUCCUCAGUUAGGUUUCCAUUCAGGAAAGCUGUCUUGACAUCCAUCUGCCAUAUCUCAUAAUCGAAAUAUGCAGCCAAACUUGAUUGUCUCCCAUGGACUCUAUUUCGGAUUGCAUGGCAUUCUGCCAUUUUUCGGAGUCUGGGUCCAUCAUUGCUUCUGCAUAUGUCACAGGCUCAUCAUUGUCCAACAAUAAUAUUUCCUGCAUUUCGCGGAGCCUUGCCGACCUUCGUGGUUGUGGCGGUGCUUCUCUUGCCAUGGGUAUCUCAACUUGUUCUGCUACGUUAGCAUCACUCAUUGAUUCUUGCCCGAUCGGCUCAUCUUGAACUUCUUCAAGAUGCACUGUCUUUCCACUCUUUUCUCCUUUGAGAAACUCUUUCUCUAGGAAAACCCCGUUCCGAGCGACAAACACUUUGCCUUCUGAUCAGUUGUAAAAAUAAUAUCCCAAAGUUUCCUUUGGAUAUCCCACGAAAAUGCACUUAUCCGACUUGGGUGCGAUCUUGUCCGACUGAAGUCGCUUGACAAACACAUCACAUCCCCAAAUCUUUAGAAAAGACAAACUAGGAACCUUUCCAGUCCAUAUCUCAUAUGGUGUCUUAACUACGGAUUUAGAUGGUACCCUAUUAAGUGUGAAAGCUGCUGUUUCUAGAGCGUAUCCCCAAAAUGACAACGGUAGGUCCGACUGGCUCAUCAUUGAUCGAACCAUGUCUAACAAAGAUCGAUUACGUCGCUCGGACACACCGUUUCUCUGAGGUGAUCCAGGCGGCGUAAGUUGUGGAACAAUUCCGCAACUCUUUAGAUGAUUGCUAAACUUGUGGCUCAAAUACUCGCCUCCACGAUCAGAUUGUAAGGCCUUAAUUUUCUUGACACGCUAAUUUUCAACUUCAUUCUGAAAAUCCUUGAACUUUUCAAAGGUUUCAGACUUGUGCCUCAUCAAGUAGACAUAGCCAUAUCUACUAAAAUCAUCAGUGAAAGAUAUGAAGUAUUGGAAUCCUCCUCUAGCCGUCGUGCUCAUUGGUCCGCAUACAUCACUAUGUACGAGUUCCAACAAGUCUACUGCUCUCUCAGGAAAUCCUGUGAAAGACGUCUUGGUCAUCUUGCCUAGCAAGCAAGCCUCACAUGUCUCGUAUGAUUCAAAAUCAAACGAAGUUAGAAGUCCAUCAGAAUGGAGCUUCUUCAUGCGUUUUUCACUUAUAUGACCCAAACGACAAUGCCACAAGUAGGUAGGACUCAAAUCAUUAGGCCGAGGCCUUUUAGCACUUACAUUACAGACAGGUGAACCAUCAAGAUUUAAAACAAAUAAUCCAUUCACAAUGGGUGCAAAAGCCAUAAACAUAUUAUUCUUAGAGAUCACACAACCAUUGUUUUCACUCGCAAAUGAAUAACCAUCCUUCAUCAAGCAUGAAGGAGACAAAAUGUUUCGACUUAAACUAGGAACAAAAUAACAAUUAUUCAACUCCAUAAUAAAUGCUGACGGGAGGUGGAGUUGCAUCGUCCCGACGGUCAACGCAGCAACUCUUGCAUUAUUGCCCACGCGGAAAUCAACUUCUCCUCUUUCCACGCUUCUACUUCUUAUCAUUCCCUGCAUCGAAUUGCAAAUAUGAGCAACCGAUCCGGUAUCAAAUACCCAAGAAUUAAUAAUUGUAUCAGCGAGAAAUAUGUUGUCUAUGACAUUAACAACAAGCGUACCUGAGGUAGAAGUACUCUUACUUCCUCCAUUCUUCAACGAAGCUAGGUACUGCUUGCAGUUUCUCUUCCAGUGACCAAGUUCAUGACAGUAAAAGCACUCUUUGUCUGGAGCAGGUCCAGGUCCAGCUUUAACCUUGGGCGCUCGCUGGGUUUGGCUUGGAAAUUCCAGCCUUGCCCUUCUUCUUCCAAGAAUUGCCCUUCUUCUUAAAGCUAGGCUUGUUCUGUAUAGCCAUCACAUGGCUAGUACAAGCGCUUUUCUUGAUGUCUACCUCUGCUGUCUUGAGCAUACCACACAGUUCAUUCAAACCCUUCUCCGUCCCAUGCAUAUGGUAGUUCGAGAUGAAGUUCCCAUAGCUAGGCGGAAGAGAUGAAAGAAUGAAGUCAGUGGCCAACUCUUUGCCCAUUGGGAAGCCCAGCUUCUCCAAUCGCUGAGUGUAACCAACCAUGUUGAUUACAUGUGGUCCUACUGCUGCGUCUUCUGCUAGCUUGCACUCCAGAAAAGCUUUGGACACAUUGAACCUUUCAGUCCUAGCCUGUGUCUGGAACAUGUCCUUGAGCGCCACGAUCAUAUCGUGUGCCUCAUGAUUUGUUUCGAACUGCAUCUGCAGCUCGGGUUCCAUGCAAGCAAGCAUAAGGCAGCUUACCUCAAGAUUAGCAUCAAAUGCCUUCUUGUAAGCAGCCUUAACGGCAGCAGAUGCAUCAUCAGCAGGUACUGGUGGUAGUGGGGUAUCUAGAACAUCUUCCUUUUUAUCGGCCCUGAGAACAAUUCUCAGGUUACGGAUCCAAUCCGAGUAGUUUGUUCCAUUCAACUUGUCCUUCUCAAGGACCGAGCGCAAAGCAAACGAUGUGGUGGUGUUGCUAGGUGCCAUUUAAUCUACAACAAAAGUAAUGCAAAAUACACUAAGACAAACGUAUCCAUGAUAGAGCAAAUUACAUUAAACUAUUUUAACAGAAUCUACUCCCACUAAAAUCAAUAUCCCUCUAUUGAAACUUAGUGAUUCAGGAUCCACAACUAACAAGUCUACUAGUGAGCUUUAGCAUCACCGCUAGCAAACGAGGUAGAUCGGUAAGCAACUUUUGCUAAUCAUAUCACAUAUGACUCCUGUUGUUGGGUGACAUCUCCAUGUCUCGGCGCCCAACCAUUAUGCCCCAAGGUCCUUAACCGUUAAGAUGACCUCGUUAAGCAAACCAACCCUUAUGCGUGUAAGUGUCCGACACAAACCCGUCUAGUCAAGGAAAACUAGUGGCACCCUAAUUUCAUAGACCCACCACUAAUUGUACAAGACAUGGGACGGUGCAAGUUUUAGUUGGGAGGGCAUACUAACUUAAAUUUUUUGUGAGGGAUCGUUCUACUUCUAACAUCACAGCAUGCAGAAAGUAAAACAUAAACAGAAUAGCAUUCACACAGCUGUGACACAGUAUGGCCCGUUUUUAUAUGGUGAUCUCCAUCUCCAUAGAACCUGUUCACCAUGGUGAUCUCCAUCUCCAUGUUCCAUGUGCGCCAUCCUCCUGGUGAGGAGUCCUCCAAGAACUAGAACAUGCUAUUACACCUAAUAGCUAGUAAAGAAUCUAGUAAUGAAGAUUACAUAGUUGCUUGGAUCAUCACAGAUUGGUACGCAGACCAUUAAAUACAAUAAAGUGACAACACAUAUGGCUCCUGCCGUGUUGCCGUACGCGCGACACGCAGGUCACGAAUGAGUUACACACAUGCAUCACAUACACAAGGGGGCCAUACUGAUCACAAGAUACAUACAUACAUCCUGCAAAACAGAGUUAGGCGUCCUAACGUUCCAAACUUCGAAGGCCCGAAACUCCAUCUUCCAAGCCGAAUUUGGGAAAUCUAAUUUUGCCGAAAACGGCAAAGCGGUUGAAUUUCAUGUGUAACUUUUUCUGUAGAUCAAUUUUCAUAUAAAAUUCGCCCCGAUCCGAGAUCGUACCGAAAAGUUACGGCUGAUUUACCGAAGCAUACGCAUACGGCAAAAAUUCCGACCCCGGCAGUAGAUCCCAUCUACUAUUGCACAUCUAAUGCGCCUGGCGUAUGAUCCUGGAUUUCGAUUCGACCAAUCAUAUUGAUCUUCGCUCACUGCAACUGGAAUUACGUGUAUCACUUAACUCGUCGGCGGCUCGUCGGCGGCUCAUCCAAGUGCUGCAGGCCCAACACCUCCAAGGUAUCCACACGUGCAGGGAGGAAGCGUCGCAAACCGGACUGCUAGAUCCGCGAGUUGCAAUAGGCGAGGGCGUGGGAGGCGCCGCAGGUGUGUUUCGCCAAAAAGAUGUAAACCCUAGGGCGCCCCCACCCCUCUAUUUAUAGAGGUUCCUGACGGGCCUCUGGAUCCGAGGCCCAUUAGUACUUCUAAACCUAAUCCAACUCGGAUCAGAUCCGAAUUGGGCUUCCAGCCCCUUAAGUGUGUGACCCUAUGGGUUCGGAUACGUAUAGACAUGGCCCGAGUACUCCUACUCGGCCCAAUAGUCGGUAGCGGCCUCUAGCAAGACGUGCCAACUCCUAUACACACACGAAGAUCAUAUCAGAUGAACCAUCACAACAUAAUAUACAUGCUAUUCCCUUUGCCUCACGAUAUUUGGUCUAGCUUCAAGCCGACCGCUCUUUCUCAAUCCUGUGAUUCGGAAUCCCUUUGUAGGUUAACUCUUAACCGUACGUAGCAUGGCCAUGCAUUUUCGGAUCCGAUCACUCGAGGGGCCCAGAGAUAUCACUCUCAAUCAGAGAGGGGCAAAUCCCAUCUUGAUUGACCAUGUCUCAUAGCAUGCUUCUUGACAAACCCGAAAACUACCUUUAUAACUACCCUGUUACGGCGUAGCAUUUGAUAGCCCCUAAGUAGGUCGAUCCACAUCUAGAAUACAUGCGACAAUCUCAGGUCUAAGGACAAAGCGUAUAUGUUGUUUAAAGAGAGAACUACUUCUCGUGUUGGGUCAGUCCCAGCACAUGUCUCCACAUGUGUCCACAUUAUUAGUUCAACAUCUCCAUGUCCAUGACUUGUGAAACAUAGUCAUCAACUAAUACAUGUGCUAGUCUAAUAUUCAUGUGUGUCCUCACAUGAACUCCGACUAGGGACAACUUUAGAAUAACCAUACAAGUAAAGAGUUUCACAUACAAUUCACAUAAUUGCAAAUCAAUUCAAGUAGCCUUCAAUGGAUAUUCAAUGAACACAACAUACAAAUCAUGGAUACAAAUGGAAUAUCAUCAUCUCUAUGAUUGCCUCUAGGGCAUACCUCCAACAAUUAUUUCAUGUAAAUUUUUGACAAUUUUUUAAAAUUGUUUGAUAUUUUUUAAAUUUUUUUUAAAAUAACUUUGCCGAGUGUCCUAUUGUAGACACUCGGCAAAGCAGCCUUCACCGAGUGUUACCCCUGGGACACUCGGCGAAUUAAUGCCCGGCCGCUCAAGAAUAUGUGCCCGGCCCCCUCACUCUCCCGGCCCCCCUCACUCUCACUCCCCUCACUCCCUCCUCUCUCCCUCCUCUCUCCCUCUCGCCGCCGCCCGAAACCCCCGCCGCCGCCCGCCGCCCGGCAUGCCGCCCAGCGCCCCCCGCCGCCGCCCGGCGCUCCCGAAUCCGCCGCCGCCCGCCCGGCGCCCGGCCCCCGGAUCCGCCGCCGCCGGCCGCCCGGCGCCCCCGGAUUCGCCGCCGCCCGCCCGGCCCCCGGCCCCCGGAUCAGCCGCCGCCCGCCGCCCGGCGCACGGCGCCCCCGGAUCCGCCGCCGCCUGCCCGGCGCCCGGCCCCUGGCCCCCUGAUCCGCCGCCGCCCGCCCGGAUCCGCCGCCGCCCGCCCGGCGCCCGGCCCCCGGCCCCCGGAUCCACCGCCGCCCCCCCGGCCCCCGGAUCCGCCGCCCGCCCGUCCCCUCCACCGGAUCCGCCGGCGCCGGGGCCUGAAGAGAAGAGAAGAGGAGAGGAUGGUGGCGGCGGCGGCCGCGGCGGCGGAGCAGGUGGCAGAGCAUGCAUGAUUUUUUUUUAUUUUUUCAAUAAUUGUUCGCCAAGUGUUUUCUGGGCACUCGGCAAAGUCUUUGCCGAGUGCCCGACACAAAACACUCGGCGAACCAGUGUUUGCCGUCAAGAUUUUUGCCGUGUGUCGUUUGCCGAGUGUUACACUCGGCAAACGCUUUGUCGAGUGUUUUUGGGGUUUCGCGGAGUGACCCUGGCACUCGGCAUCACGCAUGUUUCCCUUAGUGAACUUGAAAUUAUCUGUACAUUCUCGGUGAAGCUGUUGAACUAAUUUUUGCAAAUUAUUAAUUCAUCUCAUUACGCAAAGAAAAAAGUAAGUGGAUAAGAUAUUUCGUGGACCACAUCACUGCAAACAUGUCAUGGAGAGACAGACCAAGGAGGCAGGACGUGAUACACGACUUACCCUAGGUUGCCGUGGAACCGCCAAGAAGAGAUACAGAUACAUGGACCACACCAUCUUGGGAGUAGUGACAGCAUAUAUGCAGAAGAAUACCCCGUGCCUAUUUGCAUGCAUGUCUCAAGUGAUCUGUUUUCUUCAGAAAAUACAUGAGCAUUGCCAGAAAGAAUGGCAAGAGACAAACAUGUCAUAGAGACUUGCAUGUCUUGCCUUGGAUACGCCAAGAAGAGGGACACAUACAUGGAUAACACAAAUCUAGUGACACGUAUAUUCAUCACAAAGGCAAAUCUGAUAAUUUUAUCCAUGGAGCAGACCAAGGAGAAAUUGAUGACGGACAUGUGAUCUCUGUAUUCAGUUGAAAGCUAAUUGAGCUACACUAAUAUGAGCAGGACUAUAUUCAAGAGACUUGUUGAGAGCUACAGGGAACUUGUAAUAAUUUGCUGGGCGGCCUGCGCACAAUGAUUUGUUAUACAUAGUUGAAAUAUUUCAAGAAUUUAUCAACCUCAUACUCUGAAACCCUUGGUGCAAUGUACUCUGCUUUCCGAGGUAGACUGUUCACGUAAAAUGAGGUCAUGCGUAAGACGGAAUCGGAUUGGAUUCACAGGGAAUCAGAUUUGGAUAGCACCUUUUAGCAGGUUUUUAGUCAAAUGCAAAUUCGGAUCCACAUGUGGUUGAAUGCGAGUUCAAAAUUCUACUUGGAUAUCCAUUUAAUUUAGGUGAUAGCAAUUAGCACAAAAUGUUGGAUGAACAAAAUCAUAGUUAGACAUACAAUUACAUGUAUGGUUAAAGUAUAAUACAAUACACCAAGAUUAUUCCUUGAAAAUAUUUCUUAAAAAUAUUAUAAUAAAUGAAUAAAUAUAAUUGUGGCCACCAACAAAUAGUCGGUGGUCGCUAAGUUGGAGCCAUUUCUGGUUACUAAUGCGGCCUUCUCCUCGACCAGCGACGACAGCUGAGCUUGUUCCUUCUGACACUAAAUCAUCAGAGUCUUCCCUCCACUACUAUAGAAUGCACCUUUAGCACCAAUUGGGAAAUCCCCUUCAGUAUUGGAUGCUGCAACCAGUGCUAUAUAUCAAAAUGGAGACUAAAAGCCUCGGUCUUGGGUACCGGUUGCAUAACGCAUUACUAAAGGAGGCAAAAGAGAAAUGUAACAAAAAAAAUAUUUUGAAUUCCAAGAAUGUUUCACUAUUCAAGAUGACUAGCUGAGAGUCAACAGACAAGAUACUAGGAAUGUGGGUGCUUGAAUGCAUUUGUACAGAGGUCAUACUAUUUACAAACUCUUCUAUGUUUCCAUAUGACUACCUACUUCAAUGUCACGCGAGCCAUUCAGCUGGACACAUGGCACACUAGCUUGCAUGUCGAAUCCAUGAUUAAUUAUUUGCACUUGUGAUCUCUUACCAGUAUUUGUCCAGACUAGAAACGUGCAACACAUUUUUAGGAUAUGGACACGCAUAUAUUUGGACUAGUAUACAGGUCACCUUUGGAUGCGUACAAGGAUGACCGGGAGGGACUAAUGGAUACAAGGAAGGGACCAUCAGGAUUAAUAUUGACAUAUGCCACAUGACAAUCUUCAUUGUCAUGCAAUCCCUAUCAACAAUCAUGGAAUCCCUAGUGUACUAAUCCCUGGAGGGUUGUGUGGAAAUUUAUUUUACCUUGCGGUGAAAAUCUCAUGAGCAGUCAUUAGUUAAGCUGACUAGCUGAGAUAUAAUAGACAAGCUAGUAAGAUUGGGAGCAUCAAUGCAUCCAUACAGGGUCACAAUAUCCUUUCCAUUCACUUUUAUAUAUAACCCUACGAAUACAAGUCCAACGAAAUGCGGGCCUUUCGAUCAAGAUAAAUUAAAUGGCCCACUUGUAUUUCUAAUCCAGGAUUAACUAUGCCCUCUGUUCAUCUCUUGCAAGCACGUGCAACACAUUUUCACGAUAUGGACAUGCAUGGAGGUUAUUAUACUGUUUGGACAAACUCUGAUGUGCCAUGACCUAAAUGCUUAGGGCCUGUUUGGUUUGAGUUGCUUAUUAUAAGCAACUUAAAGUUGCUUAAAGUUGCUUAUUUGAAGUUGCUUAUUUUUAGUCUAAACUGUUUGGAUACCCUUGCUUAUGAGCAUUGAAUGAGUUGGACAUUGUCAAAUUUGCCCCAUGUGUUGCUACCCCUCCAAUUUGCCUCCCCACCCUUCUUCUUCCUGCACACGUCCGAUCCCGGGGGCCGACGGCGGGCAGGGAGCAGCAGCAGCUGGCCAGGGCGGCGGUGGGGCGGGAGCGGCGGCGCACACCAGCACGCGCUCGCACGCCAGGUGCUAGGGCGCGGCGAGGCAGUCGUCGUAGCCCACCGGGAGCGGGUGCUCGGGCGCGAGGCGGUACUCGACGGAGAUGCCGAGCGUCGGGCGCGCGGCGGCGAGCGCGUUGAGGAAGCGAUGGUAGUGCGGCGACGUCGCGGACUCCGCCACGAAGCCGCCGCCGUGGACGUACACCACCACGGGCAGCUUCGUCUUGCCGUCGGCGGCCGCGGCCGCGGCCUGGGGUGGCAGGUAGAGGCGGACGGAGCAGGAGCCGAGGUCGACGUCCCUGGAGUCGACGCCCGUGGCGGCGUCCAGGCUAGGCCCGACCGGCGGCGGCACGAGCGGGCGCUCGAUGCGGCCGCUCUUGUAAAUCCGACGGGUCUGUGCGGAGGCGGGCGGCGGGCGGGAGCGGCGGGUGGGAGCGGCGGCAGGUGGUGCGGAGGCCGGCGGCGGCGGGUGGCGCGGAGGAAGGGGAGCUGGUGAGUGGUGACAGGGGAGGGGGGGAGAGAGAGGGGGGGGUAGGGUGCAUUGAAUGAGGGCAGGAGGUGUAAAGUGCACCUUUUAGUCCCCAUGAGCAACCAUAAGCAGCCCAAGAGUUGCUUAUUUGCUUAUAAUAAGCAACCUCAUAAGCAAGAGUGAUUGGUUUCAUAAGCAACUUAUUUGCUUAUUUUAAGUUGCUUAUGCAUAAGCAUGUGAAACCAAGCAGGUCCUUAACCUAUGGUUGUGGCACCACACAGUACAUAGUAUUUAAUAAUGCUAUUCGUUUGGUAUGUGCACAAGGGCACGCAUGAAAUGUCUGGCCCACGGUAAACAAGUACGGACGCUGCAAAUAAUCUACUCUGCUCGUCCAGUCCCUAGCCUAUAAAUAGAUGCCAUGCUAGCUCUUGUUGUGCUCACAAUUAAUCCUGACUACACACGAGCUUCUCUCCCUGGCCAAGACACAAUCAUAGUAUGAUGAAGAACAUGGCACUAGCCGGCAAUGGUAUGAAGAACUUAAUCCUCGCUGUUCUCUUACUGUGUCUAGUUAUAGGGCAGAUACAAGUGGAAGCUAAGAGCUGCUGCCCAUCCAUUACUGCAAGAAAUAUCUACAAUGCCUGCCGUAUCACGGGUACAUCCCGUCCAACGUGUGCAAAACUGUCAGGCUGCAAAAUUAUCAGCGGGGACAAAUGCAAGCCCCCUAACGACCACCUCACCCUUGACCCGGACACUGGUAAAUAAUAAAUUUAUCUCACUUGAUUUCUUCGUGUUUUGAGUCGUUAAUGUAUUUUCCAUCUGAUGAAACGUAUUGGUUUUGCAUUGAAGAGGAAGUUAAUGUGCUUAACUUCUGCAAGUUGGGGUGUGCGUCGUCUGUGUGCAACAACAUCAACGCUGGUAAGCACCUUUUGCUCAGACGGAGAAAACAAUAAUCAUUAAUUAGCGGCAGCUAGAAUCCUAUAAUCUAAUAUAUUUAUAUAUAUAUAUAAUUUUAUCAGCUCUGGGAAAUGAAGAGGCGAACGAUGCCGUUGAGAGUUGCGACCAAGCCUGCUCUAGCUUCUGCAACGUGCACGUUGGCGCUGCCACCGUGGUUGCUUAAGCAAAUGCAUCCAACUGGAUCGUCCUUGUGCUAAAUAAUUGGAUAUCGUAUCCACUUAAAGCUGCCUUGUGUAGUACGUUUUUGUUUGUGUCUCUCUUUAUAUUCCAAUAAGGUCGGUGAUCUUGAUGCCACACACUCAGACGUGUGUUCAUCUCCAGAUACUACUCCAUGCUACCUGCCCUUUGUGUUUUGUUCAAUAACUGGGUAUCAU
rnacentral:lncRNA from 1 species